GCUGCUGAGCUUUCUGAUGGCGCUUUGAUUCUAAUGAAGUAUAACAACACGUUAUGGAGAUCCAUCCAUGCAUUUUCUAUCACUGUGAUUGAUGAUUUGUCAGGCUUCAUCGUUUUUGGAUGAAUUUGGGAUGCAUAAAUGUGCUACUUAAGACUCUGUUGAGCCAACUUAGAUAGAGUGAAUGUGUACUUAUGAAAUACUUGAUAAAUAAUAAAUAAAAAUUAUAUAUUAAAUAUAUAUUAAGGCAAGUGUUGUUUGAUAAGAUUUUAUUUUAAAAGUUCAUUUAAUAUUUUAUGAUUAAUUUAUAUAUAUAUAUAUUUAAAUAUUUAUUCAACAUAAAUAUAAUUUUAAAUAAAUAAAUGUGAUAUUGUAACAUUGUAUGACCAAAAAUACAAUAAAUAAUGAUAUAAUCAUAUAAAUAAAAUAAAAUUGUAUUUUUAAAAAAAAUCAUGUUAUAUAAGAUAUUUAGAUAAAAUUAUUUCAAUAAUCUUAUAAAUUUAGAUAUUUAUUAAAUUGUUUCAAUAAUCUUAUAAAUUUAGAUAAAAUUAUAAGAUAUUUUAAAAUAAAAAAAAUUAUAUUAACAUCCGAUAAAUAUUGAAACACUAAUGUUAUCUCUGAUAAUAUCAGCAUUUAAGUAUUUCUAAUAUAAUAUUUAUAAACGCAUCAAUAGUCAUAUUGUUAUACUUAAAAAAAAAAUUAUUAUUAUUAUUAUUAUUAUUGGCUUAAAUGAUCUCUUCUGAGGGCCGCCAUAAUCAUGUGAUGGUUGAUAGAGACCAUUGCUGACCCGUUCUUAUCACCUGUAAAAGCAUUCCUCAAAAGAAAGAAAAGGAAAUUGCAGGAAAUCAUUUUGUUUAUAUUUGCUACAGUCAAAACCAUAGCAGGACUAAGAUGACGACAGAUUGAGACCCCCCGCGGACAACAAUGUUUUCUUCACGGGUGCCGUCUAUCAUAGUAGAGAGAGAGAGAGAGAGAGAGAGAGUAAAAAAAGAAAAGGCAACGAUGGGGGAAGAGAACGGGACGAAGGGGGCGUGGAAAUUGGAGUCCAACCUUGUCGCCUUCUUUAGGACUAGCCAUCCGCCUACGAAACGUACCUGUUUGAUGCUAUCUCGGAGCGUCACCUCUGCAUGCCCAAAGCUCGCCUUGUCCCGAGGCGGGCGACCACGUCUUCCGCCUUCUCAGGCUUGCGUGCUUCCUUGCUUCCUGUCAUCUCUCGGUCGUCGCGCUGGCCCGUUUGGGCUCUCACCCUCCGGAGGAGGUAUCUACUGCUCGUUGCUCUACGACGAUGUACUAUAGUGCGCUUUGUUUUCUGCCAUCUCUGAUGAUUAAGUUACACAUGCAUGUCGGUAGAAGAAUGAUGAAGAAAGACGACGUACGAUGGAAAGAUGGAGAUUGUGCAGCAAACGGUAGCUUUACGGAUAAAGAAUGCCGCUACAGAAGGUAGAAAAGAGAAGCUUCGCUUUCGUUGGUCGAUCUCUUUUAAGCACCAUAUAUAGUUGAUUUAUGAUUAAUGCUGAUAACUUGUUCUAACUCGUUCCACCUCAAAAGAUCAAUCAAAUCCAACUUCGUAUUACGUAGCAAAUGCGGCAUAUAAAACAGCUGCAACACUUGAAUAGUUCGCACUGUCGACUUUUCUAACCAAAUGCGUUCCUAGUAGAACCUCAACUUGAUAGCCAGGUGUUAGCCUUUUGACUCCCACUCAAUUGACCUUUUGUGUUUAUUAUGAUCAUAAUAAUUGGUAUGUGUGUUGAAGUCAGUCACCAUGAAACAUAUUUUAAGUAUAUUUAUGACUUCCAGUGACAAAGUGAUGAGUUUGGCAAACCUGUUUUACCAGACAAAGUUAGGCGUAUGGCUACUGCCGAAGUCUCCGUGUGCAUGUACUUGUCCUUUCGAUUAAGCCAAUCGACAACCAUUACUUAAUGCUUACGCCAAUAUCUUAGCACAAUUGCAUGAAGAACACUGUCUACUAAUCAUCGCCAAUUGACGUUGUUAGGCUACUCACUGUUGCUGCACAGAAGCCUAGAGAUGCUCCGAGGACUGUAGAAUGAGUGCUACAGCACUGUGAACGUUUCGAGAUGCUGAUGAUGACAAGUGACAAGCGAUUGAUUUGGUGCCAUGUUCUCGAUAUGUUCUCAAGAUGGGUAGCUGCGUCUCUGUCGUUUCUCUCGGAUGUAGACUCGCUGACAUGCUGCGUUUUGAAGUCUUCCGCUUUCCCCUGCACUGCUUUUGCUGCAUCGAACCGAGUGAAUCGUUCUUCGUUCGAGUAGUCGUUCAGCUCAGGAAGGAGAGUUCCCAUUUCGCUCCCUCUUCCGUUUCCACUUCAACUUCCAGUUCAUGCGCCUGAGCCGCUCUACCACGAGACGGAGUUUCUCAGUCUCCUGCGCUCGCUCCGCUUCCCUGUUCGGCUUUAAUUGUCGUGCUUCAUCGCAUCCGACGGUGGAGGUGACAGGCAGAAGCUUCACAACCGUUAGAUCUCACGUCUCACGAAUCUCGAGGACGACAUCAUACUCGCUCCCAAGAACAAUACCGAGGGCGGCACUUUUCCUGACCGCUUUUCUGGGCCCCGCGUGCGGGACCGUGGCGUGAUCCCGUACCGAGGCGGGUAGGCCCAUGGGUGACGAAUUUACAUGGAAUGUUGCGUUCGGAGCUCCUUUCACACCUACCGCCAUCGCCACGCGGUGCGGUGACUCAUACCGGCCGUUAACCCUUCGCUUCCCCUCUGAAGUCUUCGAGCGUCUUCUUUCGUCUCUCUCGCUCGCGCUAUCCGAUCCCAAAACCCCUCGUUAAUGCUCCGACCUUCUUCCUCGAUCACGACGCGCAGCUCCGUCCUCCGUUCUCCGUUCUCCGUUAUCGUUCUCGCCUCAUAUUCCUCUUGCUCCUCGGCUGAUGUCGCGUUCCCGUUCUCGACCGAGCCCUCGAGGGACCGGUGCUGCGGGUUCUAUGUGAAAGGAAGAACAUUGGGUUCUCAGCAUUUCGCGAGGAGAAUGUACCAGAGUAGACGAUCGCGACGUCGGGAGGAGCCCCUGGACGCGGCGGAACGUAGCCGCAGUCGGAAUUGGGCGAGCCCAGCUCGUGCAGGAGGUGCCGUCUCUUCUCUUCAGCUUGUUCCAAUCUGCUACUUUGCUUUGUGAUUUCUUCUUUUUUUUUUUGCUUUCCUUGCGAUGUUUUGGAGUCUCUGAGCUUACGAUCCUCUGGAUUCUGGUAAAAAUCUCUGUUCUCUGACCGAGUCCGAGGAUGCUUCGUCUUCAUCUCUUUUUCUCACCAUCUCGAACCAAAAAGCCGCAACCGUGUUCCGAUUCCUGGGGUUCGAUAAGGUUAGUAGAUGAAAAAGAAACGACUUUUUUGGGGGUCCGGAAAGAUGUGACCGUUCAAAUCGGGUCCAUCCGAGUGGUUCUAAUAUUUUCUUUGCCCAAGGCAGAUCAAUAUGUUACACUUAUUUGUCAAAGACAUGAAGGACCACUAAGAUGCCAUGGUUUUGUGUUAUUUCCAUUACAAAUUGUUUUCUUAGUUUUAUAACCUUGCUUUUUAUCUUAUAGAGCAUACGCUGAUGUUUUCACUCUUAGUUGAAAUUGUUUCUACUUAGAUGAGGUUGGAUCAUUGCGUUGCGUUCUUGAUUUUACUUUGUUUUACAAUCAUAUAUUUUUCUAAAAACUUAUAUUAUCUGAUUUUUUCGCUGAUUACUGUAAUUUCUGAUCUCUUCAAAUGGUCCCAAGAAAAAGAAUAUUUGUGUUUUUUUUUCUUUUCUUUACAGUUAACGUAGGCUUUAUCUUUUUCAAGUCUUUCAAUAUUCUAGCUUAAUGCAAUAUUCUGCUUAAGGCAUUCAGUUAGAGAAAGAUAGAUCGUUCUGAUUCUCCCUGCUACGGCUGGCAAUUAAAUGUAUCUGUAGCAUCCAAAGAUAGAUAGUUCGACUUUGAUUUACCUGUAGCAUUUAAGAAAAGAACAUUUGGAGGCUGGUGCCUAGUUGCUCAAUUUUACAGUGCUUUGUUUCGUUAUCCUGUUCGGUGCUUGUGAUGAACAGUUAACAAAAGAAAAUAUAUGGCUUAAGCUAUUGACAAACAAGUUGUCCAAUGUCCCAAGUAUCUGGGGUCAGCUACACGGAUCCUUUCUGAAUAUUAACGUUACAUCAAGUAUGUUAAAUUGAAGAUUGUUUAGAAUUUCUUUUAUUUUGUGAAUAGUCAUGUUAUAGCGGGUUGUAAAAUUUGGUCCAUUUACAGAGGUUUGUUUAAAAUGUCACUCUGAAGUCAAAUUCUUCUUACUGUCAAGUUGUAAAAAUAAUUAAUAAAAAUAUAUCUUGCUUUUAUUUCUGAUACAUUUCACCUUUGCGGAUUGUAAAGAACUUGUUAUCAGUUGGGAAGCAUGUCCUUUUUCAUUCUUAGUUUUACAAUUGUUCUUGGGCAGUGAAUACAGACUUGGAAGAACAUGUUACAUCACAAAAUUUAUUGGAUGUAUUUCUGAAAAUUAUUGUUUUCUUCAGUCUUUUUAUCGGAAAAUAGUUUUCCACAUUUCUGGUAAUAGUUUCCAGGUAAAUUGUCGUUUUCAGUAGAACCAGUUUGACUUUAAUUUCUCUUGCGGCGUUUUGCUUUUCUAGAAGUACCUAUGAAUACUCUCAAUGGAUUUGCAAUUCAUAAGCUCUUUCUACAACUAGUGUUUUAUCUCCCUAAAUGCCAGAUAGUUUCCUAGAUGAUAAAUUUUACCUUCAUUAUUUAUUUUCUGACCAGUGUUUGAUAUGACAUGCAGUUAAGUUUUUCAUAUUCGAACAGUGAAAUUUGAAUGAUCAUCUUAAACAUGAAAUUCUUGUUUCAGGGCAGCAUUUUCAUAUCAGAAGACGGCCAAAUGCGUCGAGGGGUGCAUUUAAUUCUGUUGAUUCUGCUUGUAACAUUGGGUUUUCUGCAGAAGAAAAUUCUGUAAGUUUGCAUUUCCAUGUUCAGGUUCUCAUGGCAUUGAUGUGUUCUGUAAUUGAUCUCAUUCCCUUGAGUCGCUGCAAGGUAUUAAAAUGUAAUCGUUUGUUGGAGAUAAUGGCUGAGUCUGAUGGUCUAAUGUGAAGCAUAAGCCUGAGUAUAUUCUGCUAAGUAUGUUGCAUAAACAAUUUGUUAGUUGUGUAUGGUUUUGGUAGGCAAUUGAUAUAACUUUUCUUGUUUUUGAUAGUCUUUUAGUUUUUGUUUUGCACUUAUUAAAAUAUGGGCUGCUGCUUUUUUCCAAUUUUGAAUAGAUGUCUUUGAAUAAACUUUUUCCCAGUAGAGACUUAUUCAAAUGCUUCAAUGUUCCCAGUUUACUCUUGAAAUCAGGCAAAGCUCCUCCAAGAAAGCCAGUCAGAUUCCUAUAAGAGAGAUGAUGGUAUCAAACGAGAAAGAAAUUAAGCGUCCCUCACCAAAUUUAAUCGCAAGGCUGAUGGGUCUUGAUUCGCUCCCCUCUCCAGUGAGACAACAGAAAAAUAUGGAUUGUUAUUGUCAGACCUCAUCAUCUAUAGGCUUUUUGGAGAAUCAUGUACAUCCUGAGGACCAUUCAUACCAGAGGAGUGCCAUUGAGGACCAAGAGUUCAAAGAUGUUUUUGAAGUAACAGAAACAUCCAAAAAGAAGAAGCACAAGAAUUACUCUAACAAUGGUGGGAUGCUUAGUCACAGAGGAAAUAAAAUUGACAUGGAUCUUAUAAGGCAAAAAUCUAUGGUUAUAGAGCAUUUCUCAACCGAUGAAAUGCUUCAAAAUUCUAGAAAAUUCAAUGAUGCAGUUAAAGUCCCAGGCCAAAGCAAGGAUCUUUUCCUGGAACUUCUUCAAGAUCCCAAUUCUUUAUUUGCAAAGCAUCUUCGAGAUCUGAACCGAUCACCACCCUCACCUGAUCAAAGCAAGAUUACAAAUUUAAGACCGUCUAAAGGUACUAAGCAUUCAAGAAAUGAAGUUUGGUAUAAGUUUAGAUCAGAAAGAAAUCCUGAUAGGUGCUUUCCUAUGUCACAAGAAGUCACGGGAUCUUGUACAAUGCAUAUGACAAGACUUAACAAGCACUAUGUUGAAGAAAACAAUGGUUUUCUUUCACAUAAUUUAACUGCAUCACAUGUGGGCAAAACUGAAGUUGAUGUUCAUCCUGCUCAAAUUGUUAUCUUGAAACCUAACCUUGAAAAAUCCCAAAAGAUGGCAGAGGCUAAUUAUUUUCCCCAAGAGAGUUUCAGGUUUUGUUCCAAAAGGUGCAGAGAAAUUGCAGCAUCUGGAACUGACGAGUUACAUGACAACGAAAGCAGACAGAGGUUCCAUCACACACAGGUAUUUUGCCACAAAAUCAAGGGUUCAAGAGAGAUUCCUAAAGAAAUUAGGAGAAAGCUCAGGCACACUAUUAGCCAUACCAAUAAGGGUUCUACCUCAGAAAUGAAUCCAUAUGCUGGGAACAUGGACUCAUGUAGCUUUCCAGGAUUUUGUAGUCUCUACCACUCAGAAGCAAUUAGUCAGUCUCCUGGCCAUUUUGGUGAGUGUUGUAGCAGUAUCAGCCCCUCAUUGUCAUAUUCUACUGAAUCUUCUGUGAGCAGAGAGGCUCGAAGACGCCUGUGUGAAAGAUGGAAGUUAACCCAUGAGUUUCAGAAUAUGAGACUUAUUCCUCAUGGCUCAAGCACACUGGGGGAAAUUCUUGCACUAUCUGACAGAGAGGUACCAAAGGUUACCAUGGAGAUGUUAGAUGCUAAGAAAGUUUCAGAAGAAAAUUUGGCUAACAGUGAGGUACUUGGAAACAAGGACUGUCCAUUGGGUAUUAGCAGCAACAGUGGCUGCACAGAAGGGAGUUCCCGAUACUUACCAAGGUUAAAGUCACUUCCAGUUUCAUGUAGCCCUGAAUUGACCGACAGAAAACGAAAUGAAGGGAAUAGAAAAACUAUGAUCAAAGAUGUACGAGAUAUGAAACCAUCUGUCUCCUCAGAUGCAAGUUUUACUAAGCCUGGAAAACCACCACUAAAACCAUCUAAGCAUCAAACUCACAAGUAUAUGCAAACUUAUUCUAUUGGAGAGGAAAAUAUGCUACCUGAAUGGGAGAUUCAUGCUAAUUCAGAAGGAUUGAGAAAGAGUAUUCAUUUGAGACAUUUUGUUGACAAAAGGACAUUACACCCUUCACCUACUGAUUAUGGCAUUUCUGACAGAAGUCAGCUAAUAAGCAAUGCAUCGAUUCCAAUACUCAGAGAUGAGCCAUGGCAUUUGACUGCUCAAGAAGAACAGACAAUGCAAAGUGCAUAUCAAGAGUCAUUAGAGAAUGAAGGAUCAUAUGGCCACAUUAAGAAUGUUAUAGUGAUUGAGGUGCUCUUCUGGAAUCACAUUUCUUUAGUAAAAUUUUCUUUGGUAGUGGUAAUGAUCAUCGUGACCAAAAUGAAUCAUUUGGUGUCCAAGGAUGAUUUACCUCUUUUCUUCUCUAUGUUAAGUAUAAUAUGUUCACAAAAGUUCAUGCCUUUUUUCACUUUACUAAAUUCUGUAUUGCAAAAUUUUUUAGAUGCAAUUGGUUGCAUAUUGAGCAAAAGAUUUUUUGUAGGACGUAUUGAAGCUUUCUCUCUGUUUCCACUCACACAGCCAUCACUUUAUACCCAUAUAGGAGCGUGAACUCCAUGUAAGAUCUUUGAUAUGUUUCUAGUUGCUACCACCCCAGCCAAAUAUCAGUUGUUGUCAUCGGUUAAUUGAUUAUUUUAUAGUCAAAGUACAUGUAAUAAAUGAGUAGUUGUAAAUGGUUUUCCUGGCACAGCUUGUCUUACUAGCAGUGAAUAUUUAUUUAUUUCUCACAGCUCACAGAAAUUGACAUGCUUCUAUUUGACUGUAGUAGGUGACUGCUGUCACAUCGAUGCACACUCCAUAUUAUAAAAAAUUGUGAAAGUUCAUUGUUUUUGGUCCAUAUUAUGCUUUAUGAAUCCUUGAAUUAGGUUGAUUUCAUGUCUAUUUUUAUACAUGAAAUGAGCUUUUGUAUCACUCAGUUUCUCAAAAGCAAAUUAUACACUUUCAGGGAACAUCAAACGACCAUCUGCAAGUGAAGCUGCUUCCAUCUGAAUCUGGUGUGGCUGAAUCACAUCCUCUAAGCUCCAAGAAGCUUGUUGAACAGCCAAGUCCAGUCUCUGUUCUAGAGACUCCAUCUGAAGAUAAAACCUACAGCUCAGAAUGCUUUGAAAGAUUGACUGCAGAUCUUAAGGGUAAGUGAACAACCUUUUCUUUGAUUUGUAUCUUCUCCUAAUUUUUCUGGAUUUUACAGUUGUAUCUUCUCCAAACUGCAGAGCUGCGCAUGCAGCUUCAACUUCUCAAACUGGAGUCUGUCACUGCAUGUUCAGAAGAAACAGAUGUUCUCAUGCUGAGCGAAGAAGACUCUGCAAGCGACAGUCACAAGCGUCUGCCUUCAAGGGAGGUACAUCAACGAUUCAUAGAUGAUGAUGAUAGAGACUUCACGUACCUACUUGACAUGCUUAUAGAGUCAGGUAUCCAUGGUGUUGAUGACAAGAAGCUCGUGGGUGCCUGCUACUUGCUAGGUUACCCUGUGGACCAAAAUAUCUUCAGUAAAAUUGAGAAGAAGUAUGAAAAAAUUGCAUCAUGGUCAAGAUCAGAAAGAAAGUUUCUGUUUGAUCUUAUAAAUUGCACUCUAGCUGGUUUAGUCACCUCAUGCAUGGAUGUGCACCCGAGGGUAACAUCAAAGAUUUGUCAGCCAUCAUGGGAUGGUGCAGGCCUUGUUGAAGGUCUGUGGCAAAUGGUGGCCAAGCAAAAGAAGGAGGUGGAUUGCAAUCGAGAAAACAAGAUCCUGGAGCCAGGAUGGUUCUGCUUGGAAUAUGAUAUCGGCUUGAUUGCAACAGAGAUGGAGAGCUUGUUAAAUGAUGACAUCUUGGAGGAACUUGUCAGUGAGUUUGUCUCAGUUAGAGCUACACCGGAGUUGCUUUGGUGAAAGUAAUAGACAAGGCAAGGUGCAUCAGUCGCUAAUCUAGCAACCAUGAUAAUGUUCAUAUUCUUUAAGCUGCAUCGUUAUAUCCAGUCACUGCUCAGUAUUCCUGUCGGGAGGCAUCGACCAUGUAUGUUCUAGUCUCGUCAAUUCGGUUUAGUUACUUUUUGUAAUUCUUAGGGGAUCAUAUCUUCCAAAAGCUAGGUGGCAUCCGAGUUUAGCGCUUUGUUAAUACAAUUGCUAUGAUAUCAAAUGUCAAACUUACAUGUGUUGUAUGUAUAACUUACUCUUUAUCGAUUAAAUUGAUGGUAGCAUGUCAUGCCAAGUACUCAUCUUAUCAUGCCUGGAUUCUCAACCUUACUUUGCAAUGUGUAUACAAGAGUCUCAGUGUGAAUGGUUAUGCAACUGUCAUCAGCUUUACUGCCAUCAUGCUUGCCAAAGUCUUAUCUUUCCUAAAUCAGUACAAAACUUUUUGCUAUUCAAUUAGACUACUACCUUGAUAACUAUAAAGAGGCCAUUAAUGGUUGCAUAGGGAUAUUUUACAUUGCAAUUUGUAGAACAUGACCAUUUCUGCUCAUAUAUUGCAGUGUCAUUUCCUUUUCUUUUGCAAAAGCCUUAUCGAGCUAUUUUUAGUGCAUUAUAAUACAAGCCAUAGAUCUCAUAUUCCAAUCAUGACGUUUUACAUGUCAUUUAAUAAAAUUAAAAUUUUAUAUAUUAUUGAUCAGUGCUAACUUGAUCCAAGUUUGUGUGCCUCCAUAAAACCAUUACAGCAUCAACAUGUUCUUUUGUGUCCACAGAAACAAUACGAAUCUCAAAGCAUCUUGCCUCGUAGUGUUGUUGGAGGAUUUACUGUGGCCCGACUCAAGCUAUCUAUCAACUUCUUGAGAUCCAAAUAUCACAAUUUGAGUAGAUCAACUUCAUGACACCCAAAUAUCACAAGCCAUCUAUCAAUUUUGUUUAAUCCAAAUUAUUAGUUAAAAUAUUUAAAUUUAACUUAAUAAUAAUAUAUUCAUUAGAUCCUUAUAAGUUAAUUUUAAUUUUGUUCAAGAGUACAUUCCCAAUUUUACUUUUUUCUCAUAUGAUAGAUAGAAGCUUCAAUAAUAGAGAGUAACAAAAGCAAAGAGCACACCAUGACAAUUCAAUCAUAUCCAGAAUGGUCCACAUCAUUUUCCUUUUUGCUCAUAUCCCAAGAAAAGAGCACACGCAAUACAAUCAUAUCCAGAAUGGUCCACAUCAUUUUCCUUUUUGCUCAUAUCCCAAGAAGAACUACAACCCCAGAAAACAAUUAAACCUCCACUUCUAAGUUAAGGUAGCUUGACAAGAAUUUAUAAUGCAUCCAAGACAACAAAAAGGUCAAGGGUAUAAAAAGCAGAAUCAACGUACAAUUUUUUAUUAUUAUUUAAAGGCACUAAUUAAUUUGGUUGUAAAGACUUUCUGAUGUUGAUAUGGAUAUGGGUCUUGAGAUCAACAUGUGUCUUCGUCUUCACCAUUUAUUUAUAACCAAUGACUGCGACACAAACUCUGGAAGCAAAUUGACUUGGAUUCGGUCGAAACAAACUAGGUUGAAUAAUUCAGACAAAAUCACCUUCGGCAGUACUACCAAUCUGCUGGUCUUUGUAAUGCUUGCCAUCCUGAACAUAACUGGAGAACCUCUUUGAGAGCCACAGAUGCUGGCUCCAUGGUCCAUGUUGGGUAGUGUUCCAAGGCAUUGAAAACGCUUUCAACACCGGCACCUUGUAUCAAACAAGGCUGGGCACCAUUCAUAAACAAAUCACCUUCAGACCUUAUCCACCCUGAUGCGACCUCUUCUCUGUCUGCCGCCUGCACCAAUGAGAUGCACAACAGCAAGUUAUCAGUGCUGAUUUGGUUCUGGAAAAUUUUUUGACAGAUCAGAGAUCGGAAAAAGAAAACAUGAAAAGUAACCAUAAAAAUCCUUCACAAUGAAAUGGAGUAACCUUCUGUUUUUCUAAAUUCUAAUUUUUGGCACUGCAUGGUAUGGAUUGUAGAAAGCUCAUUGACAUCAACAAAUGCCAAAAUAAGAUCCACAUAUAAGUAAAUACACAAACUUAUUCCCUAUAUCAACUUUCAAAUGCAUGGAAGUAGCUGCUCACUGUCACACCUUCUCAGGCAUGUACUUGAAAACCACCUUCUUCUGGCCUGCUUCAUAAAUGUUGCAUUGAGAAAGGAUCUAAAGCCAAAUCAUGUAAGGAAGAAAAUUUUAUUAGAAGUGAAUGAAAACACGCUUUCAAAAUUAAAAAAAAAAUGAACAUGUGAACUAUUAGUAAUCCAGAAGGACCUGUGCUUCUACACUGGCACAAACAGCAUAUAUGCCCCAAUUUCUUGUGUAGUUGUUAUAAAGGUGGACUCUGCCAAAUCUAAGUCGAGGAUGCCGCUGCCUUGUUCCAUCAAAGAAACAGUGAUGAAUGGUAACACGGAUACAUCUAUCUGUGAUGUGGCUACUAUCUGCUCCGAUAAGCAUUGUUUUGUCAUGCAUUGCGAAGUGACAUCUGUUCAAGCUAACAAAUUAGAAUCAUAUAAUUGUGCAAUUCUUAUUAUUAAUUAAAUAUAUAAGCUCCUCAUACUAUUCACAUAAAGCACCUUAUUCAAAACUUCAUAGUAUUAGACAGGCAUUGUUAGUGAUUCCUAGGGAUAAAGGUUCUCACACUUUUCGCAUGUCGGAAGUACAUUACUAAUAAUGCUAGAAUUCAGGAAGUUAGAGACCAAUUAAUUCUGCCACUCUGGGCCCCAUAAUAUUUUGAGCCGACUGGCACACCUAUCACUUGUAAAUCAUCAUAACAUUGCUACAUUCGAACAUGCACUUCAAACGAGAAAGAGGGGAUCGCCAAACAGAGCGAAUGAACAAUGGAGUUUGCCCAAGUUCAAUAAAUGCAUUCAAAGAUUAGACUGUGUUAGUACUAGGUGCUUCUUGAUAAGUUGAAAGGGAUGUAUUUUGGUAACUUUGAAACUUCUACACCAAUUAGGAUGAUAAGACCAUGCACCUUGAAACCAUUCUGAGAAGGAAGUCAAACUAGACAAUUUAAAUUUUCUAAUGACUAAAAUGCUUAUUUAUGGAAUCACAUAAGUUUUUACAAAGACAACUAAUUUAAAUCCACAUAGUAAAAUGCCUUUUUCUACAUUACCUUGAAACAGUGACAUCAGUGCUUUCACGAGUGAUAUCAAUAAGUCCAUCGUCAUAAUCACGCAGGCUGCAGCGAUCUAUCCAAAUAUGCCUUGACUUGGGUUUUAUCUGAAUACCAUCAACAUCAUGUCCUCUACCACCUUCAAACUCCAGAUUGCAUAUGAUUAUAUGUUCACACUCUUUCAGCUGCAAACCUUUGCCAGUCAACUUUAUCCUCUGUCCUCGACCAUCAAUUGUCUUAUAGGAGGAUACCCUCAAGUACGAAGAAAGAUGGAUGGUUCCUGAAAUCUCAAAAAUGAUCCAGAGUGGUUCUCUUAUGCGGCAUGCCUCACGAAGCGAGCCAGGGCCAUCAUCUUCACAAUCAUAAGGGAGAAUGAGGUUCUUUCAGCAACCACAGAAAUUAGAGAAAAUAGGUGUAAGAAAUGGCAGUCAUAUAUACAGACAACCUAACAAUCACAAAGUAAAUAAGAAACUUUGACAACACCACCUAUGUUUAGGUACAGAUUAAUAGAAUUCAACCAGUAGCAUUAAUAAAAUUUCUUCAUUCAUUUCCUAAUUCUAUUUUAUUUUCUUGGUGGUGAUAAGAGAUUACCACUUGUAAGAUGUAUCAUCUGUAAUAAUUCGUGAACAAGCAAUGGAACCACAAUAUCACAACUAUUCAGAAUUUCCUAAUGCAGUCAUAACAUAAUUGUACGUUGUAAGAUAAAUGACGUCUUAAAUGGGGCUAAAAGAGAUCCCCUGAAGAGAGGAACAGCAGAGGGCCUAAUCUCAAUCUCGAAAGUACACGGAUGGAAUCAGCAUAAGCAACGUAUAUAUAACCUUAAUCAGCAAUAACAAUAAUCGUACUUUAAAACCUAGAAUUUUAAGGGGUAAAAACGGUAGAAUAAAUUAGACAAAGAAACAAUAUUUAUCUUAAAAGAUCAGGAAUCUUGGUCGCAUUGUACGCUGACACAAGGUAUCUUCUUGUGAGGCUAUGGUUGAUGAAUCUAAACGAUACAGCACGCGAAUACGAAGAACAACAACAAAGACCGAUGGAUAAGAUCCGAAAACUAGAACCAUGAACAAAACAAGAGCAAUCAUAAAGCCCUAACGAGCAAUAGGGAGGCAGUGGAGGGAGAAGGGGGGAACCAGCCAAGGAGGUGACAUGAUAGAUGGGUCCAUGGAGGCCUCCGAUGGCGUGGCGGCCGAAGCCCUCGGCCUGUCCGGCUAGGGCUCGUAAGCGCGCAUCGACGUGGGCGUAAGGCAGUUUUGCGCCCAUUUCCUUCGUCACCCCCGCCGCUGCCGUUGGGACGCUAACGAAGGGAGGAGCAGCGGGGGGAGCGGAAGACGUGGGAUGCGACAGUUGAUCGGACGACGGCGAGCUGUGAGGACGAUGAGUGAACGUUUCCUUCGGGAAGCAGCAAAACCACCGACGAGCUCCCAUCCACCGACACCCAAGCCGGCUUCCUCGAAUUAGGAUGGACGGGUAGGAAAGGUUGAAUACAUAUAAUUAUAACACGAACGGUUAGCACUCGGAAACUUCAAUUCAUACUUUGAUAGAUUGAUGAAAAUUAAUAUAUAUAUAUAUUUUUUAAUUUUCAUCGAUCUACAAUGUUAGUACAUUAUAAAUUUAAGAAAACCAUCAAUCCACAAUGUUAGUACUUACUCUAUAAUAAUGAUGAACGUAACUGAUAAGGUAUAUUUUGGGUCCAGGCCACGUCUCAAUCAAUGCCACGCCACACUACUGCCAAGUCAGCAAGAGGAGCACCCCCAUGCACUGAGCCAAAAUACGUACCAAAGCAUUGCUCGAUAUGUCCCGUCCCGGAAAGUUCGGGUCUUAUGGCACCGUUCCAUGCGUCCCGGGACGACGGCCACACAAAGGUACCAUCUCACCCCUCGAGGAUCGAUCGUCACGUCAAAUUCGCGUACGACCGACUCUCGUACAGUAGUAUAAAAGCCUUUGGCCGGCAUCUGGCCUAGGGAGAGACAAAAAAAAAAAACAUCAACCCAAUACUGACUUGCUCGUCGGAGGGGCCAAAGUCGGCAAUCACCCAACGAGGGCCAUCCUGACAGGAAAGCGGCUACCCCCCGAGCCACGAGCAUUCCGACCAAGAGUCGUCGACCAGCAUCCCGACGGUAAGCCGCCAACCAACGUUCGAACCGAGAGACGCCAAUCAACGUUCCGACGCCAACACCCCGUUUCAAGGGUUUGACCGAUCUCGACAACCAGUUCAGUCGACCAAAGACUAUCGACAUCGACCCGUGGACCAAGCCGUACUGACUCAUCAACCAUGACGCAUUAGUUCAUCAAUAAUAAAUAUGAUAUUAUUAAGUUAUUCAAAUGUUUUAUGCGGAUGACUAUUAUUGGUCAUUUUUUUAGAUAUUACGUUUAAAAAAAAUCCAUAUUUUUUUAAAGGUAAAGAUGAUAAUUUCUUAAUUAAGUUACUUAUGUCUAGUGCCAUUCAAUAUUUGAAUGAAAAAAGAAGUGUUUUUAAAAACACUUCUUUUCUUUCAUUUCGAAAUUAUUAUAAAUAUAAAUUCUAAAAACAUUUCCAAUUAUUACAGAUAUGAAUCGACCCAAAGUUUGGAUUAUCAGAGUUAUAGUGUCGAAAAAACAAAGGUUUAUUGGUUGAUUUGAAAUAAUAUCGGAUUUAUUGAUAAUUUUUUCCAUUCUUCUCAUAGAUAGUCAACAUUAGUUAUCGCGAAUCUUUCUUCUUCUUUGGGAUGUUUAGUUUGAGAGGAUCCAUUUGAAACAGUGUCAUGUUGAUGUGGUUCAGCCACAAGCACGUCAACUGCUCCAAAGGCCACACCAAAGUCUUUUAAGUUACAUAAGGCUCUGCAAUCCACUCCAUAGGGAGAGGGCUUUCACCACUGAUGAGGUCUAAAGUUGAUCAAAACAUUCAAUUAAAAUAGUCAAGAAUUGCACCAAUACAAAGACCUCAUGGAUGAGAAGUUUAAUAAGAGCUGCAGAUUAUCCAUUUCUGCAGUGGCAUGCUAAGAGAACUCAGACAAAACUAUCAGAUACAAGUUCAUGGCAGCAAACUGUAAUCCAUACAGCCUUAAUGUAAUACCAACAUCAGCUGGGAUUUCUUAGGACAUGUAGCAACAAAGAGUUCACAUAAAACAGAGAUCAGAUGUAUAAGGACGCAAAAACUGAGGUUUAUCCUCGAUUUAGAUGGCGUAAAUCCUAUCGACUUCAGAAUCAGAGAACUCAUGGUUGUGAUGCCAUGAGUUUGAAGUGCUCCUCAUGGAUUUCUCUCGCCUCCUGAUAGAACGAGUCCGCUUUGAUUUCACGACGUAGAAAGUCAUGGUGCCAAGAACACCAGCCAUUAUCAGUCCACCAAUUAGCGUAACUAGAAUAGCGGCCCACUGAAAAUGCCGACCCACAACAAUAUAGGACGAGGCAAUGAAAGCGACAGUAGUGCAGAUGGAAGCCAACCACAUCAACUUGUUUAUGAUCUCGACGACCCGCCGCUCUGCCUUUGUUUCGCCCCUGACGAGUGUUAUCUGAACCACCACCACGGCCAAUGAAGUGAACAGGGCAAUAGCAUUAAAGAUGAAAAAUAUCUUGAAAGACCCUUUAUGCACAACUUCUGCUACUCCAUCAUCUCCAGUUCCACCAGGCACUGUAAAGAUAGCCGCGAAUGCCACCGUCGCAAAGAGCACAGCAACCACUGUAACAGAGUUGGUGGCAUUGUUAAUGCCUUCUCUGUGAAGUUUCCUCAGCUCCUUGGCAAUCCCAUUGACAUUUUUGUUUGUUUUCCGAGUCUGCUCAAGCUGUAUAUGAACAUCUUUUUUUAUCUCUGUUACAGUCCUCCGUAGCUCAUCUCGUGGUUGAUUUAGUUCAUUGGCUCUGCAUGCUCCACAACGAGAUAGGGAGUCCUUGAUAUCAGAAGACUCUUCAGAAAGAGGUAGGCCUUCGGCAAUAUCAAAAGCAGUUUUAUGGUCUCUUGUCAAUGCAUUCACAUUUAUAUCUGGAAGGAGAACUAGGAGAUGAACUAUCUGCAAAAAGUGAGAAGAAUUUGAAUUAUGCAUGUAAGAAAAUAAUGCAGGUUUCUUGUUUCUUUGCUAUUUGAUUAUCCAUAGUAGCAAAAAUAACAAUGAGUACAGUUGACAGACACAUCAGCAAAUCUCUCAAUGGCUGAAGGUGUCACAAGAUAUUGAUAACAUCUCGACGAACAAAGACCUCUGAGGGAAGCUAAAGUGCUUAAUAAAAAUUCAUCAGUGGGUUAAUAAUUCUGCAAUGGAACUGUUCACAGGGACAUGAAUAUUGAGCGAAUGUAAACAAAUUAUAUGCUGGGAAAAACAAUAAGAAAAAAAAAACUUUUUUUGCAAACUUCCAUACCUAAAUUACUUCACCCUGGAACAGGAAUAGAAAAGAACCCAUGUUUCUGUUGUUCUUUGGCAUUCAUAUCUAAAGUAAUGUCGUUUACAAACUCCAAAGGCCUCCCCAAGAAAUUGAUCGAUCUGCCACAUAAUUCAUAUUAUAGUUAAAACUUUUACCCUGUCUUCACCCUUUCUUUGCCAACAGAAGCAUCUACAUGCCCAAUGUUAUCUAGUAUAUCAAUAAACUGACUGCACACACCAAUCUAAAUCAUGUGAUUUUGAGUGAUAGGAUUUGUUUCUGAUGUACCAUUCUUCACAUACACCCAACAGCAUAUAUCAGAUGCUAUGUAAUAUGCUCGUUAUACAGAUUUUACCUCCAAUGUGCCAACCUGUGUUACAUUAAGGUGUUAGUGAACUAUAUCGGUUUCAUGUCAACUUGCAGGUAGCACAAACAGUGGCACAAAAACAAACACAAACACAAACACAUGGAUAUACACAUCCCCAGCAGGCACACAUGACACACAACACAAACUAGCCACUGAAUGAUGAUUAACCAAAUGUCUCAAGCUUCAGUCAGUACUCAACCUUCUUUGCAAAUUGCUUCCUACGGUCAUUGAAGAACAAACAAUCGAGAUUCUGUAAAGUACCUAGUAAGAGGGUGAAGCUUUUGCAAAUGCAAUAUCUUCUUCCAAUUUCCUCGAUGAAAUGAAAUGUUAAAGGGAACACUAGUUCAAGUAAAAAAGUGUCAAUAAACUGGUGUACCUCUUUAAUCAUCAUGAUUCCAAAAACCCAUGCAACUAAUAUAGGCAACCAGAACAGUAUAUGCAUUCAAAUUGUAACACAAAAAAAAAAAACUCAAUCCACAUGUAACCAAAAAGCAUCACGAAGUAAUACCUCUGCACGUUUUUUCCUUGUUGCAACAUGUAAUGCUGUGUUUGCAGCUCUGUCUGGUAGCAUAACAAUAGCUGGAUCUGUAUUCAGAAGGGCUUUAACAACUUCACAACUUGUUCCCUUCACUGCCAUGUGCAAAGCAGUUUGCCCUUUCUUAUCAGUUCUUCUGGCAAGCUGUGGAUCCUUUCCCAACAAUGCUUUUACAAUCUCCACAUGUCCCUGUCUUGCAGCAAAGUGCAGUGCAUUUUUUCCAUUUUUUUUGGAUAACUCGAUUAAGCUAUCAUCUUGUUCAAGCAAGAGAUUCACAACUUCAGUGUGUCCUCUUGUUGCUGCAGUUAUAAGGGGGGUAGCAUUUGAUUGACCAAAAGUUUUGACAAGAGUUGGAUCAUGUCCCAAAAGUACCUGAACAAUUGCUGUACAUCAAUGAUUAGAGCUAGAUCUGCUACUGUAAUGGACAAGAGUUGAAAAUGAAGCUACGGAGACAAUACAAUGAAACAAAUGACGAAUAGCGUGUGAUAACACCAUUUGCUUGGGAACAAAUGAAGGCAAAGGCAGAUAUGUCACCUGAAUCUAAAUUCAUGGUGACUUGAAAAAUAGUAAAAAUUGAUGAUAGCGAUGUAUCCUAAUUAUAUAUGAAACACAAAUGUAUCAGAGAAAGACCUACAACAAUAGGUAUGAACAUAAAUUCCAGCAUAAAAAAGAAAAAGAGAAAGAGAACAAAAUAAAUUUUAACUACUAAUGGAAUCUGUUUUCAUUUGAAUGUUGAUACUCGAAUCAAAAUAUAAAAGUAAGUGCCUUUAUAUUUGUUCGCAUCAUUGUAAAAUACAUGCUUCGGUGUUAUAGCCUCUUGAAAACUAAAGCAGCACUAUUUGCAGCCCUAAAGUUUUAAAUGCAUUCCACCUUUUGUCAGUCAAGAUGUUUCCACAAAUCGUAGACCAUUGAAGGCUUCGUACCAGCAAAAUAUAUAAUCGACACAUACCACACAAUUACAAGAAUUUCCCAUCUACAAGAAAUGAAAACAAUUAGCAACUACAGGAACAAUUGGCUAAACCAUGUAUCCAGUACAAGUUUUACAAUUAUUAUUAUUAUUUGGAACAAGUGCAAAUAGUUCGGCAUGGACAUUUAAGAGGUUCAAAAGAGCAAGCUAAAUCGAAUAUAUUGUUAUGUUCCUCAAAACUCUGAAAAGAGUCACCUGAGAGAGCAAUCUGAAUCUCCUAAUGUAUGAAGCUCUUUCAGUAUGUAAUGCAUCAAUCACACAGAGGUUGGCAUAUAGUAAAAUCCAAGAAUGUGAUGCACUUCCUUAGCAUUCAAUUAGUUCAGAUGUUGAAGCAUUAAAAUCAAAGGUGUGGUUGAAUAGGCUUUAUUAGUAUCUGCCAGUAAAUCUAGUGUCACUCCAUUCCGACAUCAAAUCCACUAUUUGAGGCAGAACGGAAGGCAAUUAAUUGACGAAGCAGCUUUUACCGAAUCUAGGGUUCCACGAUAACAGCACAAUUGAGGAAGUUUGGUGAUGAAAGCUCUUCUCACCUUGAUGCCCUUCUCUAGCGGCGAUAUGGAAAACGUCAAACCCGGAUCUGUUCUUCCUCGUGAGGCUCUCUCGGUCGGUGUACUUGAGCAGCUCGACCACCACAUCGAGAAACCCUUUUUGGGCUGCCGUGAACAGAGCCGUCUCGUCCUCCUCGUUGACGUCGUUCACCACGGCCGCCCGUAUCUCCGCCACCUCGGCGUCGAAAUCGGCGCCCAUUGCCGUCCCCGUCAUCUGGGCGUCGAUCUCGCCGAGGAUCUGCCGCACCGCCGCGAGGUCCCCGCGAUGCGCCGCGAGGUGGAGCUCCGUGUCAUUGUGCCGCCCGGUCACCUGCUUCACGUAUUUCUUCUUCCCCGAGGGAUCCAUCCGCUUCCCGGAAUUGGAUAGAACUAGAGACGGCGACGCCGCCUGGUCCAUCCGCUUCCCGGAGUUGGACAGCACCAGGGCCGGCGUGGCGGGCGCCGACGAGGAGGACGCCGCCACCUCUUGGUCCAAGCGCCUGCCGGAGUGCGAGAGAACCAUCGUGCGGAUGGGAGCAAAUGGCGGGCUGUAGUUUAGGCUCGCCGGUCCCAAUUCGAGGUCCCUCUCCCCUUCAUGGAGGAAACGAGAUAUCGGGAUAAGCAGAAUCGGGGCGGCGAGAGGUGGUGGGAGGGGGAAAGGCGUUACCUUUUUCGAAUUGGAGGGCCAUCGUCUUCAUCGCCGUCCUCCUCCAGCCUUCUCCUCCCUUGCGCUACCGAAUGGUAGGAAACGCCAUGGCUACGCGAAGGUUGCCAAGCUGUAUGGCGAAAGAGCCACGCGAGGGGAGGGAGAGAGAGAGACGAGAGGUGGUGAGUGGCGAAUUUUUUGACAAUUUCAAAAGGAGAUUAUUAUUAUUAUUAUUACAUACACACAAAUAUUCUUCCAACUUUAGGGAUAUAUUUAUAUAUGUCCUCUAUAGUAUAAUUAAAAAUAAAUAUUGCAGGAAUUUUAGUUAUUUUGCUCAUUAAUUAAAUAUUAUUAAAUUCAAUUUAGUUCCUAAUAAUGAAGUUAAUAGCAGUGCUUAAACCAAAAUUUGUGUAGUUGAUGUUAAUUGGAGGGUACAUAUGGGAAAAUAAAUAUUUGUAGCACAAAUGUAUCAUUUUGAAACGUUGAAACAAUAGACAUCCAAAACCUUCUCGUUCAUUUGGCCCGAGUGGUGGGACCCACGUGGGUCCAUGUUGACCUAUCUAUCAUUAAUGCCAUUAAUAAGAAAGGACUAAUAAAAGGCAUUGGUUAACUUAAGAUGACUAAGUGGUUGACUUCAUUUCUCUUGGCUUCCAAAUGCUGAUGAAAUGAUCAUAUUACACAUUGGGGGGGUUAGGUAUGUUAACAAUUAAAUGUUCUUGUGCAUUUCACCCAACCAGCCAAAGUAGAAUGCAACAUAUUUGUCCAAUUUAUUAUUAUUAUUAUUUAUAUAUCUCAAUAUGAGAAAUUAUAAUUUUCUAAUGUAGAUAAAUUUUAUUAUUUUUUCAUAAAUGGAUUGCAUGUUGACUGACUUAGUGAUUGAAUAUUUAAUAAAAUUUUUAAAAUUUUAAAAAUAUAAAAAUAAUAUCAUACAUAAUAAGCUUGCCUUCUCUUUCCUCCUUAUAAUAAAAAAAGAUUUAAAUAUCUUUAGAAAAUAUUUUUUCUAUUUAUAAUAAUAAUAAUAAUAAUAAAGUUGACUACACAUGCAUGCAGACCGCAGUGGACUCGUAGUGCACGUAACACGGUCAAGUCGUUGCAUGGAUUCCAACAGCAAAUCGACGAGUCGGGCGACGAAUGGUUGUCAUCGCGUUGUAAUAAAUGAGUCGUCGGUUGUUAGGUACAAAGUCGUGACCUGCCACAUGCGCAGGUUGUUAGUAGUCACGAAAACAAAGAAUAUUAGAUGACAUAAUACGUUUUAGAUGCGUCUAUAUGAAUUAAGUUUCAUGCUAUUCUGCAGAAAAUAAUAUAAUAAGACAUAUAUUGUUUCAAUAAUUCACAUAAUAGUAUUUUUUUUUUCACAAAGGGCACAAAUAGGACGUUUAAAAAUAUUUUUUUAAUUCCUAAAUGUUAAAAAUAUAUAUUUUAAAAUGUUAAAAUGAUUCUUUUUAAAUAUUAAAAAAUAAAAUAAAACCGCUCUUGUGGGCCCCAAAGAAGGUUCCUUGUUUUCUUCGUACGGCACACACGUAUGUAAAGUGUAGACGAAGAAGCAGUCCACGUCGGCCUUCCUCGUCACCCACACGACACGCGUGGGACCACCCCACGCGUGUGCUGUGGGGCACCAAAACUGGAACCUCGAGUCGGACCCACCCCGUUUCUCACCUCGACAGUUAUUGGAGGAACGGCGCAAGUGGGGCCAUUCUCUCGUCGCCAAAAAUAGCCCCCACGAACACGCCGGAAGCGAGCGGGUCCCACCUGGAAGCAACGAAUACGGAGGGGGGAGUUGCCAGGUCAACGGUCAAUCCCUCCUUCCGCUCGCGGUCUUCCUCGUCCAGCCCGGUCGGUAACGCCACCUGCUGCUAAUUAUUCUGCCUUUUCCUUUUGAUUUCUUGACCAUUUGUUGGGGAUUUUGUUCUACGCCGUAACGCCAUCUUCACAUGCUUCAUGCAGUUUGUUCCAUGCUUCAUGGGAAUAUAAAUGCCUUUGUCUUUCUGUUCGGUAUGGAUGUAAAUGGGCGUCGUCUUCCUCAUCAUUGGUUGAGAGGCAAGAGACCCCCCACGGAGCUCCCCGCGAAUUGAAUGAGGACCCAUUUCCACAUGGCAGGAAGUUGGAAUGGGUUCUGGGAUCAUCGGAGCUAGAGGUACUUCGAUCUCUCUCCCGCCCCCAUGUGAUUCAUUUUUCUUAUCGGAAUCCACAUCCGAUCUUCUUCCCCAUGCUGUCGCCCUUUGUAUCCAUUCCAAUGGUUCCAAAAUGCCAUCUUUUUGGGUACUGGGUAAGGUUUGGAGCUGAGUGGAGCCAAUGUGCUUCCCUAUCAUCCUCAAUUGAAUAGUGCUUAGGUCAUGUGGGCUGUGUCAUCUUCUGUUCCUUUUCCGUCCUUUUAUUAUUCUUUUGUUUCCCCCUUGCUUUGAAUUGGAAUCAGCAGAACCCCUUUUGGAAGAUUCAGAGAGGGAUCAUUUGGCAAUGUAAAGCUUGAAAGGGUGGAACAAGGGGCACAAAAUUAUGCGGUAAAUGCCAUGUUACUUCUUGCUGCAGGGUCUUAUGUUUGAGGAAGGACGAUCCUCCAACGAGAGUUUUAGAGUGUUGCGGGCAUUCUUUUGAGCAAAUACAUGCUGAGUAGCCGGCAUCUUUGGUUGCAUGUGCCGUGGAUGGGCCUGAGAAUUUCGUCGAACAGGACAUAGCCGUUACCACUUCAAUCAGGAAAUGGAGAUGGAUUCGUCGGUCGGGCGGCAGAGUUUCCGCCGGAAGAAGAUGACGAAGCAGCUGACCGGGAAGCGCGACGACACCCCCUUGCAUUCUGCUGCCCGGUCAGGGAAUCUGGCCGUGGUGAAUGGGCUCCUCUCGGGAGCCGAUGACGAGGACCUGAAGGAACUGUUGAGUAGGCAGAAUCAGGCUGGGGAGACCGCUUUGUUCGUCGCCGCCGAGUAUGGCUACGUCGAUGUGGUGCAAGAGAUGAUCAAGUAUUAUGAUGUUGCAGCGGCUGGAAUAAAGGCCAAGAACGGCUACGAUGCUCUCCACAUCGCAGCCAAGCAAGGGGAUGUAGGUAUUGGUUCUUUCACAUGGUUAUUGCUUGUGUUUGUGAAAAUGCCAUCUUUACAUUUGGAGCAUUCAAUUGGUUUCCAUGUUCUAUCCUACGGAAAAUUGUGCAGUUGGCAUUGAUAUUGCAGUUUGAUUGAUUCCACAUAUAUGUUAUCUUCUUCUGGUCAUAUAAACCUUCAAAUUAGUGUCAGUAAUAGAACAGACAUAUUGAAGGGAUUUAUAGAACAUGGUUGUGAAUAGGAAGGAGGAGGGCAUUGUGUCUAUGCACUGCUGAUAUCUCAGCUUAUUCUCUGAAAUUUGCUAUCAAAUAGUAGUUUUCCUUUUCAGAUAUAUAAAUCUCUCUAGAUUAGUAAUGUUUUGGAAGCAGUAGUAAAGAGUUUUGAGAGCCAAGUUGUUUCAACCAUUAGACAGUAGUAAAGAGUUUUGAUUCAGGAGCUUCUAUUAGAUCCUCUUUUAUGAUUGACUAACUGGAAUUAGGAGCUUGCAGUAGUUCUUCUUUUUCAAUUGGAAACUAUCUGACUCAACCACUUAAUUGAUCAGAUGUUGUGAAGGAGCUGCUGAAUGCACUUCCGGAGCUCUCUCUGACAGUGGACCUGUCAAACACCACUGCACUUCAUACAGCUGCAGCACAAGGCCACAUUGAGGUGGUGAAUCUGCUACUGGAAGCUGAUAAGAGCCUGGCGCUGAUUGCAAAGAGCAAUGGUAAGACUGCCCUGCAUUCUGCUGCAAGGAAUGGGCACUUGGAAGUAGUCAAGUCUCUCCUCAGAAAAGAAUCUGGAAUUGCUGCCAGAACCGAUAAGAAGGGACAGACUGCACUGCAUAUGGCAGCCAAGGGAACGAGCCUGGAUUUAGUUCAGGAGCUUCUUGAAAAUGAACCCUCUCUGCUCAACUUGGUUGACACGAAGGGCAACACAGCACUGCAUAUAGCAGCAAGGAAAAGCCGGGCUCAGGUAUUGCACUCAUGACUUUUAUGUCUCCUGUGAUAGCAAGGAGUUCGAUCGUGAAACCAUGACAUGAGAUUCGUUGUCUGCUUGUCGAAGAUUUAUGUCAAAUCACAGACUGAUACUUUGAAGCAAUUUGAAUCUCCAGAUAAUAGGUAGAUCUGAUAUAAAUGGCCUUAGAUUGCUUGUGAUGUGUGAUUUGUGGAAGAACAACAUCCGGCACGCACUCGUACUUCUCAAAGGUGUCAGCUAGCUUAGUUGGUAAAGCUUUGAUAGUGUGUUGCAGGAUCUGAGUUUGAAUACCGUCUUCAUCAUUUAUCCUUCGUAAAAGAAUAUAUAUAUAUAUAUAUAUAUAUAUAUAUAUAUAUAUAUAUAUAUAAUGAAUCCUUACAAUCAACUAUCUUUUUCGGUAAUCAUCAUAUCUUGUUAAUGCUGGCUGUUUACUCUAUUCAAAUGACAGUAUGUUUUGAGAUUGGAAGCUGAAGAAUGGACUGUGACUUGUUGGAGUAAUGGGUUAUUGCAGAUCGUUAGGAGAUUACUUGAGUUCAAGGAGUUGGAGACCAAAGCCAUCAACAAGUCGGGGGAGACGGCACUCGACACCGCCGAGAAGAUGGGGAAUUCGGACGUCACCGGCAUGCUGUUGGAGCACGGCGUUCAAAGCGCGAGGGCGAUACGACCCUCGCCCAACCCCGCCCGCGAGCUGAAGCAGACGGUGAGCGACAUCAAGCACGAGGUCCACUCCCAGCUGGAGCACACCCGGCAGACCCGGCGGCGGGUGCAGGGGAUCGCCAAGCGGCUCAACAAGCUCCACGAGGACGGUCUCAACAACGCCAUCAACUCCAACACCGUCGUCGCCGUCCUCAUCGCGACCGUCGCCUUCGCCGCCAUCUUCACGGUCCCCGGGGAGUACGUGGAAUCCGAUAACCUGGCGCCGGGGCUGACGCUGGGUGAGGCCAACGUGGCGCACCAGACGCCCUUCAUGAUCUUCUUCGUCUUCGACUCGGUGGCGCUCUUCAUAUCCCUGGCCGUGGUGGUGGUGCAGACGUCGGUGGUGGUGAUCGAGAGCAAGGCGAAGAAGCAGAUGAUGGCCAUCAUCAACAAGCUGAUGUGGAUCGCCUGCGUGCUCAUCAGCAUCGCCUUCCUCGCCCUGUGCUUCAUCGUGGUGGGCCGCAGCCAGCGGUGGCUGGCGAUCGGGGUCACCAUCAUGGGGACGGUGAUACUGGCGACCACGCUGGCCACCAUGCUCUACUGGGUGAUCGCCCACCGGAUCGAGGCCAAGAAGCUGAGGAACAUCAGACGCUCGUCGCUCAGCCGGUCGCGGUCGUGGUCGGCGUCGGGGGUGUCCGACAGCGAGCUAUUCAACAGUGAGUAUAAGAUGUACGCGAUCUGAGAGAGGAACAGGGCAUCUCUCGCUCGGUCACACCACCAGAAACCACCAUCCACGGCGGAAAUGCCCUCUGCCAGUUGAUGAGGCUGACCGCCAAUCCACAGUAGCAAGAGAGAGAGAGAGAGAGAGAGUGUGUGUGCGUGUGUGUGUGUGUGUGUGUUGAAGAAGAUAUACUUGCUUCUUGAUUGAUCGCAUGAGAAGCUUUUCAAUCUUUCUUCUGAUGUUGAGGUGUCAUGGCAAGGCACAGGUACGAGUUGUGUGGAGGGAGGACGAUACCAUCGAUACAUAUAAUGGAGGAAUCCAACGUAAACAAGGAAAGUAUCAUAUAAAUUUUAAUUGCUGAUCUCUGAUUUUUUUUAAAUAUUUAUAAGGAGCUCAAUAUUCAUUUAGAGAGAGAGAAGGCUGACCAAUUUAUAUAGUAUUUAUUUUUUAUAAUAAUCAGUCGAACGGGAGAAUAUUUUUUUAAUAUCAUAUUGACGUGACAUGUCGAAUGUCGAAUCUCGAUUGAUGUUCGAGUUAAAAGUUACGCCAAGACGAUGAAUAAUAGCAAAAUGAUAAUUAGAAAGAGAAUAUAUGAAUAAUGACGAAAGGACUCUAUGAUUUAGUAGAAGAAUAUUUUCGAUUAUGAUUUAGGAGGUGAUGCUUAAAAAUCUGAUUCAGUGGACAUGCAUGGCUUCGACUGGUUGUAAACCAAAAUGGAGCUAUAUAAUUUGCUUUCUUUCGCGUGUUGCCGCUCAAUCCUCUCCUCCCACUUCUUGGAUACUACAGUGGGAUGAACCAGAAAUAGUGAACUGCGAUGCUUCCUAUCUCGAUUUUGUCACAAUUAGGUUUGUCCCAAAUGUGUUUGUUUAACAUGAGACAUGAGACAGGUUUGACGACGUCUAUUUAUCAUGAUUUCGACGUGAUGGAAUAAUUACGAAGUUGAAGCAUUGAUGCAUGCCGGUUCAAAAAUACAGAUUUCAUAUUGCAAAAAUGGAGAUGGAGCCCCCAUGAUAACAAUGGAUAUACAAAAGAAUAUACAAUUAAGUACCUUAUUCUUUUAGACUUGUGGUGUCAAAGCAGAUCUGCGGAUGUCUGUCGAUCACAGGUCGCAGAUCAUGAUGAGCAUCAUCAUUCACCAUAUGACAAUUUAAACAGCAUGCAAGACAUCUAUAUUACUUCGACCCAGACUCGGUUAAUGAUCGAGAUCAUCAAAUUCCCAGCUUCCAAUCUCAUCGGUUGAGCAAUGCAUGCCUGCUUUUCCAUAUUCCAUUUCCAGUUUGGCGAUUUCUGACUCCGUAUCUGAUAGAUCGUCAGUUGUCCACUCGACACCUCCAAGUCUUGGUGAACUAGUGAUUUGAGCAGCAGGCAGAGGACCUUUUUGCAGUCUCUCGUCAGAUUGCGUUUCCUUAAGAAUUUCAAUCUCCAGAAUAGGUCUUUCGAUGGAUUCAAAGUCCACUCUCAGCUUCUCAAUCGAUUCAAAUAGUUCCGUCACUUCCGGAUCGUCUCUCCUGCAUAGAAGUUGGCCAACAGUCAAAACUUCAAUUAGGACAGAGAAGAGUAUAUGUCAAAGGAGAAGGAAAAAACAAAAGGGAAACUUAUGCUACGGUCAUCAUAUACUUGUGAGUCGGAGCAGAGUUGAAAGCGAUACCUGGAACCUGUUUCCCCUUCAGUAUAAAAUAGCCCCCUCAUGUGAUCAGCCACGUGGAAGGCAGUCACAAUCUGAAAAUAAUAAUAAUAAUAAUAAUAAUAAUACAGUUCGAGUCAUAAUAUAAAUAUCCAACACUAUAAUAAAUAUCCACUUCUCAAGAACUUCAGAUCCCUCCAUAAUCUAAGAGGUAAGAAAUGUCUGUUCCAAAACUUCUUUAAGGAUUGGCAUGGGUCAUGGAUGACCAAGUUUUCCUAAUGAUUCAUCCUAAAACAUUGUUAAGCUUGAAGAACAGACUAGCUUGUGUUCUAUGUCACAACCAUGAAUUAAGAAAAUUGUGAUGCAUAAGGUAGCUUUUGCUGUAUGUGCACAAAGUAUUACAUAGUGACGAUAUUUGGUUGUCAAUUGACUUCCUAACAGGGUCAACAACUAAUAAUCUUGGAUGUUUCCAUGUCCCAUUAAAAUAAGUAUAAAGUCAAAAGCAAUCAAAAUCACGGAGCGACACAAACAUACAGAUCAGUCAAAACUCGAUUGCAGCAGACUUGGAAACAAGCUCAAGCAUGUGCUAGCUUUUGUACCAUAUAAUACCUUUCGGUCAAUGGUACUAGAUAGUCUAAAAAGACAGCCCUCAUGUUGCUUGCACAAGGUUCAACAUAUAAAGGUAUCAUUUUUAUCUGUUUACAUUGCAUAAAUGUCAAACUCUAUAAUCAUAACUAUCAAUGAGCCUAUGCAUUGGCAUACCUUUGUUUCGGUUGCCAAGUAUUCCUCUUCAAAAUAUUUUUUGGAGUCUGAAUCUUUAGAUGAAUCAUUAUUGGAAUUCUGAGUCAAGUCUGACCUGCCAAACAUGAUGGCAAAAGGCAUUCAACCAAUGGAAAAAUAAUAACCACCAUGUACAUCAAAUGGCUAUAAUACAUGAAUAUAUGACCUAUCAUUAAAUUGUUUCAAGUUCUCCACAUAUGUGCUGAUGUGAGCAAUAGAAGAUUUCAGUUCAUCCUGUACAAAGAACGGAAACCAGCCAAAAGUCAAACAUGACAAGAAUUACAUUAGUGAAAGAAAAUUAAGAGUCCAUCAGUUCAACAAAACCUUUAUACAACUCAUAUAUUUCCCAACUACACUUAUGGAAAAAGCAAUACCUUGCAUGAAGAAAGGUGAUACUUGAUCAACUUUAAAAAGCAAUUCCCAUAUUUCUCCAAGUCAUCACUAUGCAAGAAGAAUAUAAAAGAAAAGGGACAAAUCGUAAAUGGAUACUAGUAAAAGAGCUUGUUGAACUCGAUAGAUAAUGGGACAACAUCAUAAUCCUUAUCCUAGAGCAUGUACCUAAUCUGCUUGUUCUUUAGCUCUGUGUAUGAAGAUUGAAGCUGCCAGGUAUCUUCUAAGAAAUUAAUCCAGAUAUGGACAAUAUCAGCUUCUACUUUACAUGAAGCAACUGAUUUUGCAAGCUCAUCUUCCUGUAAUUUAAAGAAAAUUCAAAGACUUGGUACUUAAAAUUGUAUUAGGAUUAUCACACCUGUGUUCACAAGGAAAUAUCUUCAGACAAAGGAUUGGAUUUUGAGAACCUUUGCUUUCAGGUGCAUGACAAUCUGAUUGCUUGCUUCAUCAAACUGGUCUCUCUCUUCCCUAGUUCUCUUGAGUCGUGCAAAAGCAGAUACCAGAGAAACAUUAACCUACAACAGAGUCCAGCUCCAGUCAAGAACCUUGCUAAAAAGAUCAACAGAAUCAUCUGAAGAAUGAUAAUUUUGGUGGAGUAUCAUAAGUAGGACUGAUUUAUAUUCCAAAUCUCAACAAAUUAUUGUGAAUUUGUUGAUGUUUCAAAUGGCAUAAACUGGAAGUUGUUCUGGAAGCUAUACACAUCGUAGCAUCAUGCAUCAUUCAUCAAUUAGACUAGACAAUCUCAGGUUGAAUACACUAACAGUAUGAUUAGGCAACAACAGAGCUGCCAACUUUUUAUUCAAAUUGCUUCAUCAUUCUUUAAAUUAAAUAUUUAUUAUUUCUUGUGAAAAAUGUUAUAGUAGAAAUUAGCAUUUCAACAUUACUCUUGAAGGAGGUAUCUCAAAAUAGUUAAAAUUAAAUAUGACAGUAGUGGAAUCAAUUAAAUUUACAGGUACAACAUAAUUUGAGGAUGAUAAAAGUUGCAGCUGUCUUUCAACAAAUGGAUAUACAUUACAAAAGGGUAUAUUCAUAAAAACUAAAAUACAUAAAAAAUUUCCCUUAUAAAUCGAUGAAAAUAAAGGCUUGCUUUUAUGAUCUUUCCUAGGGAAUCUCACCUUCCACCCAAUGUGAUAAAUAAUUUACAUACAGCCCUGUUAAAUUAACAGAGCCAUUACUACCAUCAUAAGGAUUAUCCUAUACUCAAUAAACUGAUAGCAUUUUUCUUUAAUUUAAGUAUUUUCAGCAGUCCAUGGAAGUUCAUGUAGGAUUUGAACUAAAGAUGAUGGUGAGAUCCAAAUUGGACAUUGAAAUGCAAUUUCAUUCAAGAUGGAGUUUUCAGAGUGCAGAAAGUUCAGGGAGACAGAAACAGUUCACACUAGCUUGUGAUGGUUUCAAAUAACUGCCAUCAAGUCAUCAACACAAGAAAGUUACAAUUCAAGGAAGCCUACAUGAGCCCACUUAUGAUCUUCUGAGCCUUUAUUUAGAAAAUUCACAUAACACGAUGGCAAUGAUAAGCAUAUAAUGUAUAUUGAAAAAGAAUACAUACUACCAGAUGACAAGCAAGUUAAAAAAUUUGGCAGAAUAUUAAAGGUGAUCUCUUGAAUAUUGAGCAACAGAGUGAUGUCAAUGACUUAAGAUAAAGCAAUCUUUUUAAAUAAAUAGACUUAGAAAAGUUCUAAGAUAGAGUCAAAAUAAGUAUAAGCUCAUGAACUAAAGGUGAGAUCUGACAUGAAAAUUACCUUCUUUAGUUCAGCCUCAAGUCCAUCUCUUUGCUUCUCUAGUCCAGCAAUCUCAGAAAGCAAUUCCUGAUUUUAGAUUGACAAAAGCAAACCACAAAUGAUAUCCAGGCAGGUCACAACAUAGAGUAACGUGUUAUAAAAGCUUAAAUGGAUACAAGUUCUUUUACAGUUAAGUUAUUGAUGAAUAAGAUCAGUUAUGUCAACUAUUCUGGAGAAUCAGUUAAAAAUGACAAGCACAAGACAACAACUAUCAUGUGAGUCCACACCAAUAUAAAAUAAAGAUAACAUGAAAUUGAAUGAUGUGUCAACACGAUAGCCCAAUUAUGUAAAAGGUCAGACUAGUGCUCCUGCCAUUACAACGUUUUUGGAGGGUUAUUGAGUAAGGACACUAUUAAUAUUCAAAUUUCAAAGUAAGACCAAUAAAGUUCUCUGAGUUUUCCUCUACCUCUAUUUGCAUCACUAAUCCUAAUUAUCUCACAUAAUCUAAUCAGCACAUCUAAUAUUGUCAGGAUCGACUAUGUUAGAAUCUAGUUUGCAUGAUUUUGAUCAAAAUUGAACUUCUCAAUCCAGGUCAUCUAAAUAAAUUAAAAUCUUAAAGGAUUGGACAAUCCUUUCAUCGGUCAUGCAACUCAUAUCGUGAGUUGUUCAUUCCAAAAGAUCAUCCUUUCCACAGGAUUGUAUGAUCCAAGGUAUCCAAGUGAUAAGCCGAAUCAGGUUGCUGCAAAGAAAGGAGUUGCUGAUGGAGAAAGGACGGUCUCCCAGUCCCAGUACCAGUACCAGGCAGUAGGCAAACUGUCUGCUACAGCUUGGUAUUGGUUACUUUACCGGGUUAUAUACUUGGUGUCAAACUGGUUCCGGUAAAAUCACCUGGUCCGUGUCUGAAUUAGGCCAUGAACUGAUAAAUACCAGCUCGUACCAAUGUCAAUCAGUAUAGAUCGAGUCAGAGGAGGUUGCAGCAGUUGCACAAGGAGAAGACAGAAGUGGUGGAUGGCAAGGUGCCAAUAAUGGAGGCAGACUGCAGUUGCGAUGAAGGCUACAACAGGGAGAGUGGAGGGUUAUCUGUAAAGAGCUGUUGGCUGUCAACAGCCGUUUGCAGCUUUCUGAAAGCUCUCAACAACUAUUUACAGCCAAAAAAAUUAAAAAUAGAAAUAAAUAGAAAUAUGUAUGUACCAAUCAUAUUUGCACAGUAAUACAAAAUUACGAGUGUACCAAUGGAUACACCCCGUUCUGAAUCAGAUUGGGAAAAUCAGUCAGUUCACCAGAUCCACAUUCUAGUCACUUGUCCUUCUAUUAAAACCUUGAAUUUCACUACUAUAAUAGACAAGAAAUAAAGAGGACUAUCAAUUGAAAACAUGAGAAAGGAUCACACGAAAAGAUGAGUAUGAAUAUAUCGUAUUAAACUCCUUUUUUUAUAAUGAUUGUGCAGUUGCCUUUGAGACAAGACCUAUUCUACUUUUGUGUUAUAAGAAUUAAUAUAUUUUUAAUCAAAAAGUGGAGAAUCUGAAAUAUUACAACCGAGAAUUAAAUUGCUCAAAGUUCAGUAAAGAAAGAGCAUAUAAAUUUCUGGCAAGAACUAUAAUUCUGAAAUAAAAACGGAUAUUGGUCCAUGAUGCUACAAUUUUUUUCAUGUGAAUAAUUAUGAUGGCUGGCAUACAUGGGUUUUUAAAUGUUUACCUUCUGAAAUUCAUUAACUUCAUUGGCUUUAGCUAUGCGAAAGUUGAGAGCCUCUUCUUUCUGAUGUCUGCUUUGAAAAUGGAGCAACAGAUAAGUGGAAUGCUAUACAAUAUGUUUUUCUAGAAGCUCAAGGCAAAGUUGAGAACUUUCAGUGGCAAGGAUGAAAAGAGUAUAAAUUGCACUAUACUUUAUAUUAGUAAAUAGAACGCUUCUAAUUAUGCUUCACCUAUAACUAAUGAAAUGAUGAAUAUCUGGUGAAAGUAUGAAAACUAUGAAAUAUUUAAAAAUUCAGAACCUUAAAGCACCUCUAGAUAAUCCAUGAUUAAGAUUUCCAAACGAAUAACUUUCUUUCAAGGUCCAACCAGCAUAUAUUUGCACUAAAAUAAAAAAUAUCAAUUUUCAUCCUCAAAUGCCAAAUCUUGUACCAUCUAUAUAGUGUCAGUUUUUAGACAUAAAAGACAAGCAAUCAAGUUCGAGGUUUAGACCUCUUAAAAGAUCGAUCUCAAUUAAAGUAAAUACUAAAUCGGCAGUCAGGGUGAUCACAUGCAAUUUAGGUGGUAGGAAUAACCACAAGAAGGCUGGUCGGCAUGAGAGGAUAUUACCUUCGAUACAACAAAUUUAAGCUUAUAUAAGAUCAACCUUCUACAACCAUAAACGGUUUUGCAUUCAGAAAAGUUCUUGGUAUAUGAAAGUUGAAACACACAUAAGAAGCAGACUUUCAGAAGGCUAAGGCACUAAUAAACAAAAGAGAUCAUCUUUAGAACCUCAGCAUUUGUGGGCUGAGUGGGACGUGUAGCAGGAAAUGAGGAGACAAACAAAGGGCAAAUUUCCAUACUACUUUGGAUGCUAAGAUUGACACAUGUAAUUCACUACAUGAAAACCCAUAUAAGAUUAAUACAUUAUUCCAAGAGGAAGUUGUGUAAGCUGGAGGUAGACUCAAUGUAUCAUGUUUCGACAUAUUAAACUGUGAGCAAAGAACAUGAUUAAAUGGGUCUGAGUCACCAUAGCGGAGAAGAAAAGCAAAUUGGCUUAAAUUGACAUUAGACUAAUCAUCUUUAUUUGAUGGGCAAUUAUCAACAUUGAUUGCAGUUAAACUGCUAUCUAGUUGAUGGCAGUAGAAACAGAUGUAUUUUGCCACCAAAAAGAACUAUGAAUCUAUUGAUCUGGCUACUAACAGAACUUCCAUCGAUUCCAAAGCAUGUACAAGAGAUCAGCCAAGCAAACCAUAAUUCAAAAUUUCAAAUGCCCCAAACAAUAAAAGAAAGAGAUGUACAAGUGUCAUAUAGGACCUGUGGUCUAGGAUACGCUUUUCUGCUUUUAUGGACGAGUUGGCAAGAGAUUCUGCUAGAACUUUCAACUUAUCAACCUGCCAGCUUCAAAUAACAUUAUUAGAACAAGCUUCAACCUUUGUGGCAAAACUUAAUAAGUCAUCUCACUACUGAAUUAAUAUCUGAAAAGAAAUCUUGCAAGCUGUCACCUAUAAGAAUUAGGUGCUAAACAUAUUAUGGUAAGUAUUAUGCUUCAGCAGUAAAUCAGCACAUAAAGUUGAAAAUCAGUAAGCAAACUUCCACAUGUUUAACAGAACUGCAAAACAAAGUGCAGCACCAGAAACACAUCCAAUAUAACAUCAUUGAUCAUUCUAGUAAUUAGCAAUCAUAAAUUGGAGAGGCAUAUAUGGGGGUUUCUCAAAUAACCCAACGUUUGCAAAAAGUAACUUGUUUACCACUUAAUAAUGUAUAUUUGCACAUACCCUUGUAAAUCGUUGCUCACAACACCAAAAAGUGAUCAUCAUCAUGUCAAAGUUCAAACAACAUCAUUAUGCAACAUAUCUGUAAUAUCUCGAAUGUCACAAUUUUGGCACUAGAACUUCUGACAGCAGGCAAACUUCUGAGGGUAUACAUGAGGAAUAUUUAAGAACAAAUUUGACAUUGUGCAGCUUAGCUUCACAGUAACUAACAUUUACUUCAGAUUGAUUUAAUGCUAAUAGAUGCAGAGACUAUGACAACAAGGGUACUACAACAAUAACAACGAUGAAAAUCCAUGAUGGUCCAAUCAUUUGGGACCGAUCACAUGGAUCUUUUUUCCAUCGUUGAGCUAUGUACAAAACAAUACUUAUAGUUAAAUCAGAAAAUUCAAAUAUCUCUUAGUUGUUUCUACAAAAUCUUUCCUAGAUUUCACUCUACCUCUCGUAACACUAAUGCUAAUUAACUCAUCUUAUAUAACCGUAGAAUCUAUAAAAAUCCGUUAGAAUUGUCCACAUCAUCUAUGAUUCUUCUUCAUUUAAUUCUCUUUCUAGUCUAAACCUUAUUAUUCAUUGAUGUGUAGAGUUCUUUUUCUAUAAUUUUCCCCAUCCACCUCAACAUUCUCAUCUCCUAACACAAACUUUCUAUACAUACUUUUUUCUUGACCAUUCAAAUACUUCAAACAGUAAUGUAUUGCAGGUCUUAUAAUUGUCGUAAUACCUAAAAACACGAAACCCCCAAUUCCUCUAUUAAUAAUAUUUUCAUCAAUGACUCCAUUUUACUAAAGAUGAAUGCAAGUGGACAUUUUGGAUGAGAAAAUAAACAAUUCGGAAAAUUAGCAAGGUAAGACAUGCAAACAAAGUAGCAUUCAGUAUUUAGUAGAAGAUACUUCAAAAAGAAAAAGAAACAAUUCCUGCACAAUCCUGGCUCCUCAAUUCUUUUUUUGUAGAAAUUUCAGGAAGCCACUUCCCACUAAUACAAGGUCAAUAACCAAAAAAGAUUUAGUGAAUCUCCUAAGAGUAAGAAUAUAAACCGUUGCUAUUUCUGCAAGAAAAUAAAAGGACUUCAUCAUGACCAACUUACUCACAGUUUGGUUUUCACCAUUCUUGUUAACAACAAACAUCCAGGUGCUCUCAUUGCCUUAUAUCGUCUUCCAAUGGGACAGAACCUUUUUUGACAAUCCUAGAACAAUUUUCAUAAUAUUUACAAUUACUUUUCCUCUCAGUAUAUUAGAAUUUAAAAUCCUACCUUCAAAAGUAUUCAAUGAAAAGAACAACCUAUGUCAUGUCUUGGAGUGAUUGACAGCUAUGCUAACAGUCAGAACUCAGAAGAAUCUAAUUUAUAAUUUUAUACAUUACAAACUACCAAGUAUGAACUACUAAGUAUCAAAGAUCCAAUUCUUGAAUGACUAAAAACUGAAAUGAAAGUCUUCAUUUGAAUCUUUGCCAUUUGGAUUUGAUGUAACAAAAAUGGCAGGAAGGUUAUUUAUAUACACGUUGGAGUUCAAAUUAAUUUUCUCUGAAUCUGAGAGAAUGAAGAAGCAUUCUUAGUAGGCAUAAAAUAUUUUAUCAAUAAAUGUGACACAUGAAUAACCAAAAUAGUUUCGGUGAUGAAUGCAUCAAAUGGUCAUGCUAAGAAUUCUUUUUAGGUAGAGUUCACCAAAUAAAGCAAAUGCAUUGGUCACUGUAUAAUGCAAUGCAUUCUGACAAGUUGCUUACUGUAUGCUAAAUACAUAACCACAUUGCUCAUAGAAAUUAGCAUGAGAAUGAAGCAUCUAGCUUUAUAUACAUCGGACUGUAAUAUUCAAACAUGGACCAAAUUAAAAAGAUAAGACAUGCCUUUUGAGAAUGAAUAUCUGGUGACUCCCCAUUUUUUAUGCUUUUCUUCCUUAAAAGCAGUGCUUCCAAUCUAGAGCAAAGAUAAACUUCUGCUAGUGCCUCUUUUAGAACCUACAGAAUAUACACAGAAACCUAAAUACCAUGAUCACUUGUAAACAAACCAGCAAUAAAAUGGAAAAAAAUCAUGUCAAAUAUAUGGCAUAAAUGUGUGAUAUGGAAAAGGAGAAGAUGAAUAAAAUCAAUGCACUUAAAAAUUAAAAUACAUGCUGAAAGAACUUAUGCGCUAAUCUAGAGAUAAGUAUAUGCACUUAAGAUUAAUAUGCACUCAUCUAGUUAGCCUGGUGGGAUGUAUCCGGGUCCUGUUUCCAUAGGUCGAAGGUUCGAACUAUCAUUGUGCCCUUUGUUUGCCCGUUAUCACUUUCAUCAUCAACGGUGAGUUGCCCACCAGUCAAAUGUAUAAUUAUCGAUCUUAACCGAGCACCCGAUGUAUAGGAACAGUACCUUUAUCUUAUUAGGAGCUGAAAUCCUUUGCAAAUUUAUGCAAUGAGAUAAAACCUGAAUUUUUGCAUUGCUUGCAAAUUCUUUUGCAUUAAAUCUUUAAGCACUCAUGAGCACAAGCUUCAUUAUCUACAUUAAAAGCAAAUUCAAAAGGCAUAAUCUGAGGCAUCACUUUUUUUCAAAAUGCCAAGAAUAUACUUCCUAGAUGCAAUUUAUGAUGUACAAUUAUGGGUUUCUCAACGAAGAUUCCUGAUGUCAAAUCAACUUAGAUUUACGCUAAAAUAGUUGAUUCUAGGCAUCUACAGGAAAUCAUGUAUUCCCAAUGCCCAGGAAAAAUAAUGCCACAAUCACAUAUUUCUGAAUUCAAGGCAUCUGGAUGAAGUUCAAGAGUUCAGAACAAAUACAUUUUCACAAGAUAUUAACAUAUAUAACAUCAAACAUGGGAGAGAUUUUUUCAUAUUAAAGCUUUAUCUACACUAAUGGAAUUGCACUUCACAACUUACACUCUAUGAUAAACAAAAGGAAGGUAAGAAAUCAAAUUAUCAUUUGAUUGAAUAUCCUCUCUGACACUAUCUCUUGAGAUGGAAAGGGCAAAUAAGACGCAUACCUAGUGCAUGAGGCUCUUACAAAUGUGGGAUCUGUGGAGGGUCAAUGUACACAGCUUUACCUCUGAAUAGAGAUUUGGUUUUUUAAGUUGCAAAGAUAAACCUUACUGUUGUCCCAAGCCCACCCUUGGACGGAAAGAACAAAUCUUGAUUAAAAAUUAAUAUUCCAUCUCUACGAUGAGGUUUUAUGAUCAGAUAUGUUCUCACAAGGAAGUUCAGUUGCCAAAACAAAUAUGAAAAUUUAUAUUUUGAGAGAAUAAAAAAGUAAAUGAUUGAUUUAUCUUGAUGUAAUUGUAUUCUUUCCCUAUUUUUGAAAUUUUCUUUUCUUGUACUUGGGGUUUUACAAAAAGAAAGAAUAAAUUUGUAACUAGAGCAUGAAUAAGUAAUAAUGAAACCAUUUUAUGUAUGUGUGCUUGAUGUGAGGUCACAUUUUAAUCUCCAGUAGUGUGAUUUCAUAAUCCAUGUGCAAGAGGUAGGUACGGAGGUGUGAGAUCAUCACUGUUGGAAGUUGAUCCUUCAUCCAGAGUGAGUCUUAAGCAUAAAUUUUUUUCUAUAAUUUCUCCUUUCAUCAUCAUCUUCCAAAGUUGUCACCUUUUAUUCCUUUGUCUUUCCCUUCCUCUAUUCUCAAACAAAAAAACAAUGUACUUGUCAUGAAUUUGUCCAGCAUCAGAUAUCCUAGGCUCCCAACAAAUAGCAUAUAAGGGAGUCCCCUUAGAAAAUGCAACUACGUUUGACUACAGCCGAUGAUAGAAACCCAAGAAAUUAAAUCUCUUGACAAACAAAAUUAUCAAGACAUUACCAAUCUUCUGGCAUCCAAUAAUGCAGGGACAAAUGUACCAAAAAAAAGGGCCUAACAUAGCAGCACUAAUAAGAAAAAUAAUCCUAGAACCAUUUAGUAAUAGUAGUACUAAUAAGAAAAUUGUAACAUAGCAGAUUCCAACAAAAUUAACCAUAGAAACUGCAGCUCCUUAAAAACAAUACACUGAACAAAAACUCCUAUAACAAAUUAAAGAGAAGUAAUGGCAAAAUAAGUACUAAAUGCAUUUUGUUUCCAACAUAUUCAUCUUCUUUUUCCUCAUUAUCAUAAUGUACAUGAAAAAAGAAGAAAUUUUUUUAACAUCAGGCAUACCUCCACCAAGGCAGUUGUCCUUUCUGAUGUACCAACAUGAUCUUGACCUGAGGAGACCUGCAACACUUCCAUCCCAUCAACCUUCCUUUGAAGCUUUUUGACUUCAUAUUCUAACCUGGAAACAAUAUGAACCAGACUUACUAUUGAGAAUGAUGUGCAAUGAGAAUCAGAGAACACAAGCAUGACCCAUGAAUAGAAAUAUAACUUUGCCUAUAAGCUCGAGACCAACCUAAUGAAAACUGGGUUUGGAUUUGGAAAUUAGAAACCUUGGUCAAACCGGGGUUGCAAAAGCCUAAUAUGAACUAAAUUAUUGUUGGGUUGGGCCUACAUCAAGGUUUAAGCAACACAACCCAACUCAAACCCAAAGCUGUAUAAACUAAGCCUGAUAUGAACUAAAUUAUAGUUGGGUUGGGCCUAGGUCAAGAUUUGAGCAACUUGACCCAACUUGAAUCCAGACCUGUUUAAAGUGACCAAACUUGAUUAUAUAACCCUCCUCAACAUAAGUCAGGGUUCUACUCCAGGCUGCAACAACCCAACCCCUAAGCAAUUCAAAUCCCCAGUGUGGCAAAACCCUAACCACACAUUACCCCCCCCCACCUUCCCUAUCCAAAAAAGUCUUUGCCAAUGAUUACUCUUCUAAAGGUUCACUUACAGGCAAAGAGAACUGAAUCAUGUAUGAUACUAGAAUUCCUUUCAAUCAUGUAUAAUACUAGUUUUACAUGCCAGUAAAACCAACAGCCUAAAUUCUCUAUCCUUUGUUUUGAGAAGGGGAACUCCCUGAUCUUUGACUUUUAAUAGAAAGAAAUAUGUGCAUCUGAGACAAAAAAUACAACUUAAAGCAAACUGUCCUCACUCACCCUUUUUUGGCUCCAAUGGACUCAUAAAUUUCUUUCCCUUGUAUCCUUAGCCUGAACAAUUUUAUGCAACUUAACUGAUGGGAGAAUUCAACUUCCUGUUAGUUUAUUCUUUUUGUCUCCUCGAAGUAAAUGACAGCAGAUAUUUCAAUGCAAGACAAAUUUCAUGGAAUGAAACCAAAGAAACAAUAAAGGCAGGUCUGGUUGAUGACCUUGAUAUAUCAGCAUUUAACUUUAGUCCUGAAAUUGCACCUUGAGCAAACUGAAGCAGUUCCUCCCGCUUCACCUGAAAUAUUUAAAUAAAAUAUGAUAAGAAUAAAAAAAAGGAAAAACAAAUUGAAAGGUCACCAAAUUCUCAUAAAACUGUCAAUGACAAUGUCAGUAUAAUAUCUGAACAUGCAAAAGCAAUAUGCAAAUGUGGGGAUCAAACUUCAUGGUACACCAACUCACACAAGCAAUAUGUAUCAGUCUGAUGAGACCACCAGUCAGAUUAACCAUAGACAGGGGGCAUAACCAGACCGCACUAUACAACAGUUUAGAGAGGCUAAACAUAAACAUCAACUCAAAUUAGUGAGUCAGUGAAGUAUACCACAUAGUUUGGUUCAAGUUUCACAGUUUGGAGAGGCUAAACAUAAAUAUCAACUCAAAUUCGUGAGUUGGUGAAGUAUAAUACCACACAGUUUGGUUCAGUUUUCAUGCUCAACAAAUGCACGGGACCAAUUAUUCUUGAUGAAAGUCAUGACUAGCAAAACUUGCAAGCCUUCUCCCUUAAGAGCCAGAAACACUAUUAACCCAUAAGGUGUCAAAAUAAAUAAGAGGAGAAGAGGACCUUGGAAGGAAGAAGGCACACGUAAAAAUCAUUUUUUUAUGUCUUCAAUUUUUUUAUUUCCAUUUUACCCUGUUAGAGUCAGCUUGCAACAGCUGGUACAUCAUGGUAAACCAGAUUCAUAACGGUCCAAUAGGGGGCUAGUAUGAUUAUAGAUCCCAAGUUUAAAUAUUUGAUGCAGGUUUCUUGGUACAAUUACCGUAUUGUGCGGUAAUCAAAACUAGCAAUCACACUACAGUAUCUAUUAAGGAUAUCCACCAAGUUACAAAUCUGUUGUGACAAUAUUUAAUUCUUUAUCAGUAGCUAAACUAAAAUAAUUAACAAGGAGAUCUGCCAUUAUGCCAAAUUUGCAAUAUGGCAUUAGUAGCGGACUGUAAUUUUGAACCUUACAUGUGACAUCUGUGGCAAAAGUUGCACCAACAAGUUACAUGUGCCAUGUGUACCAGAUAAGGAUUUAUGAAUAUUUGUACUGUAUCAUAAUUCAUAUAUACAUUAGAAUUUAGAACUAUUAUCAUACAUGUACAUCUCCAACAAGGCAACAACAUAAAAUAUUUCUAAACUUCUGACGUAAAUGCAAUAACAUAAUGAACUUCUAUUAUGUCAUCUCUUCCAGCAAUCAUACAAACACCUCCAAAUGAGGGUCACAUUUUAACAAGGUCAACUAUGAGUUCAACUUCAUGCAAAUUAGAAUUUUUACAUCGACCAAAAUUAGGCAGAACACAUACAUCCACAUGCAACAACAAAAGAUACUGUGCUUAAAGGUUGUCAAUGAUUUAAAAAACAACUCUUGGACUACCCAAUUUUUUGCUUCUUAUCAAAACAUAUUCAUGUAACAGAUUAUAUAUUUCUGUUAAUAUAGUUCAAAUAUUAUUUACUAUUGAUGCAAAUUUACUUCAAUGGAAUUUCUGAUAAGGUCAGACUGCAAUAUCCUGCAAAAAAAGGAAAAAUAAGGAAUCACAUCUUUUGGUUUAAAGGCAAUUGAGUAUACCAAUACUUCGUCUUGAUAGUUUGAAAAAGCUUUGCCCAUGUCCUGUAUACUGCUCAUAAUAGCAUUAUGAACUUCCUUACCUCCUGUCAGACAGUAUCUGCGUAAAAUCAACCCAAGAAAAAUAACUUAUAUACAUAGCUACAAAGCUAAAGGUAAAUGAGAAAAUUAAUGUGGUUCUAUAUAAUAUGCAACUUAGGAAGUUUGUUAGUACAUUAGAAUAAAUUUUAAUGGACAUAAGAACACAGAACAGUAUUGACCUACUAAACUAGGUGAAACAGAAUCUGAAAUAUCGUUCAACUAGAAAAACAAAGAAUCCUGCUGACCAACUACAAAUAAUUACAAAUUGUCAUGCUUCCCUUAAUUUUUCUUUCAAUUAUAAGAUCUCCCUUAUUUUUCACAAUGCUAAUUCUGUUGCAAAUAGGCUUGGAAAUAUCUAUUUCAGAGGUACACAGGAUAAUAAAUUGAUUAUAUAGAAAUGGAAAGAAAAUAGCCCAGACCUACUGCAAACUUUUAACUAAAAUAUAUUAGCUAAUACAACCUAAUUAACGAAGAGUUUAUUAUACUUAUGAUCUUUGAAUUUUGAAUUGCAUAAGCACCAUUCUAAGAUAUGUCAUAAUCAAGAGUAAACAUUUUAAACUACUUUCUCCACACUAUUUUGCACUAAGAAUUGGCUUACGGAUUUCUAAUAUCACACUAUUAACAAUCUUAUUCGAGCUGCCUACAUGGAAGUGUACAAAACUAGAGGAAUAACAGAUAGGCAAUAAUAGCAAUGUAAAAUUUUAACUUUUAAGUACAUAUCAUCAAUAAAAUAGACCCCUGGAUAUAAAGACAGUGAUAGGAAAAAAUUAUAAAAUACAAGGGCAUCACACCCACCCAAAUAUUGCAAGGAGCAGAGACACUUCUUCAUCAUUCGGAGCUUCCAGAAUCUGAGUCAUAGAAAAGAGUUAACCUGCGGUUAACCUCCAUGAUCAGCAAGAACAAUCCCCAACAUCAAAUACAGUCAGAAAAUUGUCAAAAUUACAAUAGAGUAUUCAUGGUUCCCAACUUUCAGAUUAAACAAUGAAAAGGUAUUUCUUAACUCAGCAAGUUAGUGUUCAUAAACUCAAUGUCAAAUUUUUGUGUCUAAACGACAAGAAAACAAAUUCAGAUGACUGAAUCCAAUUAUGCUAAUACAUAUGGCUUUAGGAUACAUAUCAAACAAACCCCUUAUUAUUGUAGAGCUAUUCUUGUUGUCACCCUAAACCAUAUCAAACAAUACAUAAAAAAGCAGAAUUAUUCUUAGAAGUAGAAUUCCAUCCCUUGUAUCACUUAUUAUUGUUAUCAUCCUAAAGUUAGUCCUUCACUUCUCAUUCCUAAGAAAUCAAUAUAAAGAGACAUAUGAUUAGAAUGGACUAUGACCAGAAGCAUUAAAUGAUGACUUCUAAAAGGAGUAGUUUUCUCUAUUAUUUGUUGUAAUAUCUUUCAAUUUCCUGGAAAACAAAAGGUGUGUAACAUAACACUUGGAUUGAUUACAUGAGACUGCAGCAAGAACUCUGGUUUACUUGAUCUCAGCUUCUGUUGACUGCUCAAGCUUGAGUCCUACUGUGAUACAAAGGUUCAGUUCAACUCAUUAACCAUCUUAUCAAACUAUUCUGUCAAACCUCAGGGGAAUUUUAGUUAAGCGGCUUAAGCCAUAUACUAGCUCAGCUUGUUAUUAGUCCUGACUCAAAAUAAGCUUAAAGCAGGGUGAGCCAACUCUAAAAGCUGGUGAUUGGACGUACAUGACUAUUUCUGUGCAGCUCAAAGCAUCUAUGACCCCAAACACACUAAAAAUAGGAGAUGCAAUAUAGUUAUUGAACUCUUUGAGUGCAAUUAGAUUGACUACCCUAGUUUCUUCUAACCAUGCAAACUGGCUCCAAUUUGGAAAGCUUUGACAGACACAUUGAUAGUGGAGAUGGAGUAAAAAAUUAUUAAUUCAAUUGAGUUGGGUAUUAGUUUAGAUCGUUAUUCCUUGGAUCAGGAUUGUUUCAGACUUUAGAAGUUCAGAGAUAACAGAAUUCAUCAUCUUGGUAUUUGCACUUCCCACCAAUGUAUGUACACAUAAAAAGACCAGGCAAAAAAUGUUGUCAAGACUCGAGAGUAAGCAACAGAUGAUCUGAUUAGAAGUCCACCCUCCAUUGCUCACUCAUGCAAUUCAGACUCAUCAUGCUUAGUUUAUCAAAUGAAUUAUCUGCCUCCUAGAAUAACAUCUUUUGUGUAUGAUCAUAUUCUUUUACUUGGUCAUCUAAUUUUACAGCUGCAUAUGCCUAUUCAAUUAUUAUUUUUUUCCCCAAUCCCAACACAAGCUCCCAUCAACUUAGUGCCAAAUUGGGUGACAAUAGUCUUUUGCAUUCUUGGACCCUGCAAGGCAUAUUGGAUGUCAAUUAUUCAUAAGCAUUUAUCUACCUGAUCUCAGACAUGCCAUGGUCACACUCAAGGAUGCCUUAUCAGCAUCACUCCUCAAGUAUGGCGUUGGUGUGAUUUAGCACAGCAUCAUACUGAUUCAAAAGUGCCAAUAGGAGAAAAUAAAAGUGAUAAUAAAGAAGAAAAUGAGGUGCUUGAACCAAGACUGGUCCUACUAAGAGUCAUCACCUUGCCACCAGCGACCCACAAUAAUCAGCUACAACACAAUAACCGGUUGACUGCAAUAUUUCCUUUCACUUGAGCAACAGGAGAAAGAAGUUCUAAGCCAGGGUUCUUUUAUCCUCAAAAAUGGAAUCACGUUUUAAUAUUCAAACCAAUACCAUUUUCUUAGACUUUCAAUCAGUUAAUAAGAUGAACAAUUCCAAUUGUCUUUUUAAGAGUUUUCUUUCAAGGAAAAUGGAUUGAAGAAACUGAAAAAAAAAAUGAGACAAUACCAUCUUAAUACCUCCAUUUGACAAACCAUUUUGUUAUGAAGCAUUAACAUAUCCUAAGCAUAUUUAGUCAGUAUAUAUGUGACACAUACUUGAGAAUGGCCUCUUCAGAGAAAAGGUAUAUAAAGGCACAAGUUGCAUAAAAUAGAAAGAAGCUAUAAGCAGAAUAUUAUAUAACAUCUACCAAAAGUUCAUACAAAAUGCAUGUUACAUAGAACAUCCAAAAGAUGCUAAGUUAUACAAAGCACCCAAAUUCUGACUACUGAAGAUUACUAUAUAUCUAGAUAACUAAAAUGAGUUCCAAAUGAUGGCAUAUGACACUGAAACUAUUGGAAAAUAUAUGGUACAGAGUCUACAGACAAUUACAUUAGUAAUGGAUAUACACAUUGUGUUAUUUAUACAAUUACAACGAGGAGAGCUUAUAAACUAUAAGUAAGAUAGUCAAACUAACCAUGGACAGUGUAAUCCCUUCAAGAGCUUGGCUAUAGAGAAAUACGUCCCGGAAGUACAUGGAUUCAACCCCCAUAUCAGAAUCAAAAUAUAGAUUCUGCAUAUAACAAUAAAGAUCAACAAAAACAGUUUUCAAUCAUCGGUCAUUUUUCAGCUCAUGCCAAGUUUAAAAAUUUAUUUGGCAAUAUAAAAUGGAGAAAAACACAACUCAGUUUAUGAAAUUUAGUAUUUUGCAAUUUAUUAUUGGUUCAAUAACAAUAUCAUGCAUAAUUUAGCAGAAUAUUUCUGGUGAUAUUGCAAAGGAAAAUAUAAUUAUCAAAGGAAAAACAGUGCUUUUGACAGAAGGUAGAAAGUCCUAUUUUGAGUUGUUUUUCGUUUUUAAAAAUUAUAUUUAAGAUAAAGACUAAGUUGAGAGAAUUAUUUAGCCGCUCGAUUUAAGUUUGGGGAGCCUGUCUUUAAAAGUUCGUUUAAAAGUUUGUUUAGUUUAGUAAGACACAAAAUCACAUGAAGAAUAUAAAUAUGUUACAUGUCUGUCAAUUAAUAGCUGCAUUAUUGUUUAGUUCAAAGAAGAUAGGUUGUCUUCGACCAAUGAGUUAAGCACUUUUCUCUGAUCUUGUCUUCCUUCUUGUUUUAUUCCUCUUCUUUUGUCCUAUCUUAUUUCUGCAAAAUUAAGAUAACUACUAUCUUCUUAUGAAAAACAGACCUAAAUCUGUUAGUUUUGAGUUUAAAUAAUUACUACAUCCAUCCUAGAAGAUAUUAGAUAUACUCAUAGAUAUUUAAAAAUCACUACCAUGCAAAGUAAAAUCUCCUAGACAAAGAACAUACUAACAGCAACACCUAAUCCAAAAAGCUAAACAAAAAAAAACUUGAAUAAUACAAGAAACAACACAAAGCUCCAAUUAUUAAAAUUGCCACACAUAAUACAAAACUCUUCAAAGUCUUAUAAAGUUAAACGAAACCACAUUUGAGCCUAGAAUCAUGUUUCUAGGAACUUAUCUCAUCAAUAUGCACUAAUGUUCCAAAAAUACUUCAGCCUAGCAUGAUGUUCAUCAAUGUGUAUAUAUAUGUGUGUAUAUAUAUAUGUGUGUGUGUGUGACGUGUAUAAAUAUAUAUGUAUGUAUGUAUCCAUACAUACAUAUAUACAUACUUCAAAUGUUUGGUGAAAUAGGUUUCUAAGAAAAUGCAUGAGUUGGAAAAUUUCAGCAUCUAGAAUAUGCACUUAAUGUUGUGGCUGCAUAAGUUUUUCCACUUUGUCGCCUAUUUCAUCAUAUGGUGAAAUAUCAUGUUGUAUAAAAAUGUAUCACUAUAUGAGAAACACUGAUAUUCAAAUUGAUUCUGCAAAAUAGAUCAUUUAAAUUGUAGUCUCAAAUAAUGACAGGGAAAAGCAUAUGAUGAUUAUAAAGUAAAAGAUAUAAAACAAGUUUGUUCUUUUCUCAUUUGCUUGAUGAAUGACAUGUUUUCUCAGAUGCUCAAAACAGUGACUUAGCUUAGAUAAAGAUCAGCAGUAAAUAAAAGUUACAAAGAGAAAAAUAAUUCUAAGAAAACAGAACAAACAAUCUAUUUUGCUUAGCCAUAAGAUAAGAUAUGCUAAACCAACUAGUAUACUGACCAACGAAACAUCUCUAGGAGAUGAGUAGCUCUCCUCAGAUGAUAGAGAUCGUUCAUGAGAUUUGUGAUCAACUGAAUUACCAUGCAUCCUUUCAAUUUCUUCCAGAGCAAAUAGCCAUCUAUGCAAUAGCUCAACUCUUUCUAUUCCCCUGCAGGAUACGGCAGCAUCUUCCAAUCCUUUCACAGUUUGCUUGAAACUUUUAGAGUUUCGAAUGCCCUAUAAAAUUAAGGAAGUUGUAUGCGUAUAAAACAAUGCAUCCAUCAAUAAUCAACAAUGUCCAUAUAAAAGAUAUGAAAGUAGAAAAGCUUUUCAUUGUUACUGCUUGGUGAAUUGGCAAUGAAUACUUUUGAUACUAUCUUGUCUCAGCAAGAACUAUGUGCUUUUAAGGGAAGCAUGUUCUUGGGUUUUGGAAACACUACCACAACUUAGGAGGCAACAAUCAUUCUAGUUUGUGCUCCUGCCUAAAGAUUUAUAUUAGUCAAGAACUCUUGUUUGACAUUGAAUGAAUUUUUUUGUCAUUUGUUUCCAGUGAAACAUAGCUAAUUUAGUAGACGUAGCUAGAAGGACAAAACAGCUAGAAAAUAUCCAAGGAUUCUCCUAAUAAAAUAUACCUAAAGCAAAUCCCAAAUAUCAGAAAGACAGUGUCGUGUAACUGUGACGUCGGCUAUCUGGCCUUGUCGUUGCAAUUCCCAUUUGUACGCAUUUAUUACGGUCCAAAUGUAGAUGGGCCCAAGAAAGAUACAAAAGAUCCAUAUAAUGCGGUCUUGGAUGAUCUUGGUUCCGCUGGAGAUGGCCUGGCCCAGCUUAGGAUCGACAGAAAACAAAACUGAGGGGAGAGAGAGAGAGAGAGAGAGAGAGACUUAAUAAGGCGGUCUUGGAUGAUCUUGGUUCCGCCGGCAACGGCCUUUUUUUGUGGCCCAAAAAUGGAAAGAAACAUGAAUUUGAGGAUUAAGGGAGAGAGAGAGGGAUUACCACGGGUCUUGGGUGGCCCUGUCGCAGACAAGCCUGGUCUGGCGCAAGAAUCGAAAGAAAGAUGAGCGUAAGGAGGAGAAUGAGAGUUUACCAUGCGAUCUUGAAUGAUCCUGGCUCCGCCGGUGACGGCCUGCCCGGCGUGGUAAACGACGGUGCCGGCAUAGCUCUUGACGGUGCGGGUGAUGUUGUUCUGGCCGCCCACCUCUACGGCCUUAACGACGGCCGAUCUCAACCACGACAUGGAGGAGGAGGAGGAGUAAUGCAAUCGAAUCGCAGAAGAAACGAUGAAGGGUCAAAUCAAGAAAGGAGAACGCGAGAGUGGAGGAGGAGGAGUCGGAGAGGGAACAGGGUUUGAUCUAUCUCGGAGAUGGAGGAGGAGCAACUUGAUAGAGAAGGGGUCAGCGAGGAGCGCGUGGCGAAAGGUUACGUGGCGCGGCCACGGAGUGGUGGUGCACCGCCGUGGUUUCCGGCCGCUCUAAACAUAGCGACCUCAACCACACCACCGUUAUGUCAAGAACGAUGCUAACUUCAAUAUAACGUUAAAUUUUUUUUAAAUAAGAUUAUAAAUAGUAAAAAUGGAUUGUCAUUAAAAAUAUUCUAAAGAAAUAUAGGAGUUUAUUAUUUAGAAUCCCUUGUUACUUACUACUCACAAUCUGUUUACUAUUCACAAUCUCAUAAAUUUUAAUAAAAUAUUAUUUUGCUAUUUAUAAUCCCUCUAAUUUUAUUUACUAAUCACAAUCUCAUUCUAUUAAAAAAAAGAGGAGAAAAAAAAAGGUAAGAAAAAAAUGAUAGCUAAUAAAAAAAGAUUUGACAGAGUUUUUACUAAUUAGUCAAUUUAACACUUUCAAAGAUAUAUGGAAUAGUCCUUAAUAAUUAAGGAUUCAUUCAUAAAAAAAAUUUAUGCAUCAAAAAUAACUUUUAAUUGUAUAUUUGAAGUAAUUAAAAUUUGCGAUGGUAAAGAUGUCAUUAUGAAAGAUUACAAGGAUAGAUAUGUGAAAGAUGGACGGUAAGUUGAGACUGUGGACGGACUAUUUGACCUGGCUUGCAGAUUAGGCUGCCGUGGUCUUAGCGUUGGCCGCGGAAGACGACAAACGGCUGACGGCACAACCACCAAUAAGCUUCCUGUCUCCCCGGUCGACCAACCCACGCUAUCGGCCGCGGCGGCGACUUCUGUUCGACCUUGGCCGAGAAACCAUUAGAUCAGAGUCUGCGUCGUCGGAACCGCCGCCUCGCGUCAUGGGCGGAAGCGCCGCACCCCUUGCCGUCUUCGCUCUCCUCCUUGCGCUGAUCUCCCCCUCUUCGGCGGAGAUCAAAGCCCUAAAGAUCACCUCCGACUCCCGCCCCCUCAUCCUCUUGGAGGAGUUCGGCUUCGCCCCGUCCGGUGGCGUCUUCAUCGCCCUCUCCGCCGUCUCUCUCUCGUCCUCCGCCGCCUCCCCGGACCUCUUCGGCUUCUUCCUCCUCUCCGACGCUAGCCUCCUCCAGUCCAUCCACGACUCGGAGCAGCCCCACCAGAACCCCGCCCCCGUCCCCAGUUGCGCCCUCCAGAGCCCUUAUGUCCGCCCGCUGUUCACCUUCGCCAGACUCUCCCGUGCCCACUCUUUCAACGAUACCUUUCUCAUCACCCACCCCGACGAGUACGGCCUUUUCUUCGCCAACUGCGCCCCCGGCGCAGUCGUCUCCAUGUCGGUCCACACCGGGAUGUACAACUCCCGCUCUGACGGCACCCCCGACUAUCUCUCCGUCGGCCAGUCCGCUGUCCCCUCCCUCUACACCUUCUUCGCCGUCGCCUAUUUCGCUGCCCUCGCUGCCUGGAUCUACAUCUGCUUCCGGAACCGGCUUGACGCCCACCGGAUCCACCUUCUCAUGGCCGGCCUCCUGCUCGCGAAGGCCCUCGACCUCCUCUUCGCCGCCGAGGACCUGCACUACACACGCACCACCGGCACGCCUCACGGCUGGGACGUCGCUUUCUACGUCUUCAAGUUCGUAAAAGGUGUCCUCUUCUUCACCGUCAUCGUCCUCAUUGGCACCGGAUGGUCCUUCCUGAAGCCCUUCCUCCAGGACCGCGAGAAGAAGGUGCUCAUGAUCGUGAUCCCCCUUCAGGUCCUUGCGAACAUUGCCUCCGCCGUGAUCGGCGAGACCGGGCCAUUCAUCCAGGGUUGGGUGACAUGGAACCAGGUCUUCCUUUUGAUCGACAUCGCCUGCUGCUGUGCUAUCAUAUUCCCGAUCAUCUGGUCGAUAAGAACCCUGAAGGAGACUUCCAAGACUGAUGGCAAGGCCGCAAGGACUCUCGCCAAGCUCUCUCUUUUUCGGCAAUUUUACAUGGCCGUGAUUGGAUACUUGUACUUCACAAGGAUCGUGGUGUAUGCUUUGAAGACGAUCGCAUCCUACAAGUAUCGGUGGGUGAGCGUGGCGGCAGAGGAGACUGUGAGCUUUGCUUUUUAUGUCGUCAUGUUUUAUAUGUUCAGGCCAAAGGAGAGGAACGAGUACUUUGCGCUUGAUGAUGAGGAAGAGCAGGCUGCUGAAGCUGCACUGCGGGAAGAGGAAUUCGAGCUUUGAAUCCAAGAAAUGCUGUGCAUUACAAGAUUGAAGUUUGGUUGGUGCUGUUCUUAACUCUUCUGCAUGAGGGUCAUCUUUUCGGGUGUCUUUUAGUAUAAUCUCGAUGCUGCAUCUUAAUUUAUGCCUUGCUGCUGCUGCUUCUUGAAGUUGUAGUCACUUCUUUCCGGAUGUCAAGAAGUAAACAUUAUAUUACUACAUUCUGUACCUAUUCAGAGAUGGUGGUCAUUAAAAGAAUCCUGACUAAUCUUAUAAGUUCACAUGUUUAGUAGCUUUUAUUGAUGCUUUAGUUGAUUUGAUGUUAUGCUUGAGUGAGGGAACAUUUAUAUCAUAAAACAUACAUAUGGUAUGUGGGAAAAUAUGAAAGCCUGUCAAUUCUAAACUUGUUCAACAAUUACUCUAAAGUUGGAGUUUCCAAACUGUGGAAAUGUGAAACUGAGUCUCUUUGGUAGCAGAAACUAAUGGUUUUCCUACUUUUUUGGAAGGCCAUAUUUGUUGUGUAUGUCGUUCUCUCUUGCCAAUAAGUUUUUUCCUCACUGUAUAUAAAUUUAGUUCAUUUCUAGGAUCAUACAACAGAUGAUUUAGACCUGUAUUUUAGAAUAAACCAUAAACGGACUUAUUGACAUAUUGGUUGAAAUGGAUUCUAAGACUUCCUUCAACUUGUCUUAGUUAUUUAACCUAAAUCUUUAAUUAAUGUUGGUUACUUGUAGGAAUAUUUUUGACUAAAUAUGGAAUGAAUAACCCCAAACUGAGCAUACCACCCUAUUUGAUCAUUCAAAACCAAGCCAUCAUGGAUCAGGUUGAUCUUAUUUAUAAACUAGCAAAGUUUACAUAUGAUGAUUUAGUUUAUUUGUAUUUGUAUGGUUGUUGGUGUUGCAGCUACAAUGAAUCACUAAACCGACCUGUUAUAAAUGGUCAUUGCGCACUUGCAACACCUUUGUCAACGGACCAUUCAUUGUUUUUUUUGCUUGUACAUAUGUUUGGCAAUGUAUUUUGCCUUGUUUUUAUAUAUUUUUUCUUGAAAACUGUGAGCAAGAACAAUUUGCAGGGCUACAGAGUGAUUGCUCACCAGAAUGGGCAAAACUACCCUAGAAUGGCUUAAUUUUCGCACCAUGGCUUGUUUUUUGCAAAGUGCGGUGCGGUACGAAAUGUCAGUCAUCUUAGUACCCUAGAACCACUAAUGUAGCAUAGGGUGGAUGGGGUUUAAGAUAAUAUUGGGCGUUGUUUAAAUUCAUAAGUUCACACAUAAAGCCUACGGAAACUUUCCAACGCGCCCAACACCCGGUGAGCAGUCAUUUGAGGAGUUGCGAUUGUUCAUUUGCCUUCUAAAGUCUUUGUUUUAUCUUUCAUGUUUUUUCCCUCUUACAUUCCAAGUUUUUGCUGAAUUGGUUGUAAAGCUGUCCUUUUUGCGGGAUGUCAGGUCUUAUCCAUUGCUCGUUUUCGGAAGUAAUCAACGUAUUAUUUUAUGGGUUCUUCGGGAUUUGAGCGAGGUUGUAAUUAAGCUGAACCUUUAUAGACGGAUAAUACAAGAGUGUCUCACGACUUAGGCAAUUCCAACUAAGUCUGUGACAUUGUGGUAUCAAAGCGGGCAAGCAGUUCAUGUAAACAGCAAAAGUUCAUAAUCUUGUCAUAGCGAAGCACCAUAGUGAAUCGAGUAAGAUGAAGCAAGUCGGACUAUUGCCCCAAGCAGUCGUAGGCAGGUUGCAAGUGCAAACUCACUCUCAAGCUGUUGGAGUCGCUCAAGAGGAGUGUGACAACGAAAAUGGCGAGUGAGAAGUUGGUUAUUCUCCCUCGAGCAGAGGAAGUGCAUUUCGGAGCUUCAACCGGAAAGAAAAGCCAUAAAAAGAGGCUUACAGUUGCAGAAACCCGCUUUGAUGUUCUCGAGAUGAGUCUAGAGGAACUCCACUAAGGCCAACGAAGGCUUCUUGGGGAGGCAAAAUCUCGGAUCGACAAGGUCAAGUCCUAAGUAGAUCAAUUGACGAAAGACAUUAAAGACUCUGUGUAGUACCCAUGCGAAGUCAUGGCGGAACUCACAUCCGGUAUUAUGUUACUUACCAGGUCUCUUAAUACGGGAGGGAGCAUCACUUGCAUUGCUCAAUUACAAAACUUAAAGUGCACCCGAGCCACAUUGCUACGGAGGUGCUAGGGAUGUGAAGGAGUUCGAGAAUUUUUUGUUCGACGUGGAACAAUACUUUCUAGCUACGAGGCUUGAUUAUAAAGAAACUAAAGUUUCGAUAGCAACCAUGUAUCUGAAUGGGGAUGCAAAACUUUGGUAGCGAUCACGUUGAGCAGAGAUCCAACAAAGUUGGUGUCAAGUGAACACAUGGGAGAACUUGAAGCAGGAAUUGAGAACUCCUCUCCUGCCUCAGAACACUGAAUUUCUCGUAAGACGGAAGCUGAGAUAACUCCGCCAAAACACUUCCAUUCGGGACUACGUAAAGCAGUUUUCAGCACUAAUGUUGGACAUAUAAGACAUGUCCGAGAAGGACAAGUUGUUUAGCUUCCUCGAUGGCCUGAAGCUAUAGGUACAAUAGGAACUGCAUCAAAGGAAUGUCAUUGAUUUGGUUGGGGCAAUCGGUUUCCUCGGAGGAUUUGGGGAAGAAGAAAUAAUUUUUUGGAAAAUCGCUCAUCUAAGUAUUCCUGAGGGAAGGAGUUUGCAAUCGAGCAAAAAAAAAAGUUCCCACAAAGGGUCGAGUUUAAAAGACAAGGCCCCAAUACCUGAUGGAUGCUUCUUGUGCGGAGGACUGCACAUAGUGAGGGAGUGCCCGCAAAAGCAAGCACUAAAUGUGUUGACAUCAUCAAUUCAUCCCCCUAGAUCAGACAAGGGUAAGGUCGUCGCCCUUAGUUUAAAUAGUUUGGAAUCCAACAAGGACGAUGAGGAGUCGCAAGGACUCCGGAUGGGAUCAAUGUGUUUGUUGAACACGUUGCAGUGUUAGGUGGGUGAGAACGUGAAGACGAAGCAAUAGAAAGUAAGAAGUAGUGAGCUGAUGCACAUAGACAUCAUGCUAAAUGGUCGAACAACUAGUGCAAUGGUGGACGUGGGUGCUACCCAUAAUUUUAUUGCCAACCAAGAAGCAAGGCGACUUGGGCUGAACCUAGAGAAGAGCCCAAGUUGGAUGAAGGCUGUGAACUUGGAGGCUAAGCAGAUCUUCGGGCUAGCAAGGAGGGUCCCUAUCAAAAUUGCAACGUGGAGCGAAAGCACAAACAUAAUGGCAGUGUCGCUGGAUGACUUCCAAGUGAUUCUCAGAAUAGAGUUCAUGCACACCAUCACGCACAUAGCUGAAAUUGCCUAAGUCGUGAGGCACCCUUGUGUUAUUCAUCUGCAAAGGGUCAACCUAGUUAUAACCUCGCUUAGGUCCCGAAGGACCUAUAAAAGAGCAAAUUGAUUAGUUCGAAAACGAGAGAUGGACAAGCCUCAAUGUCUCGCGAAAAGGAUAGCCUUACAAGCAAUUCAACAAACACUUGGUGUGCAAGAGAGAAAAGAGAGGAAGUAAAAAACAAGGACUUAAGAAGACAACCAAACAGUCGGCAAACAACUGCUCAUCGGGUGUCGAGCGCGUUGGCAAGUUCCCGUAGGCUUAACGUACGAAUUUGUGAAACCAAUCAACGUCCAACACUACCCCAAAUUGUCAUCCAGCCCUGUGUCACUCGGAGGGUUCUGGGGUGCUAAGAUGGCUACUGUUUUGCUCUACAUCGCAACCUAUAUAAAACAUGCCAUGGCACGAAAACUGGGCAAUUCUAGGGCAGUUUUGCUCAUUCUGGUGAGUGGUCGCUCUUCAACCUUGCAAAUUAUUCUUGUUUAUAUUUUUCAAGCGAUAUCACACAUAAACAAAGCAAAACACACUGCCAAACAUAUAUACAAGCAAACAAAAGCGACGAACGGUCCGUUGAUAAAGGCGUUGCGGGUGCACGAUGACCAUCAAUGAUAUUCUCCCUCACCUAAAUUGUUAAUGCCCUCGUCGAUGCUUGCUGGUAGGCUUUGAUGACUGCUUAUUCGUGUCGUAGGGCGUCUUCAGGCUCCCAAUUGGCUUUUGUUUGUGGAAGCUUUCAUCAUUUCACCAAGAACUUGAUCUGCUCUACUCCGUUGGAUAGCUUUGUCUUACGACAUGCUAAAUGGCUUCAACUCGCUUUUCAUGAGAGGUUUUGAUGGGGGGUAGUCAAGUUGGAACACUUUGGGAAGCAUCUUACGGAUUUAAGUGGAAGACUUUCAAGUUACUCGCAUGUAAGACAUUGUGAAUUUUGAGUUACAUCGGCAGUUGCAACUUGUAUAAAGCAUCGUCUACCCUAUUGAUAAUUGGGAAGAGUCCUUCGUACUUGCGCACCAAUCCCUUGUACACUUUAUGCCUAAAGAACUGAAGUGAUACUGGUUGAAGCUUCACCAACACCAAGUCACAAACUUUAAACUCCUAUGAUCGCCUUCUAAAAUCUACUCAUUUUAUCAUUUUAGUCGUCUUCUCUAAGUAAACCCAUGCAAUAUCUAUAUUUCAAUUCCAUUCUUUUGCAAAAUGAUAUGUUAACGGGCUACUCCCGAUAUAACCAAUUGCCAAGGUGUGAGAAUUUGAUGGCUACUAUCCCGUAAUGAUCUCAAAUGGGCUCUUGGUGGAUGUAAAGCUCCCUUGCAAGUUGUAGGAGAAUUGGGUUAUGUCCAAUAACUUCACAUAAUCUUGUUGGUUGGCACUCACAUAGUGCCGAAUAUAUUACUAAAGGAGUGAAUUUAUUCUUUCAGUUUGGUCAUCUGUCUGGGGGUGGAGGCUUGUGGAGAAGUAUAACUUAGAUCCUAGCAAUUUAAACAGCUCGGUCCAGAAUCGUCCUAAGAACCGUGCCUCGAUCGUUGAUGCAAUUUUAGCUAAGUCCGUGAUAGCAUGGUCCCUCUAGAGUUGGCAAAGCUUAUGAAGUAACUAGAUGAACUACUAAGUGGUGGUCUCAUCCGCGAUUCUAAAGCACCAUUUAGAGCUCUAGGUCUCUUCGAGAAGAAACAUGAUGAGAGUCUUCAAUUAUGUGUCGACAAUCGGGCCCUAAAUAAGGUGACGGUGAAAAACAAGUCUCUUAUCCCAUUCAUCGUAGACUUGUUCGCUCAACUAGGCAACGCGAAGCAUUUCUCUAAACUUGACCUUCAGUCGAGGUAUUGGCAGGUGUGUAUAGCUGAAGGCAAUGAAGCAAAGACUCCUUGUGUGACUAGGUAUGGAGCGUUUGAGAUCUUAAUAUCUUUCGGCCUAACCAACACAUCGACUACAUUCUUCACUCUCAUGAAUCAACUAUUCAAGGAGUAUCUAGACAAGUUUGUGGUCAUCUACUUGGCGAUAUCUUUGUGUACAACCAAACGCUUGAGGAGCAUAUCAAACAUCUUCGAACAAUUUUCAAGAUUCUGAGGGAGAACACUUGGUUCAUGAAAAAGGAGAAAUGCUACUUUGCCUAGACGAAUAUUUUAUUCUUAGGGUGUUGAAUCGGCAGAGAGGAUCCAUUCGGAUGGACAAAUCGAAGGUGCAAGCUAUGGUGGAGUGACAAACACCAAAGAAGGUAUUGGAUCCUUCCUUAGUUUCGUCAACUAUUAUUGGCUCUUCAUAGCUGGGUACUUGAAGCACACAGCUCCACUGGUGGAGUUGCUGAAGGAGCAGCCUUCCGAUGGUCGGACAAACGUAAAGCGGCUUUCCAAGACCUUAAGUCUGCAAUGUUAGAAGAACCGACACUUAAAUUAUCGGACUAUGAGAAACCUUUUAAAGUCCAUAUAGAUGCUUAGGACUUCGCUAUUGAAGGAGUACUUAUGCCGGAGGGUCACCCCGUGCCCUACAAGAGUCGCAAGACUGAGUAGCAGUAUCCGAUGCACGAGAAAAAGAUGACAGCGGUGGUCCACUGUCUACGAGUAUGGCGGCACUACCUUCUCGGCAUGGUGGCAAGAUUUUCUAACUGAAUUUGUUAUGACAAUGGGGCACAAGACUGAAAGAACAAAUGUCGUGGUUGAUGCAUUGAGUAGAAAAGUGGAGCUGGUGAAUGUUGUACAAUUGGAAGGCGAAGGCCAAGCAAGUCAAAUGCACUCCAACGUUCUUUCCAGGAUCAUAGAUGGACUAUACAGUGAUCCCUAGGUGGUAACCUUGAUGCAACUGAUCAAGGAAGGCAAGCACGACAAUUUUGGGUCCCGAUGGGACUCGUCUACACCAAAGGGAAUAGAGUUUAUGUUUCCUAAGCGGACAAUUUGAUGCGUGAACUCUUAAAGGAGUGUCGCGAUUCUCUUUAGGUAGGACAUCCGGGUAUUCAUCGCACGAUGACUCUCGUGGAGAGGGCUUUCUAUUAGCCUAAGAUGGGGACCGAUGUAGAGGAAUAUGUUCGGACGUGCCUUACUUGCUAACAAAAUAAGGUAGAGCAACAGAAACUGGUGGGACUUUUGGAGUCAUUGCCUAUAUUAGAAAUCCUAUGGGAGAGCAUUUCCUUGGACUUCAUAUCAAGGUUGCCGACAAUAAGGAGACUUGGCUCGAUACUCAUGGUGGUCAAUCGGUUUUCAAAGUAUGUAACAUUCAUUGUUGCAUCCGUACACUGUUCAACGGAGGAGGCGACCAAGUUGAUGACGAAAAAUAUUGUGAAGUAUUGGUGAGUUCCACACAAUAUCAUCAACGAUCAAGACACACAAUAUUUGGGAUGGUUCUGGACCGAGUUGUUCAAAUUGUUGGGAUUUAAGUUAUACUUCUCCACAAGCCUCUACACUUAGACAAAUGGCCAAACUGAAAGAAUAAAUUUGCUCCUAAAGCAAUAUCUUCAGCACUACAUGAGUGCCUACCAGCGAGAUUGGGUGAAGUUGGACAUAGUCAAAUUCUCCUACAACUUGUAGCGGAACUGUACAUCCAACAAGUGCUUCUUCGAGAUUAUUACUGGACAGUAGCCGUCAACUCCUUACACCUUGGCAAUCGGUUAUACCGAGAGUAGACUGUCAGCAUAUUACUUUGUAAAGGAAUGACACCAAAACACAGAUAUUGCCUGGGCUUACUUGGAGAAAGCGACCAAAAAGAUGAAGUGGUGGGCAAAUAUGAGAAGGCGACCAUAAGAGUUUUAAGUCGACGACUUGGUGCUGGUGAAACUCCAACCAGUAUCACUCUAGUUUUUUAGGCAUAAAGUGCACAAGGGAUUGGUGUGCAAGUAUGAAGGGCUCUUCCUAAUUAUCAGCAGGAUACGUAAUGUCUCCUACAAGUUGCAGCUGUUGGCGUGACUCAAAAUUCACAAUGUCUUCCAUGCGAGCAACUUGAAAGCCUAUCACUUAAAUUUGUAAUAUGCUUCCCGAAGUGUUUUAACUGGGCUACUACAUACCAGUGCCUCCUACAAAAAACGAGUUGAAGUCAAUUUAGCGGAUUGUAGGACAAGUGAACAAGAACAGUUUGUAAGGUUGCAGAGCGAUCACUCACUAGAAUGGGCAAAAUUGUCCCAAAAUGGCUUAGUUUUCUUGUGUCAUGGCCUGUUUUUUGUAAGUUGCGAUGCGGUGCAAAAUGUCAGCCAUUUCAGCAUCCUAGAUCCACCUGGGUGGCACAGGGUUGGAUGGGGAUUUGGGAUAGUGUUGGGUGUUGAUUGAAUUCACAAGUUUACACGUAAGGCCUAUGGGAACUUGCCAACGUGUCCGACACCCAGUAAGCAGUCGUUUACGGACUUGCGACUAUUCAUUUAUCUUCUAAAAUCCUUGUUUUCUUCUUCCUCUUUUUUCUUUCUUAUACACAAAGUGUUUGCUGAAUUGCUUGUAAAGCUAUCUUUUUUGCAAGAUGUUGAGACUUAUAUGUUGCUCGUUUUCGAAACUAAUCAAUUUGUUCUUUUUACAAGUCCUUCGGAACCUGAGCAAGGUUACAACUAGGCUGAUCUUUUACGGACAAAUAAUGUAAAGGUGCCUCACGACUUAGGCAAUUCCAGCUAAGUCCGUGACAGUCCGGACUAGUUUAGAUUUGCAUAGUCUAGUAUUUUCAGCUUAGUUUAUUUGGAUGUGCUAUGCUGAUGUUAUAAUUCAGUUUUUGGGGUCAAUUAGAGUCUAAUAUGGUUUGGGUUUGGAUCUUUAAACCGGUAUCUGAGCUGGUUUCAAGCUUAGGUUGUAAUAUCCAAUUAAAUUAGUAGCUGAGGUAGAAUGCUAAGAUCAGAAAUCUAAGGUACCCACGUUUUGCAUUAACACUUCUGUGGAAGAGUCAAUGGUUACUACAGUUUUAUCUGGUACUUUUUCAAGAUCGACUCAAACAGUUAUUAUUCUCUUUUAUUCCUGUUGUUUGUGUCCGUUAGUGAGUGAACAAAUGGCCAGGUUGUUUGUGAAGCUGCACCUUCAUUAGCAUUGCAUAGAAUUUUAUUUUCACAAAAAGAAGUUUACAAGGCUGCUGGCCUCAUAUAUCUCACCUGUCACAUCUUUUUGUCUGUUUCUUCUAUCUAAUCUCUUUAUGUUUCUCCAGUCCUGUUUCUCUAAAUUCCUCCACCUAUUUGUGCAACAAAGAAUAUGGCUUUCUGUAUUCACUUAGUGACAAAUUGAAAUAUGCAGAUAUUAGACCAUCACAAGUUCUAUCUGGUUUUGAACCUACUGGUCAUCAAAUGUAACUGGAGAUGAGUAGUUUCAGUGCUAGCUUACGCAGGACAAUUGAAAUCACAUCAAAAACCAAUGAGGGAUGGGGCACUACUGUUGUAUUCACUCGAGUUUGUCAGACAUCAUCACAUGAAGAUGAUAAAUUCAUGUGUUUCAAUAUAUCUGAGAAGUCUCUUUGGCCAUAACUGGAAGAACUGGAUUGACAGCUCUUUUAAGUUGAAACUUGAUGGUGUAAGUACCACUUUCACUUUGAAUGAUUUAAGUGCCAUAUAUUUCUCAUGGCUGUCAUGCUAAGGUUGAAUGUGUUUUGUGAGGACCAUGAGUUCUCAAUUCAGUUUCAAAGAAAUUACUUUGCUCUCUGAUGUGAUUCUCUAGGGUCAUAUAUCUUUAGUUUCAAGGAUGAUAGAUCUGUUGUUUGCUGGAAAUGUAGUUUGCCCUUUACUACCUAUCACAAACAGUUAUCCUCAAAUGAGGAUGGAGAUUCCCUAUCACUUAUGUUGGUCUUUUUAUAUGGAAUUGAAGUCUCAAAAAUGUUAUUUAGCAUGCAGUCAUACUAGAAAAGUAAUGCAAUGUAAUCAUGGUUUACUUUGGCCUUUUGACAACCUUGAGCUAAGCCCCAUAAUCAUCUUAUUCAGGGUAGAGAUUUGUAUAUUGAUCUUACAUUAUUGAUACUAUCAUCUGGUCUAUUUGAUCCCAGCUCUCAUAAUAGAGAUAGAUAGUCAAUUUACUUGCAUCUUUAGAUCAUUUAUGACAGAUAUGUUGUGUAAGGUCAAAACCUUGUGUUUCAUCCUGAUGUUUGUUUAUCUAAUAUCAUAGACUUGAUAAGAACAUUAGAAAGAAUUUUGCUCAUCUUUGAUUUCUCCAUCUCACUGAUGCAAAACAUAUAAGAAAUUGGAACAUCUGUUUCCAUUGCUUACUAGGUGUUGCUAGUGUUCUUCAUCGUGCAUCUCCACAUCCACCAUUUCUUCACCCCAUCUCUGCUCCUCGUAUGCUGCUUCCACUAUCAUUGGCUGCUCCUCCACGACUUCCUCGCUCCCCGCAGGAUACUCACCAGCUGCAGCUGGGAACUGGGCAACAACAGGUGCAUUUCUAGGUGCCACUCUCGGUUUAUCUGCUCCUAUGAAUUGAACACCAGGUGUUUGAACCAUUCUUCCAUGUCGAGCUCCAAACAUGCCAUGGCCAUUACCUUUUAUGGCACCCUGUCCCUGACCUUCAGCUGUUUCUCGCGGCUUACCGUAUGAAUUAACAUGCCCUGUGUGAAGCUAAUAGCAUCAGACUGAGGCCAUGUUCAAGGUUUAAGUUGGCCUACUUAACCAUAACAGUCUUGUCCACAGACCUGGAUUUUCUGCUGCAACAGGUGGAGCUCUUCUCCUGCUCCGAAGGAAGAACGUGACUGCUGUGGCUACAAGGGCGACGAAGAACACCGGAACCGCAACUCCAAGUAUGAGCCCUAAUUUGCUACUCUUUUUUUUGGCACCAGCAGAGCUUGAACCUUUGGAUGUGUCACAGGUCUGGCCGGGAGAGCACAAGUCUGGAUUUCCAGAAGUCCUGUAUGUCCAACAGCUAACCAUGAAUCCGAAAGAUAUAUGGAAUUCCAUAGACAAAUUCACAGAGCAGCAGCCUCUCACUAUUGGCUCUAACAAGGUGCCAAUAUACCACUUACAACAGCUCGAUCCUGUUGUUUGAGGUCAAAGACGAUGGGAUCGCUCCGCUCAACUUGUUAUCAGCCAGAUUCCUUCAAAGAAGUGGAAACAAGAAGAGAUCAGCUUGUUGGAACCAGUUGAAAGAGUGAUAAGCUCUGCUUCAGUAUUAACAAGGCUCACAGCUGAAUUAGGUUGGGCAACCUGCCCAGGAAGUCAAGGAUUUCUCCUGUAAUGCUGUUGUUGUGCAUAUCUCUGUGAAUUGUCGCAGUGGGGCUGCUUAGAUUAGUUGUCAAGUUACUGAGAGUGAGCAUCAACUAAGUUAGCUUACAUGGUCUGCAGAGAGCUCAAGUCACUGAAGUCUGGAAGAUCUCCAGCAAGCCCAUACCCAGCAAGAUACCUGAUCAUCGUCACCAGAGGAAGUUUCAUGGCACAGUGACAUGGAUAGUAUCGCAGAUUACAGAGAGAACACAUCAGGACAAAGAGAGUGUUACAGUGCAAUGAUUCGUGGAACUGGAUCAGAACUGCAUCCAACCCAAUCCCAGCUGUAGUUUGCCGGGAGGCAAGGAUCGCCAUUCCAGUCACUGAGAGCCUUAAACUGUAGCUGUAAAAUUGUCAACGCCUUCGCUGUCACAACCAUCAGACAUGCAUUAGAGAGAUCAGACGCUAUCGUUAAGGUUUGGCGCAAACGGAGACUCACCGUCGGAUUCGGCUGUUCCGUUGCUGAGACUGCUACCGGUGAAGAUCUCCAUGGCACUGAUGAUGGGGGGAAGGGUGGCGUCGGCUGUAGCUCGCAACGCCAUUUGACUGCUAGCUGUGACGCCACGAUCGGCGAACGAAAACUCCAACACCUUUUGGUAAGGCGGAACGAUCGGAUCUGAUGUCUUUCCAUCCAUGUCAAUCCGGAACGAUCUCACAUCAGAAGAACUCAGCGAAGUCAUUUCAGCAAAGUAGAGGUUGAUGUAGACCGGAAUGGUGGCUGCUGGAACAAGAUCAGCGAACGUCAAACUCAAGUCGGCGGAUGGAUCUGUCGUCGUGAAAGCGUUGAGCAACACAGCUUUUGGAGGAUGCUCGGUCGAAUUUGAGGUGUCCAUGAUGGUUGUGUCGCUGGAUAGUGAGGUUACUCCUGCAGAAUCUGCGGCAGGAACCCAGAUUCGAUCGUAGUUGUCGUCAGGGUACCUUGAUCGAGGAAGAGAACAUUCUUGUUUCAGAUCGAUGGGAUUCAGAGGAUGGAGACGAUACGAUGGAAGAAGAGUUACCUGACGAUGUCAGUAGCUCCGAACGACCACCUUCUGAGGAGGAAGAAGGCGAAGGUGGGUUCGCCGUCGUACAUGGAGUUCUCCAGCUGCCUAACUUCGAUCGACGACACGAAGGGCAGCUGCUUGGGGAUGGUCUGAGCGACGCAUAUGCUGGUCCUGCCCAUGCGCACAUCGUACACGGCUUCGAAGUAGACAGCGCCAUCCAUCCGGGUGACGACCGUGGCCCAGCUGUUGCCGUCGAACUGGAGCUCGAACGUCGGCGGCGCCGCCUUCUUGUCGUAGUUGCCGUAGUGAAAGCUGACUCUGGCGAGGAUGCGUCGGGCAUCGGGGAGAAGGAUCGGGUAACAGUUCUUCUUCCUCGACGAGAACAUACGGAGCGUUGUCAGCGGCGUGGCCAUGGAUUCGGUGCUCUGCACUGCUCGGCUCUCGCCAUUGGAAAUGUAUGCCCUGUCGCUCUCCCAGUGGAUGCCGUCGGCGUCCGUGUAGGAAUCUGAAGCACCGCAGUCGAUGCUGAUGAAGCCUGUGAGGAAACAUGAAGAGUAAUGGUGAAAAGCUGUGCCUAAUACAAAGGUAAGAAGAUGAUGCCUUACCUGAAGUUGCAUCAGCUCCAAGAAAGAGGAUGAAGAAGAAGAAGAAGAGGCAGAGGAGACAUGGAUGAAAAGGAAAGAGGUGGGCAGCCAUGGAGGUCUGAAGCGAGAGAAUGAGCUGACCGUAGCUUGGCCUUUAUGCAUGCACGCGAUGGAGGGCAAGUGGAGAGAGAGAGAGACCGAGAGGGGGGUGGGGGGGAGAUCGUUGACAAUGCUCAUUAUGGGAGAUCGAAGACGUUGACUUGGAAUCCAGCAGUACAGUGAAUCCGGUCUGGUGAAGAUGGCUGAAACCGCUGUUAGGUUUGAGUUCUAAUACGAAGUCAUCGCCAUGUUGCUUCAAACUCAACGAGGGAGGGAUGUGUAGAAUGUUGUGGCAUGUUUCCCACCCGUUGACUUGUGAAAGCACCCUAAAAUGAGAGUCAACGUUACAUAACGCGUUGACUCGAAGAUGAGAAGCGAGGUUUAUCGCAUGUGAGCCAGCGCAUGGUGGUUGGUGCCACAUGAGACACCGCGUACAUGACCGUUGACCUGGUGGCGUGCUCAACGUCCGUUCUAACUGUUCCUCGACCCUAGAUUAAUAAAGGGUAAAUUCUUCUGAUCCAUGUUUAAAUUUUUUUUUCCAUUUAGCGCCUUCCAAUCCAUUUAUUUUCCGCAAAAGUGUUCCUUAUUUCUAACUAGUUUUCAAAAGGAUAAAAUCCUUGGCCUUCAUCACUUAUUGUUACUUAUUACCCUAGUCUUUUUUUCUCUCUCCAUCAUUUUUAUUGCUUAUUGUGGUCACCUUUGCUUGCCUCCUCAUGUCUCACCUUUGUUAUUGUUUUUGUCCGUGUGUUUUUGCUUUCGUUGUUAUUCUUGUCAAUAUACUCUUCUACGUUCGAGAGUCGUAAAGAAAGGUAGAAGUGACGAUCGAUGAGGUGAAGGUCAGAGAUUACCUUACAGUAUAUUGUAAAAAAAUUUACCAACUAAAUUAGUUGACACAUUCAAAUAAAUAAAAAAAUAUUAAUCAAGAAAAAUAAAAAAAUUUGGGGAAUGUACUCAUAAAUAAAUAAAUAUCAAGAUGUUAUACGGCACCCAUCAAACAAAGAUGGGUUGUUCCAACCCAAGCCUGGCCUGCAUAAUAUUGUGGACUUGGGCGGGUCUCAUUCAUUCAUUCAACGGAUGAUUCGAGUAGUUCGGAUUACUUGCCAACGAGGACGUAUCGGUUCCCGAUGACCUAAUUGUGAUGUUCUAUUCGUACAACAAUCUGGCAAUGUAAUUACACUCUUCAUUUGUCAUCCAAAGUGUUCAGCAUUCUGUGAGACUUCUCCGAGGGUGUUUAUGUGGUCAAUUCCUCCAACAAUCUGUUUGAUGUCGAUUCAUGUUUGAUUCAUGUCGAUUCAUGUUUGAGAGUGUCAAAGACCACAGCAUUUUGCGUGUAUUGAACCGUGUUGUCUACGAAGACUUCAACUUCUCGGCAAUAAGACGCCAUGGAUUUGGAAGUCUUCUCACCUAAGACAAAGAAGUCGACGAGCCAUUAGAUUCGUGUAGUACGUGCUUCAGCAUUAUUAAUUAGGACACUCCAAGAAUUCACAAUUGAGAAGACAGGUCAAGGUUUAAAUUCUUGUGCUAACUCAGACAUUAAAUCGGAAUGAUACAAAACCUGACCAUAGUUAGUGUCACUCUACCCACUGAUCAUGUUGGGUUAAUUGAUUUUUCCGAUGGAACACUAGAUUAAUUUAAUAAAUGACUUAAAUCUCUAGUAAAUAUUUAAUAUUAAAAAAAUAAUAUCAAAUCUAAUUUGAUAUUACUAUUUAAUUAAUAUUGUGUGAAAAAUACUUACCAUAUCAAAUACAAUCAUUCGACAAAUUUACAUGUUAUCAUAUAAUGAUAUCAAUGAUAAGAUUAUUCUUUCACAAGUUAGACGUAUAAUAAUAGAUGACUGAUAUCAUCUUCUUCUUUGUUAAACGUACUCUUUUGGCUCAUCUAAACCCUAACCGCUGCCAUCUCCUAUCCCGGUGGAAAAUCCAUUCAAUGAUAACUUAGUCCCAACUUCCAACCACCUGCGAUGAUAUAAUCCCAAGUGCAGCCUCAGCCUCUCUCCUGUUGGGUAUGAUAUAUAUAUAUACAUAUAUAUAUAUAUAUACUUCCAUUCUUGGUCGUGUAGAUGGUCGAGUGUCGCUAAACACCCACACCUACUUAUUCCCAUCUCCAAAAGUCCAAUUUUUGGUGCCACAAGAAACUGCUCUGUAUAAAUAGGGUGAUUAAGAGAGAGAGAGAGAGAGAGAGAGUUGAAUGACCACAACAAGCUAUUCCUCUGCCUUCUCCUCUCAUCUCUCCCUCGCUCGACGCAGUCUUCUCCACAACUGUUCUUUGGAUUUGGGUCACGUACACGAUAUCCCCGUGGAUACCGUAAACACUGCCCUGCUAUCCCGCCGUUUAACCUUCUCCUUCCUCUGCUCUGAUUGUAGGAUAAAAGGGGGAUAGCGAAGCGAUACCAUGAUAUCCUUGUUCGACCGGCGAUCCUCCCCGAUGGCAGAGGCCGAGGACAUCGACCGUGACGGCCUGCUCGGCCACCACAGCACCCGAGCUAACGCUAACCAGGACUCCGGAGGCGGCGGCAAGUCCAUCACCCUCGGGCAGCUCUUCAAGCGCGUCGGCGACGCACACAGCGGCGGUGGCGUCACCGAGAACGAUGGCUACGCCUCCCCGGAGCACCACGUCCUCGAGCUCGAUGAGUUCGCCGCCGAAGGUGGCGCCGGCGAUCACUUGGCCUCCCGCCCUGUCCCUUUCGUGCUCGCCUUCACCGAUCUCUCGUACAGCGUGAAGAAGAACCGGAAGAUGUCGCUCUUCCGCACGAACGGCCUCGCCGUCGACCCCGCCGCCGGACUCCCGCCGAUGGAGGCGAUCUCUGGGACCAAGACGCUUUUGAAUUCCAUCUCUGGCGAGGCGAGGGAAGGGGAGAUCUUCGCGGUGUUGGGGGCGAGUGGCUCCGGAAAGUCCACCCUGAUCGACGCCCUUGCGAACCGCAUCGUUCGGGAGAGCCUGCAGGGUUCCAUCACCCUCAACGGAGAGAAGCUCGAGGGGCGGCUCCUCAAGGUGAUCUCCGCCUAUGUCAUGCAGGACGACCUCCUGUACCCCAUGCUCACCGUGGAAGAAACCUUGAUGUUCUCUGCGGAGUUCCGGCUGCCGCGGUCGCUGUCCGCCUCGAAGAAGAAGAGCCGGGUGCAAGCACUGAUCGACCAGCUCGGCCUCCGGUCCGCCGCCAAGACCAUCAUCGGCGAUGAGAUCCACCGCGGCGUCUCCGGCGGAGAGCGUCGCCGUGUGUCGAUCGGAAUCGACAUCAUCCACGACCCCAUCAUCCUCUUCCUCGACGAGCCCACGUCCGGCCUCGAUUCCACCAGCGCUUUCAUGGUCGUCAAGGUGUUACAGAGGAUUGCUCACAGCGGAAGCAUAGUGAUCAUGUCGGUGCACCAGCCGAGCUACCGGAUCCUGUGUCUUCUCGAUCGCCUUCUUUUCCUCUCCCGCGGACAGACGGUGUACAGCGGUCCGCCUGACGGCAUCCCCCGGUUCUUCGCCGACUUCGGCCACCCGAUCCCCGACAACGAAAACCCGACAGAGUUCGCGCUCGACCUCAUCCGCGAGUCUGAGGGCACUCCGGACGGUGCGAAGCCCCUCGUCGACUUCAACAAGUCGCGCCAGAACACACAACUCGCCCUGACUACCGCCGAGGAGUCGUCUGUUUCUCUCAAGGACGCCAUCAGCGCCAGCAUCUCUCGCGGCAAGCUCGUCUCCGGCGCGACAGACAGGACGACGUCUGCCUCGUCCGUCCAGAAGCACGCCAAUCCGUUCUGGAUCGAGAUGGCGGUGCUCACCAAGCGGUCGUUCACCAACACCAAGCGGAUGCCGGAGCUGUUCGCCAUCCGCCUCGGCGCAGUGCUCGUAACCGGAUUCAUCCUGGCCACCAUCUUCUGGCGGCUCGACAACUCGCCCAAGGGCGUGCAGGAGCGGCUCGGCUUCUUCGCCAUAGCCAUGUCCACCAUGUUCUACACGUGCGCCGACGCACUACCUGUCUUCCUCCAGGAGCGCAACAUCUUCAUGCGAGAGACGGCGUACAAUGCCUACCGCCGCUCCUCCUACGUCCUCUCGCAUGCCAUCGUCGGCUUCCCGCCGCUGAUCCUCCUGUCCAUCGCCUUCUCCUUGACCACCUUCUUCGCCGUCGGCCUCGCUGGGGGCACGCAGGGGUUCUUAUUCUUCGUGCUGAUCGUCCUGGCCUCCUUCUGGGCAGGCAGCGGCUUCGUCACCUUCCUCUCCGGCGUGGUGACGCACGUCAUGCUAGGUUACACCGUCGUCGUCGCCAUACUGGCCUACUUCCUACUCUUCAGUGGCUUCUUCAUCACCAGAGACCGCAUUCACGACUACUGGAUCUGGUUCCACUACAUGUCGCUGGUCAAGUACCCCUACGAGGCCGUGAUGCAGAACGAGUUCGACGACUCGCACAAGUGCUUCGCCCGAGGCGUUCAGAUGUUCGACAACACGCCGCUGGGUGGUUUGCCGGACGUGAUGAAGCUGAACGUGCUCAAGUCCAUGAGCAAUUCCCUGGGGGCGAACAUCACCGGCACCACCUGCAUCACCACCGGCACAGACAUCCUGAAGCAACAGAGCAUCACUCAGCUCGACAAGUGGGAGUGCCUGUGGGUUACAGUGGCGUGGGGCUUCCUCUUUAGGUUCCUCUUCUACAUCGCCCUCCUGCUCGGGAGCAGGAACAAGAGGAGGUAGAGACAGAUGUCGUCACCGUGUUGUGAAGUUUCUUUCUUCCUUCAUGUUAAACUUUUCUUUAUAUUUCUUACGAUCUAAGAGACGAACUACUACUUCAUGUGAUGUGGUUUCAGUGCAAAUCUGAAUAAAACACUGCUUGUUUGCUAAUUCGAUUCAUUCGGUUCGAUGAGAAGAGAGAUUUCAAGUUUGUUGGAUCACGAAGUAUGUGUGGUGAGCUGCCAUACCUGCACGUAUCUCCCUCGCAUGUCGAUAUCGAUACAUGUACCACAGGCAAGCCGUGAAUUAAUGGACUCACGGCGGAGUCAAAGGCGGCGUUCAUCCGUCCUCAACGUCUUCCUCGGCUCCAAGAAACCCUCGCCAUUGGGCAAUCGAUUGACCCCUUGUUGGGCAACCUCGAUGAGGCACGCACCGUCACCUAACGCUAGUGGGUUCUGCGACAAGAAACCACCAAAUCCAUAUAUUAAACGUGAAGUCUGCUCUAUCGCCAUCGUCUCUUCUCCUCGGAACAUUCGUACCAGUCGCCGGUGGUUUCGACUCCAUGCCAUGAAUGAAUGCUCUACCGCAGAGUCCACAUUCCAUGGCUCGAGUUCAGAGUACGAGACGUGAGUGUCGACGUUCUUUGUUGGCGGUGGUUCACCGAUCCAUGCAAAUGGCGUUCCGACCAACCUCUCACCGGCUUCAACCACUCACUGACGUCCAUAAGUAAUUAUGCAUAGUUGAUCGGCGUCCCAUCUGAAAUCAAUAUGGCGGCGUCGCUCUCAAGCGUCGCACUGCAGAUGCCUCAGGAAUCGGUCUCCUGAAUAGCCCAACCAACAGUUUUGAGUCUUGCAAACCCUCUUCGCUGUUGUCGGGGAAGAGAGAGAUCCAUGUGUGUAGCAUUUAUCCUAGUGAGCCAUAAAGUGAGAUGGUCUUAGGCCCUAUAAUUGACCUAACUAGAUCGUCUUAGGCCCUAUAAUUGCUCGAUUUGUUUAGAAAAAGUAUAAAGAAUAUUUAUAUAAUAAUUAUUAUUAUUAUUAUUUAUAUAGCAAUAAUAGGUGACUUUAAAAAAAAUCUCUCUUUUUCGAUUUAUAUAGCUUUCUUUACUAUUGACAAUCUCUUUUAAAAAAUAAUAAAAUAUUAUUUUAUUAUUUAUGAUCUUAAUAUUAUCUUUUUUUAUUGUACUUACCCACAAUUCCUUAAAACUUCUUAAAAUUUUAAAAUAUGAUUGUAAAUAGUAAAAAAAAGAUCGAACCAUGAAUUGCUUUGGAAUCGAUUCAUUAAUAACUUAGUUUUAAAUGUUAUAAAUGAUUUCAAAUUGAGAUGAUACUCUUCUCCGAUUCAAUUAAUUGACUUCCGAUCGAGUCGAUUUUAAUUUAAAGCAUACCGAUUCAACAAAAGACCCUAGAAAAACCUAAAAUAAUUUCCUAAUCUCUGUAAGUUUAUUUUUCUUCCUUGGUUUAUGUAUUUUUUCCUCUUUGUCUGCUUUUUAGUAUUGCUCUCUCGUUUCAAAUAUGAAUUCUAUAUUUUUUCAUUAAUAAUCUAUUUGUUCAUUUAUAUAAAUUCUUUUAUUAAUUUAUAUGCAUCACUACAUAUCCUCAUCAUUGAAAAAAAUAAUACUACAUGUGAAAUUAUUAUUCCUCUAUGACAUCUUUCAAUACAAAAAUAAAAAAAAAACACUUGUAGUUUAUGAGCUUCAAUUGGAUCAAAAUUAUAGUUUGAUUCAAAUAAAUUGAUCUAGUUCAUUGAAUAUUCAUUGGAAAUAUAUAUUUUUAAAAUUAAAAAUCGAUUCAAUUAGGUAGGUUCGAAAUAGAUUCAAUUCAAAGUACCAUGCUUUAAUUGAAUUAAAUUAUUUUUAAACACUCCUUUCAUAUUUCUUUAAAAAAAUCCUCAUUUAUAAUAAUCCUAAAACAACCUCUUGAUAAGGCAAGUGGAGCAGUAUUGAUUACACCCUAUGGAUCAAUCCAUGGGUGAACCAAUCUAAUCCCUCUUAUAUAAGAUUCACAUGGUUAAUUAUAAUAUUUUUGAAAUAUGAUUACACCGUUUUUUUAUACCCAUCAAAACACUAUAAUUCUAUUAAAAAUAUAUAUGUCAUAAAUAUUGACUCGAAAUUUAAUAAAAAUUAUGGUUUCGAAUAGAUAUCACUAUUUGAUUUAAAAAUUAAGAUAUCAAUUAUAAUAUUUUUAAUAAAAUUUAUAAUAUUAAAAAAUAUUAUUAUUUAUAAUAUUAUAAAUUUAUAAUAUUAUUAUUUCCUAAAAAUAGUGUAAAUUGCAUAAUAGAAAGAAACGGCAUUAUCCACAGCUCUCUGCGGUGCGCAAGAGAGGAAAAGUAGAGAGGGCGCGAGACCACACACAGACGUGUGACAGCAAGUCAUGGCCGGCAAAGCACUCCAAAUCUCCAACCCAUUCCCCUCCACCCUCAGCCCGCCGCCCACCUUCUUCACAUGGAAGCCGCCCAUGUUGCUCCCCCCUCGCGCCGCUGCCGGCGACGACAAGCCCGCCGAGUCGGACGCUUCCGCGGAGUCCCCGGCCGCCGCUGACCCCUCCUUCGAGAAGCGGCUCAACCAGAUCCGGCUCAAGUACCGCAGCGGCACCGGGAAGAAGGCCGAGCAGCGUAAGGCCCGGAAGUCCCCCGGCGCUGGCGCCGGUUCAUCCGGCAAGAAGAAGGGCAGCGUGCUGCUCCCGCCGGUUCCGCUGCGGGAGCCGAUGGCUGUAGGGGGCGUGCCGGUGGAGCUGGGCUUCACCCCCUACAGCGAGCGGCUAAACGGGCGGCUGGCCGGGCUCGGGUUGGCUGCGCUGCUGCUGGUCGAGCUGGGCUCCGGCAAGGGGCUGCUCCGCUACCACGCGCCGGCCGUCAUCUUCAUCCAGAUCUACACCGUCGCCGCGGCGGGCGCCCUUUUCAUCAAAUUCGACAAGGAGAGAAUCAGCGUGUGGCCCGAGAAACCACCGGCUUCCUCCUCCGCUGCUGCCGGUGAUUGACGGUCAGGAUUUACCCUACAAUUAUACUUCAAAUCCUUUAAAAAUCUUCUUUUUGCUAUUAAAACAACUCUCUCUAAUUGUAAUUUGGUUGGCAUGAUUUAAUUACCACUCCAUUCCAUCGUUCUCGAGAAAACCAAAUCAAAUUCCCAGAAAGACUGUAAUAUUGGUUGCAUAAUCGUGAGAAAUGGCUACAGAACUCUUCUUAUACACGAUGCGUCGACGACAACCAGACGGCAUUAGACUAAAGAAACCAUUAGAUUAGCGACUAAUCCAAUCCGCCGUCGUUUUUAGUUUCUUGACAGCAAGACUUUUAACAAACACAAAGCCCUAACCACCAAAACCAUAGAGAGUCCUUCCCUGCCUCUUCAGGGCGUAGACGACGUCCAUGGCGGUGACGGUCUUCCGACGGGCGUGCUCGGUGUAGGUAACAGCGUCUCGGAUCACAUUCUCGAGGAAGAUCUUGAGGACGCCGCGGGUCUCCUCGUAGAUAAGGCCGCUGAUGCGCUUCACGCCGCCCCUCCUCGCCAGGCGCCGGAUCGCCGGUUUGGUGAUGCCCUGGAUGUUGUCGCGGAGCACCUUGCGGUGGCGCUUCGCCCCGCCCUUGCCCAAACCCUUGCCGCCCUUCCCUCGCCCCGACAUCGCCUUCGGACAGAGCAAAACCUACAAGCUUCUGCAUCAAUCGGAAGCGCCAUUAGAUCAAAUCACAAAGAUCACGAAAGAAAUUUAGGAAACUAGCCAUCGACGGGAAGAGGUAACAUCGUCUACAUGCCUCAGGUUAUGAGAUCGUCUGCGCUCGGAGCGACGGAGGAGUGUCGUCGGGUUUGAUGAAUAUUUAUGGUGACAAUGACGAGGUUGCAGAUCCGAGGUGCGGACUUGGAGGUAGUUGUAGCCGUUGAUGAUGGAUAGAUGGACGGCUCAUGUUGGUUUAAUUUGAUAAGCACGGAUCGCUGAAGUGGCAGAUGAUGCGAAGCUUGGCGCUUAUGGAUUUGUUUCUCACGCGUAGGUGAAUCAACCCAAAUCCGGACCACCUUGAUCACGUGUUUGGAACGUGGCAGGAGAAAGGUUUUAAUUUCCGGAGCUAAAUAAAAAAAUAAAUAGCAUUUAAUCAUAAUAUUACCAAGCAACGUUAAAAGAUUUCUACCAAAUUUCUUGUUUCUAAGAAUCUAAUUUUAUUUACUUUAUGAAGUUUCUACAAAUCCAAAAUUAAAAUGGGUGGAGCGUUGAAAAGAUAUAAAAUUAAAACGGAUGCAGCUUUCUUGAUAUAUAUAUAUAUAUAUAUAUAAUUUAUAUUAUUAAUACCCAAGUGGGUGUUAAACGAGAAACCCACCACCUAAAUCUUCACAUGGUUGGGCGUGACCCCAGAGGGCCCCACCAAGAGUGGACCCGCGAACAAACGUUCCCGAAAUGGUAGUGGGCUCCCCAACAUUGCGUGGGCCCUUCGAGUGGAGUCUCCUGGUAGUAGGAAGCGAACAAAGAAGACGCACACGUAUAUAUAUGUAGAGAGAGAGAGAGAGAGAGAGAGCGAGUGUGCGUGUGCGUCUUCCGAGCUUUGCGGAUCUGCGAUUCUCCUCUCCGUAGUCCUGGUAAGCCUCUUCCCCAUUUCUUGAUCGGAAUCAUUGACGACGCUGCUGCCGUUAGGUUUCUAUUCUUUAGAACUUCAUCUGUAGAUCAAUUGUUUUCUUGAUCGGGAUCGCAGUUAGGUUUGUCCUCUAUCUGUUGGGGUUUAAUUUUCGUAGAAUGUCCUAUAUGAAUUAGUCCGGGAUUACUGGGGGCAAAUCUUGGCACGGGAUGGUUUGACAAGAUCCGGUUCCGGUAUGUCGAGAAAAUCUUGGAUAUUGGCUAGUGGGGAGGAUGGAAACCAGACACGGUUCUGCUAUGUAAGAGACCUUGGAUCUUAGAUAACAGAGUAGGUCUACAGAUGUUCUUGGAUCCAUGAAUGACGGAUUCUUAGAUUGUUGGGAUCUUGGUUUCUGAUAGAGUUUUGUGGCAUCGAGUGUGGGCUGGUCUGAUACGGGACGUGGGAGACAGAAUGUCCGAGUCUCAAACAUAGCACCUCUAUACCGUAGCUUCGUAUAUUGAUUCUCUUCAUUGAUGGGAGCUUCGUGCAUUUAGUUCAUUUUUUUAUUUUUGAUAGCAAUCAAGAUCGAUAAUCGUCAAUGUUUUUGCUCCAACUAAUGAAUUCUACGAGGGAUAUUUGAGUUGAUUUUUUUACUGUUUCGAAAAUUAAGGCAAAUGUAUAAUUUUAUUGUUGAAAAAGUUCUAAAUGAUGCUCAAAUCUUUUAUUUGUUCUCAAAGCUCUUUAAAGUACUUGUGGGAUUAGUUGCCGUUGCAAAAGAUCAAGAAACAGAAAUCAUGUAUGAGGUUUAAACCUUCGUAAGAAAAACAAGAAAUAGGAAAAAAGGGGGAGUUUUUUUUUUUAUUUGAUUUCUUUUUUCCAUGUGCCCAUUGGCUUAUCUGAGGCCAGAAGAAAUCUAUGCACCGUAUAGUUAAGCUUCCUAUAUGCAUCUUAAUUUAGAUUCUUCCUUAGGCUUAAAAUGCAAUCUGAAAAUUGAGAGCUGUGAUUAGUCAUUUUGGGGUUGCAUGGGCUACAAACUGGCCACCAGCUUUAGAUGAGUGUUGUUGGAUUGAUCCUCAUAAAAUUUUAUUAUAUAUCAUGAAUGCAAGUGCAAUUCCAGUGACCUACUGCUACUAUUUUUUUGUUUUCUUCUUUUUCGUUUUUUGUUACUUUCCCCCCUUGUUUUUCCCAUUGUGCCAGCCACUUGCAGUGAGGAAAAUGGGAGGAGGGAAGGAUAAGCAUGAUGGGGAAGGCAGCGGCGACAAAGGAUUACAUGGACAUGGUUAUCCUGGAUAUCCACCAGCAGGGUAUCCUCCACCGCCUGAGGCAUACCAACCACAGCCUUACCCCCCUGCACCUGGUGGAUUCCCUCCUCAAUAUGGGUAUCCUCCUCAGGGGUAUCCCCCUGCUGCAUACGCCCCUGCACCUGGUGGAUACCCUCCUCAGGGGUAUCCCUCUACUGGUGGAUACCCUCCUCAGGGGUAUCCCCCUACUGCAUACCCACCUGCAGGUUAUCCUGGUUCAUCUGCUCCACCACAUCAAGGUAUGAAUUGUUACUCCAAAUGCUAAACCAGUUCAUGCAAGUUGCUUUUAACAAGUUGGUUCAUAUUAUUUCCCAAAGAAUAGAAAAAAAGAAUAAUGAUUUCGUUAAAGAAAACUUUUCAGUUCAUUAUUUGCAACAUAGAGUUCUGCUGAUUUUUAGAAUGCUUAAAUUUUUCUAUGAAGACUGCAUGAAUCAUUCUCACAAGCACAUCAAGAUAGCUGUCUAUGUGCUGCUGCCCCACAUCAAGCUAUGAAUUUCUAUUGCAGGUGCUAAAUUAGUCCAUUCUACUAAGAUAUAUGUUCGUCACUGAAUUCCUACCAAGUUUUUUUUGUUCUUUUUUGAAUUCUUAGCAAGUUGAUCAGAAGCAUUUCUCAUAAACAUAACAAUAACAAAUUAUUCUCACAAGCAGGGUUUCUAAUUCUCUAAGCCACAGUUUUUCAGAGCAAGUUAUGCAUACUGCAGACUUGUCUACUUGAGAAAAGUUUUGAUGUCGGUGUGCUUAAUUUCCAUCACCUACUUGCAGGCCAUGGUUCUCAUAUGGGCACACUGAUAGCCGGUGGUGCAGCGGUGGCUGCAGCUGGGUAUGGAGCACACCACCUGGCUCAUGGUCAUCAUCAUGCUGGGCACGGUGGCUACCAUGGCCAUAUGCCUGGUCACCAUGGCAAGUUCAAGCACCAUGGGAAGUUCAAGCACGGCAAAUAUGGCAAGCAUAAACAUGGGAAGCAUGGCAAGUUCAGGAAGUGGAAGUGAGUAUUCAGGUGUCAAUGCUAGUAAAACCUUAAUAAUUUGAAGAUAUGGAGUCAUAAUUAUGCGGCUGAUCAUUUCAUCUCUAAUGCAUCUGGCCUUCCUAGUCUGUAUUAACGAAUAAGAAACAAUCAUAUUAUGGAAAUUGUCUACCGGUAAAACCUGCUUUCUCCAUUCCUUGCGUAGAUCUUGGUGUACUACUUUGUUUACUCCUGAGGAUUUCUUGUGAGAUUUGGUACAUUGUCUUGGUAUAGCCGUUCUAUUGGUUGGACAAACAUUGGUUAUGUAGAAAUUAUGCUUACCAAUUGUUUGUCUUUUCUUAUUUAGAUUGGACUGGUUGCAUGGAGUUUCUCCAUAGAAAUCAUAUUUGAUGUCGCAAAUAUUUUGAAUUAGAAUGAUGGAUCCUUUACCAUCAUUUAUAGGUGGUUGGGUAUUCCAAGUAAUAGAGAAAAAAAAUGUUAUUAGGUAUUUCUAGAAAUGGAAGUACUUUCUUGAGAAAAAUUCAAAAAAAGUCAUAUAUAAUAUAGUCUCUUGGAUCCAUUAAUCUAUAUAUUGACAAAGGAUAGAUGAUUGAUUGUCAAAUCAAGAUUAUUUCAAGCAUUAAGUAAAAAAAAGAUAUUAUUAGAAUUUUAGGUAUAUAUAUAUAUAUAUAUAUAUAUAUAUAUAUAUAUAUAUAUAUAUAAUGAUGUAACUUUUAGGUAUCUAUCAUAUAAAUAAAGAUCUUUUGACAAAUAUUACUCGCACAAGAAUUUUAGGUGAAGAUGUCAAAUAAUUCAAUUGUUACGAUGAAAUCUCGUUUCAUCAUCUAUUAUAUUAUUUCUGUAAAAAUAAAAUAAAAUGAAAAAAAAUAUAAAGGCAAUGUUUUGCCAUGUUUUUAAAAUAUUGUGGAAAAGAUAUUCUUGAAACAAAAAUAAGAUUUGUUUUUGCAAAAACGUUUACAAAAGACACGUUUGCAGGUAUUGGGGUCCAACAUCCGGCAUGCGUUCUCCAUCUUCCUCACGUGUCACGUGUCUCCUUUUCCUCAGGUAUUCCGGUCCACCACCCGAUGCUUCCUGACGCUUCUCUCCCGUGCUCGUUAAAUUUGUUUCGAAGAAUACUGUACGAUAGUCACAAUAACAUCUUACAUGAAGAAUCUCACAGACUGCAUUGAUAAAUCAGUAACAAAAACAAUCUGAAAAAUAAUGAGAAAACAAAAAAGAUAUGCAUGCUAUAAAAUGAAUAAAUCAUAUAUAUAUAUACAAGGUACAGUAGUCCUUUUAUAUUUUUCAUCUAAAAUAUUAAUUGUCAGUAAUGUAUCACAUCCACUUAUUUAAAAACUAAAGGGUUUAAAAAUAUUUAAUCUGAUGAUGAUAUAAAUUUUACACCCAAAAUACUUAGUCUGGGGAUGAUAUAUAUAUAUAUAUAUAUAUAUAUAUAUAUAUAUAUAUAUAUAUAUAUAUAUAUAUAUAUAUAUAUAUAUAUANNNNNNNNNNNNNNNNNNNNCCGAGAAGAGCGUAUAAAAUCUUUGAAGAUUGAUAGUAAGAUCGUAUCCCAUCCUCACCAUUUAUUCUGUAGAAAAAGGGAAACUAUAUGUACAUAUACAGCCAUGGAAUAGAGCUUCACUGCUGGAAAACCCAGCUUGGGUGAUAUGAAUGAAACUCUAACGAAGCUGGAAAGAAUGAAAUAUGCUUUACUCCCUUCUUAUGCUCUGUACAUGCAGGUAUAAGCUGAGAACUAACUACUACGUUAUUUGCCCUAAUUAAUUGAUGGCUGUCAGUGGAAUCCUUGAAUCUCUCAAAGACUGAAACUGAGACUCAUACGAACCAGAUAAAUGUUUUGCAUCGCCGUUCGCCUGCUUCGAAGCAGACAUUGAAUCCCUGUAUGACUUCAAUAGUUCCUCAAAGUCCGGAGUCCGUAGUUCCUCGAUCGAUGCUAUGCUUGGCAGACUGAUCGAUCGUCUCUUUGGGGUGGAACAAGAUGGUCCGUCAACCUGCUCCAUUUGUUAUGCAGUAAGUUGAUGAACAUGAAGAUGAAAUAAAUACCUCCAUUUUGUCCAUUCAUAUAAUACUUACUGUAUAUUCUUCUUCAAGACAUUUUUCUGCAAUGUCUAUGAUCUCCACAAUUUUGUGGUGAUGACCAUUUUUCAAUUCUCUUAGUUCCCCAUGGCAUGGAACGAGCAUGCUGUCUAGGUUUGCACAUGCAUCUUGGUCGAGUUUUAGUGAAGCUGGAAAAGUUGGAUGAUAUAAAUGUCAUUAGAUACUGAUUCUUAUACAUUGUCAAAUGGGAAGCAAUAUGCGGGAACAUCUUACAGUCGAUGCACGAUAAAAUAUCCUUGUUUGAAGUAUUGACAUCUUCAAGGGUUGAUGAAACAGCAGAAGAUAAUUUGGCACGCAGAUGCUGGUUGGCAUCCAAUCCGUUCCUGCAUGGGUUCACAAAUAGUUUGUAAGACAAAAACUUUAGCCAUAAAACAACUGGAAAAUCAUUAGAUCUUUUGCUUCAAUCACCUGACAAUUGAACCUGCUGAUGCUUCAUUCCCUUUACCAAGAAUCAGCAGGGAAUUUUGAGCAUUUCUCCAUUGUUGUGUACCCAUUCUAGCCUUUGCCAUGCUGCAAAUUGUUAUAGAGAAAAAAGAAAAUUCAAUAAAGAAUUAGGCUAACUACAGCGAUUAAUAAAAAAAAGGAGUACAGUACAAUGCAGUAUAGAAAUUCUCAUGGCAAUUAUCCAUUCUGACUUACCAACUUUUUAAACCUUCUUCUAUGUCAUUUCUGCUACUUUCAACUGCUGCAGUAUCCUCAAUAUAGUGAUUUUCAGUUUCUUCCAUGCAUGCUUUCCAUUGUCCUUUUAUACGACAAGUAAAAUCGGAAGCAGUUGACAUUUCCUUUUGUAGAUUACUUGUUCUGUCAACAGCACUAGCUCGGAGACUAUCAACUGUGGUUUGAACCUAAAAGAACAUGAACAGAUGUCAAACUUCUAUUGUCUCUGUUUCAACCCUAUUUCAAACAAUGAGUUUUUGGCAUCCAUUAACAAAUUCAUAACAGUGAAUAGAAAGACUCCUAAAAGAUAAUGCCAUGUCUAAGCAAUUAGAUAUUGGAUAGGACGCAUUUAAAAGUGCUUUAAGCCAGUUUUAAUCUUUCUCCAAUAUUCUUGCCAUUGAAAUUAAGAUGAUUUCAGAUAUUAAUAUUAAUGUUAAAAAUGAAAUCAUUUGCUACUACAUUUGAACAAUAGAAAACAUUGUUAAUACGAAGUUUGCAAUUAGAAGACAUUGGCAAAAUGAAAUGAACAGUGAACAUAAAGUAGUACAGUUUCACACAUAGCUUGUGCAGGUAUAGAGAAGAGAUAUAUGUAUUUCACAUCUGUCAAAAGUAGUUUUCGUUACCAACUUCUUCUUCCUUGCACUUGAACUAGCUAACAUGGCUGCCACUUCUUCCAAUAAUUGUCUUUCUUCAUUAACAACACAUUCCUACAGGAAGAGGCAAUGGAUCAAUAAAUGGAGUAUAAGAUGAACUACUGCUGACUACUUUUAACACCCGAGGAACAUGGAGUUACCUCGAACUUCUUCUCAACAUCAUGCAGUUGUUGGUAUUGUAUGGUUAGUGAUUCUUCCAAGAUCUUGGUUAAUUUGGAUGCAUGAAUAUCCAAGGUUUCGAAAAGACUAGAAGUUAUCUUAGAUAUGGACCUCAUAGAUUCAAUAGCUCUAAGAUGUCCCUGUUGUUGUGCAAAAGAAGAAAACCAUUGUUAUACAAUAGUCAUCAGCAUGAAGAAUUUGUCAACUUCUGCAUGUCUAAAAUUCUAAUAGUAACCUACUUCAUGCUGCUGUUGUGCAAAUGCAGCUAACUUGUCUUCUUGUUUAGACAGACCUACUUGAAGUUCAUUUAAAUGUUGAUCAGCCUCCGAAGCUAUUCCUUUGAAGCACUGGAUAACCAGAAGAAUACAUAUAUUAAAACUAUUAUGACGGAUACUUCAUAGAGGUUUACAUGGCCACAGAAAAUAAUUUACUUACAUUUUCAAGGGCAGUAGAGUGCUUCAACACUUGGGAAUUCAAUCUUCCAAAGGUGUAUUCUGAAUUCUUGUCAAGUUCACCGGCUAAAGCAUCUAAAUCUCUGAUCCCAGAACCACACUUAGCUUUCAGUCUUUCAACGUGCAUUCUGAUUUCUUCAGUGGCCUGUGCAUAAAAAAAUGUUAAAAUACAACAUUGCUUAAGGUGUGGUGCACCUUCACAAUUGAACUAGUUUCUUCUGCAAGCAUAAAUGUAAGAGGAUACUGAUAAACGAAAUGGAGAUAAUCUAAUCUAGCAUAGUUAUACCUUGGCCUUUGUAGGUAUAAAUGAUUCCAUGUCCUCUUCCAUUUCUUUCAGCUGGGUCUCCUGUCGCAUCAAUGAAGCUGAGACAGUUCUAUGCAAGUGGUCCAGCUCUUGAGUUAAUUGAGACCGGAACUUUUGGACAAGCUUUCUGUUUUCUUCCUCUAUUUUACCUUUGUGCUCUGUAUGCAAAAUUCAGAGGUUAAAUUAUUGGUAAUUGAAAUUGCAUCUUACCAGAAUUAUGGCACCACAAUCUAGAAGAUCAAAAAUUAAAGGGAGAAAAAGGUACCAACCUAUUUUAGAAAACAAGCUUGAAACAUAUGCAGCCACAUUUUCUAGUUCUGAUCUAAGCUCGUAAGCAUGCUCAAUGAGUGCCUUCUCUGUUAGCAACAUUUCCAAUCAAAGGCAUCAAACACUACACUGUAAAACAAAAUGAUCGGAAAAGCAAGAUGUGGUGGUUUCUAGACCAGACAGUGAAUGUGUGCCUAAAAUUAUGUAAAACAUGACUAAUUUACGUGAUGUUACAUGACCAUCAUGUUAAAGACGUUAAGAGCAAGAUAUACUCAUAUAAUAGCAUAGAAACGAACAAAUGAGUGGUAAAACAAGAGGAUAUUCUAAUUUGAUAUAGCAUCUGCCAUCCAUGUAUAGAACUCCAAGUAUAAUAAAUUAUCUUACCUGACUUGAGUAGAGCAGAUAUCAGAAAUUCCUUAAAUUUUAUUGUAGAAUUUGCUUUUCUGUAUCUUUCUUCUAGGUCCAGCAAAGCAUGCUCAGCAUCCACCAGCUUUUUCUGCAGCAUAUUCACACUAAUAUCGAUCUCUUGCCAGAAACAAUUCGAGAAUUGCCUGUAAAUGCAAAAGUAAGAGAGACACUUACCUGUGUUCUUUCUAGUUUGUCACUUAAAUCUGCACUAAGUAGUUUUUGACAAUUGUAAAGAUCUUGAAGCACAGCUAGUUGCUGUCAGAGCCUAGUGUCAGAUUUAGCCUUCCAUAAAAAAAAAGAACAAUAGGGUACCAUAUUAUCAAAUAUUAAAUGCACCUUAUCCUUCAAAUCCAAAUAAAGUUCCAUUUUUUCUAUUUUCUCAGUCAUGGCCUGAAUGAAAACAAUUAUUAAAUGGAAUGAUAAGAAACGAAUAUGAAAUAAAAAUGACCAUAAAGGCACACAUAAAAUAAGAUAGAACCAAUGUGAAUUAUCAUAAACUGACCUUCUUCUCAGCUUCUUCAAUUAAAAACCUAUUGAGUGGAAUAUAUAUGCCAUUCUUCUCUCUCGCAGCAAAUACCUCUGAAAUUGAUAUAAUAAAUAAUGUAACAUAUCUGAAAACUAAAUAUCCUGAACGAGACCAAAUGAUUCAUCUAACUAAUAGUUGAAGUAUCAAACUACAUUCUUAUUUAAAAACCAAAACGAAAGUUCAGUGUCUAAUCAUAGAGGAUGUGAGACUUAACAAUAAUGCUUGGUGAUUAUUUUGACAAUCAGGGCCAUCAUAGUCACCAUAUGAUGCAUCAAAGCAGCAAAAAGAUAAUUAACAGAUACCUCAAUUAAAAUGCUGACAUAAUACUCGAAGAUGUGGACUCCAGUUUGCUAGCUAUGUAAAAUUGCAUAAAAUGACUAACAGCAAAUCAAGCAAUUACCUUGUUUAAGGCGGUCAAUUUCUGCGUACAAUUCCUUGAUCAAUGCAGAUUUCAUCAUCUUCUGAUUGACCUGGACUAUUAUAAAUUUGAUUAGUCCAUUUGAAAAUGAUUUCAAUUUAGCAACAAAGAAUCUGAAAAAUGUUAAUGACCUCGGGCUUAUUUUUUAUAUUCUUUGCACGGUGUGCAUAAUCUAAGGUGCUCAGUGUCUCGUCCAAACAGAGGGCAGAAGGUGAUAUAGUGGCAAUAAUACAUGUUUUAGUCCUUCCACCCAAGGAAUCUCUUAGUAACCUUGUCAAUUUGCUGUCUCUGAAACAAAAAAGGUCAAUACUCAGCCAAAAAUAGAUGCAAACAUGCUAGAAAGGAAAAGGAAACAAGAUGAGAAUUUUCAGUGACACCUAUAUGGAAUAUGGCCAGAAUGAUCAACGAGAGUAUUAAUAACACGUCCAAGUGUGAGCAAACUUUUAUUUAUCUCCCCGGCUUCUCUUGCUCUUCCCUGCAAUGAUAAAUAUUCAACAGUCAUCCAACAAUUCUUAACGGAAAAUCACGGGAACGGAAUGCAAGUAGUCACAUUUUCUAAUAAAUACAAACGACCUAACUCUACUUGAUAAACACUAAACUUUUACUCACAUCUCUAGCACCAGAUCGUGAUAUAUUCUCUGAACCAGCAAGAUCCACGAGGUUAAGCUUUCCACACUUAAUCAUCUCCUCUCCCUCAGGAGUGCAUUCCUUAAUGUGAACUGUAAUGGAAAAUAUGGAGUGGGAUCUGCUGCUUUGCUUGUUGAGUAAAGUCUCCGCGGUAUGCCUUUUUGCAGACCCUUUGUCCAAGAUUUUGUAUAUUUCACCAGCAGUAUACACUGCCUCCUCUUCAAGUCCUCUCAUAAAGAUGCCUCCCUUUCCAUCUUCCAUGAGAGCUAUAGAUUUCUUGGUCUUGUCAUCAGAAAAUUUUGAUUCAUCCGGCACCAAAAGAUCAGUUAUCUCCUCGUUAUAUAGCUCAAGAAAUGUGACUUUCAUGCUGUACUCAGCACUUUGUGCCUCAAGCGUGUGAAACAUACGCUGCACUGCCCUUGGGAUAACACCAGCAUCGCUUGGUAAUUCUCCAUUCUACAAAUAAUCGGUAUAUGAUUUAGAGACAAGAGAAAAAGUAAAGUAGCUGAAACAUUUUGUUCAAUGUAUUAUAGAGGGAAAAAAUAUUACCUUAAGUUUUCUUCCUCCACCUUCCAUCGAGUAGGUUUUACCUGUGCCCGUCUGCCCAUAGGCAAAGAUAGUGCAGUUGAAGCCCUCCAGAACCUCGUUGACUAUGGGAACGAUAGCUUGGUCAAACAAAUCCUUUUGCAUGGAAGUUGGCCCGAAAACCUAUAUAUAGUUAUCAAACUGAUGAUAAAUCUAAUGCGUCUAUAAGUGAAAGAAAAAAAUAGGGUGCACUGGCAGAAUAUUGAAUCCAGAGGUAUGAAGACCUUAUCAAAAGUAAAGGUUCUGUCUAUCUGUUUGUUGGAAGUACUAUGAGCAGCUGUAACUUCUCGACGGUGUUCAUUGCAGAAUAUGACCACCGGGGUGUUCAUCCUCUUCUCAUCAUCGCUUAAUGGUCUGAAAUAGUUCGAGCAAUAGAAUUGGUGAAGCAAACCCUGAAAAGAUGAGCCAGGAGGCCCCAAAUCUUUGGCGCCCAAUUGGUUUACCUGCAUCUGAGAAUGACCUGGAUAUUAACCCCUUUGUCCUUAUUAAGCUUGCUGCUUGAAUUAUUGCUGCUCGAGUUCCCAUUCCCAUCAACCAACAGCCCUCUCCCGUACUUAUCGGUGGAUCCCGGAGAGCGUGUGGGCGACACCGCGACAUAUCUCCCUUUCUUCCGGGAGCCAUCCAUCUCCUCUCCACCUGGGAUAUCGAUUCCAAAAUCUUUAGCAUCUCAGCCAAAGUAGCUCGAGUAAGAACCCUAAGUAGGAUCGGACAUCAACUUCGCAAAGAUAAAAUAAAAGCCUAAGGUCCCCGAUCGCCAGCUCUAAUCAGCCAAAGAAAACCGAGCAAAACCACCACAACGUAACAUCUCGAACCGCAAAAUAAAAAGCACGACGGAUCAUAACAACACUUCGCAUCAUCAAGCAAGACCAAAACAGCGCCGGCACCAGAAAGAAGAAGAAGCGGAGGAAAGGACAGAGGGACAACGUACCAGAAUACCGCCGGCGAUGCGACAUCGAGAGCGAUUCACGAGUUCCAGAGACCGAUGGAUCGUUAGCCGGCUGCAAUCACACCUAAAAAUAUGAAUAAAGAGAAAAAGAGAGAACUCGGCGUCGCGCUCUCGCCGACCCCGAGUGAUUGUUCCGCACUAAAUCUCUGGGUUUUUGCGAGAUUCUGCUGUCAAAAAGGCAUUUUGGAGAGAAGGAGAGAGGAUUCCAGCAGCAACGGGGAUAGGAGGGAACCUCGGGCGAAGUGGGAGAGAUGAAAUGAGGAGUUGAUCGACCAAAAGUUUGGGCAUUAAAUUAUAUGGGUUGGGUUUGAAUUGAAGCGGAAACCAUCACUGACGCCGUUAGUUGGCCGUUUAGUCCGGCAUCCAACCGUUAAAUGUAUGUAACAAAACCCUACUAUACAUAUGUAAUCAAAUUACACACACACAUAUAUAUAUAUAUAAAACCCUCCAUAAUUUAUGGUAUUCUAAAACCACUAAUUUUGACUUUUCUCCUAAAGUAUUUUUUUCCCAUAAUACUUUUCAUUUAGUUUUCCCCCUCUUGUUAUUCCUCUGAUUCCUUCCCGAUCUGAUUUAAUUUAAUUCGAUAAGAAUUUAUCCAAUAAAAAUGAACUAAAUUACCAAAUAAUUAUAUGAUAAAAAUACAAAAAAAAAUAUUAGAAGCCAGAAAAAAAAUUUAUAAUCUGAGCCCUUAUUUCAAGUUAAAAAAUAAUAAAGAAUAUUUAGUAAGGUAUUUUUACAAGCUUUUUUUACUAAACAAAUGGUGGCAGUAUUUUUUUGUGUAUUGUUUAUAUUAUUUUUGUGGAAUAUAAGAAAUUUGAAGAGGAAUGCUUCUUUGGUUUGUAUCGUUGCCAUUUCUUUGGUCGAGCACUAUAAAUUAAUGCUUCUCCAUCUCCCGAAUAAAUUUGUCUCAGAUCAAAUCGUAUCAUUGUUUUUGGGAAAUGUUACCAUUAUAGAUGUUCUUCUCUGUAUUAUGUCUCCGUGCUGAAUGGGUUUAUGCGAUGUAGGCAGUUCGUUCUACAUAGUAAAAUUAAGCUUUCCGGAUAAACCACGUUCAUCAUUAAUCAGUCAUUAUGCUGUAAGUAAUAAUUGAGGUGAUGGGCUGUUGUUUACCCGUUUAAUCUGAUAUGAUAUUUGCUUGCAUGAGCAGAAUGCAUGCACCAUUGCAUAUGCGAGGAAUCAAGCAACAUAGAUCUUUUUUGUUCUUUUUUUGGGAUAUAUGAUGUUUAGUCUCGAAUCUUUUACGACGACUCUUAUUCCUAUUAAUGUCAAAUUUGAUCGUCCGCUAGGGAGAACCCAUCUCGCGCACGAACACAUACAUCCGUAUUCAUACAUCGAACGUGUAUAAUUAGAUUUUGAUAAUGUAAUCAAGAUGUUUAUGCGUAGCUAUCAUAUUCAAUUUUUAUUGUCAACUCAAUACACCUAAAUGACGCUUUCAAAAGUUAGAUAAUGAAAAAAAGUCUAUCUUAUCUUAAUCGUCUUACUAUUUGCAAGAUCCUAAUAUAAUUUUUUAAGUUCUAAAAAUAUCCUAUCCUAUGACUUUAUCUAAAAUUAUAAGAUUGAUAAAUGAAUUCGGUGAGAAAUUAAUAUGAUUUAUAUUUUAUAUAAAAAAAAUAUUUAUUUAUUUAUUUUUUUAAAAAAAUAUUUUAUAUUUAUUUGAAUAAUACACAAUUUUUAUAAGAUUUCAUACAUACAUUUAUUUAUUUUCGUAUUGAUUUAAAUAAAAAUAUGUACUCUUUGAAUAAAUAUUAUAAGGGUAAAUUUAUCGUAAAAGAUCGAAUGAACUUUUAAAAUAUAUUUUUUACCAAAUAAUACUUAGCUCAAUGAAUAUUUAAGAUAUAUUUUUCAUUUAUUGUUUACCAAACAUUGGAAGUAUUUCACAAUAAAUGCACAUUCACUCAAACUCAUUUUUCUCCAAAUUAUACAUUAAAAAUAUAAAUAUACUUUCAAACGUAGCCAUAGCACAUCGAGAGCUACAUGGAUGACGCCAAAGGAAUGGUAGAUUUCUUGCCAAGUUAAGGCAUCAGUCACUCUAAAUGUUUUGUUUGAGUAUGUCAAAUUAAGCUCAAAUUAAACUCUAGUGUCUUAUUAAUGUUAACAUAACACUAUGGAUGGGUGGGUGGUAGAGCUAUUCAAGUUUUCCCUUAAAAACUUGCUGCUUCUAUGUUUAGCUUCAUAUUCUGAUGGAAUGCAGACAUGCAAUAUACCAAUUUCUGAUGAGAAAAAGCAAUUAGAUUGUCUUUCGAUCAGCAGUGUUAAAAACAAGUCAAUCGUUUCUUUCAGAGAUUUAACUAAUAAAUAAAUGUAUUGAAUGUUGCAUUAAGGUGAACUAUAAAAUAUGAAAAAUGCAAGUAAACAAUCUCUCAUCAUAUUGCACCACGAAUGCAUGCAUGCAUGGUUGGCUCACCCAGGUUUCGUUCGUUAUCAUGGCCGCUGCUUGUAAGAAAACCGAGAUCACUUCCAAUCGUCAAAAGGAACGAGGAACUGCCUUCUCUAGCAUGGUUGUCGUUUCGAACAUCACCAGUGGAUAAUCCUUUAGAUGCGCCUGCAACUGUGUUAAUACAAAGAUUUCCACGUUACAAUGUGUCGACGAUCCAUCCAUCAAUCCGAGUAAUCCCACUAAAACAAUCUAAAACGAUGGAUCAUCAAGAUCUUUUUGGCACUUCCAGAGCAAAGAGAAGAUGUGCUCACCCUUUCCUCUGACAUUUCUACGAACCCAAGCUUGUCCUUCCAUAGAGACUGGACUUCCUUGCUGGCAGGAACUAUCAGGUGAUCGACUUCCAAAUGAUACAGUACUCGCUCAACUAGGGAAAAUAGAACUCGAAAGUAUCCCUGCUCCACAUGUAAAAGGGGUUAUGUUAACCACUAUCAGGAAAAUAUAUGCUCAAACUCCUCAAAAAAGUUCAUUUUAUCACUCUCAAUAGCCUCAUGCGGAAGAAUUAUACUUCAGGAUGACAUAAUUUAGUAAUUGGUUUUGCCAGCCAAAUGCUUACAGGUCACAAGAACUAGCCAGGAAUUUUGAACUACUAGUUAAUGUCUCUAAAGUCCCACUACCGAAAGUGAUAAUUCAAAUUUCAUGGCUCCAUAGUGAGACCAAACUCAAAUCAAAAUAUUUAAUGUUCCUGUGUUUUGAAGAUCUAAGUUGUAGUCAGUUUUUAGGAAGACUUGCAUUUAGCUACUCCAAAAAAGGUUUUGGAGAAAAGGUGAGUGAUGCUUCAGUUCCCGUUGUUGGUUAGAAAGGCCUCUAAGAGAAUCCAUAUUUCUUGUUAAUAAUUAAUUCAUACAGUAAUAUGUUCUUGGAGAAGUCUCAGUUAUUGGUCAUCUAAUAAAUCUGAAAAAAAAUUCAAUUCAACAUCUUUUAGAUAAAACUAUUUAAGUCCAACAAGCUAUUUUCUCCUGUUUGUCCCUUAAUGUAGGAUACAAUUUCUAGCAGAAACAAGCUUAAACAUUUGCAAGACCUUUGGGCAGAUCUCUAGCUUCAACUGAGCCAAAGUUUAAAUGCAGGAUAUAAUUUCUCACCUUUCCUCGGUAUUUUUCAUGGGUGACUACCAAUGGAAGUUCUGCAACAUUCCGACCGAAUACCCUAAAAAGACCAGCUGAUAUGAUGACUGACCUGAAAUUUACCAAAAGUAAUGAUUAAUUGCUGACAGAAGCUUUGGUGGUAACAAACAUGAAGUAAGACUAAGACCAUUAUAAGAAAAAGGCAAUUGCCGGUAGGUAUUCUCUGCAACCAAAGUUCAAUAACUACACAAAUAUAAGAAAAAGUUCAACCAUUGUAAGAAAAAGGCAAUUGCUGGUUUUCAGGUAGAUUUUGCAGCAGAGCAGGCAAUUUCACAGAAUGAGAGUCAAAAACCAAAGUUCAAUAACUACACAAAUAUAAAAAGGUAAAUUCAAAGAUAAAAGAAAGAGAUUAUUAGAUGAGCAAGGUAUAUUACUUUACAGUUAUAAUUGUGCAAUAUACUCCUCCAAGCAGUUUGCCUGCCACAUCUUCACUGCAAAAACUCAAGCAUAUUUACAUCAAAUGAUCAAAUACCCCAGAGCGAAGAGUAUAUAUAAUAAAACAGUAACUAAAUGGGUGAUACACAUGACAUCAAAGAAUAGAGAGAGCAAGAACUCACGCGUGAACCAUAGCAGAUAGUAAGUCCUGGCCUCCUUCAACUAUAGGAUCAAAUGCUUCCUGUUGUCAAAGAACUGAUCAAAUUGAAAAGUUGCUAAAACCCAAAUAUUGCCUGCAUGUCAUACGAAAGCAUAUAUAUGUAUGCAUGCAUGCUAACUGUUAAAUCCAACUACCAAAUACUAGCAAGGAAACUCAAUUUACUAUAUUAUGGAAAGAAAGAAACCAAAUUGGUCUAGAUGUCUUCCUGAUGGCCAAUAUGUUGACUUGAAAUUCUGGAAACCAAUUUCUCUUUCAUGUGACUAAGAUUUCAGUCUUUCAAUAUAACUCACGGGCUUACAAAUGUAUGGAUAUAGUUCAUACAGAAGGGCUCUUGAAGUCCUUGGUAUUUGGAUUGGUGAGAUUUCAAGGAGUUGGUUUUCUCAGGGUAGUCAGUCUUCUUUUUCACCAACCUUAUCCUUAAUCUCAUAGUUGACUUUGAAUUUAAUCCUGCGUUCUACAAUUUUAUGGGCAAUAAAUGACACAGGUGAAAGUAUGUCACCUUAAGUUUUAGCCCUUUGGCAAAAUCAGUUCAUAAUGGAAUAUGUAUAUCUAGUAGCAGGACAUUCAAUACUGUCCAACAAACACUACAUUUCUGAAAAAUAAGAAGGUUUCCUAUCCACUGUCAUAUAGUGAAUAACAAUGUAGCAGAAGUGAAACAAUUUUGGUGCUCUCUGAAUUGUUGUCAGCUUCCACAUCAUACCAUUUCUUGCCACUCUUUCGGGGAGAUGGCAUAAAAGAUCACAAUGAUGGCAAAGAGUAUCAGUAUCUCAGGGUCUUAACAGAGCUCUCCAGUCUCAUAACUACAUAUUUUCUUACACCACAGGUUGGUGUUAAGGUUUGCUUUAAAUACCAAAUAAAUUAAAACAGAAGUUCUAUUGAUAUAUCUGUGUUGUAUUUCAUCGUAUAGUUUGAGAUUUUUAUAAUCUGUGUGCCCACAUCUGAGCCUUAAUCCAUGUUCCAUAACAUGUCAGGAUGGAGAAUUGCCAGUUCUUGCUACCCGUACACGCAAUAAACGAUUGUAGAACAUAACACAACCAACACAAAAGAAAAAUGUUAAGCAAGAUAGAGCAACUUCCAAGGAAAAUCAAUCUAAACAUUACCAUAGGAAGACUUUUACCCAGGUUCAAGUUAAUUUAAUCCAAGUUUGAGUCCUAUAUGUGCCAUGCUCAGAUCCAUCAUGGUUGAGUAUUAAUACCAGGUGCUAUUCAGCUUCCAAAAAAUUAUAAGCAAGUUAAGUUUACAUCAUGGUACAUCCAAACAUAAAUGCUAUGGUGUCUGUACUACUAUGAACAGUAACCCCAUGUAGGUUUCUUUUAUUAGAGGCCCCAUAUUAAUACCAAUACAAGAAAGAUACAUUUCUGACUAGACACUUUUUUGUUUUAAUUCUUCGGUAAUCAGAUCAGUGUAACUUUGUGGCCAACAAGCUGCUUUAGAAAACAGGCUGUCAGCUAGCUAUUAGAAGAUAUUGUUGUAUGUUCGAUUUUAGCUAAACAAAUUAUGUUGUGUCACUGGCCAGUGGCCAAGUAUCCAGAUUUCCUGUUUUCUCUCUUCUAUUCAUGCAAAUAGUGAUUUUGUUUACUGAGACCGUGGAUGACUUCUUUUGAGACAAAUAAACUGGUUGAAUUUCUUUCUGUUGGAAGCAACUUGUCCCUAUAAUUCUCUAUUGUCGAACCCAAAAUCCUCGGUUUUAUAUUCAUUAAUGUUAUUUGCCUUAUAUUGAGAGAUAAACCAGUGGUUUCUUAUAACAAAUUGGCAAAUUCUUCAUGACAAAAGCUACUAAGGGAUGUACAAAUAAUCAAACAAUUUCUACCUACCAAUUUCAAGAACCAGGCAUGUUUUAAGAUAAAAUUAAAUUUCUUCAUCUGACAGAGCAAAAGUACAAUUUCGUUCCUAUAAUUCUCCAUUGUCUACCACAAAAUCCUCAGUCUUAGAUACACUACUGUUGUUUGACUUAUAUUGAGAGAUAAACCAGUGGCUUCUUAUCCCAAAUUCUUCGCGGCAAAAGCUACUAAGGGAUGUACAAAGAAACAAACAAUCUCUAUCUACCGAUUUCAAGAAAGCAUGUUUUCAGAUAAAACUGAAUUUUUUUAUCCAACAAAGCAAAGAUACAACUUACAUGAAAAAGUCCAAUGAUCUUAUGAAACAGCAAAUCAUCUCUCACAUAUUUUCCACUUAAAAUCUGCCAAUGGAUAUCAGCUUCUCUGUCAUCAGCAAAUUCUCCAAGUGAACUGUUUCUCUUGAGCAUACUCAAUAGCCAGUAAGGCACAAAAUUUUCUCCAUUAUUGACUAAUUUUCGCAAAGAAGCAUGGAUUACAUCACAAUCUUCACAGCAAAACCAAUUGCACUCCAUUGGGACUUCCUGUAGCAAAGAUUAUUCAAAAAGAAUGUCCAUGCAACCCACCAAAUAUCAAUUCUCAUGUUACGUCAACAAAAUCACUGAAAUAGCCAAAAAUAAGUCUGCCUUCACCUUUAGAUCACAAACUCCAUGAUGCUUUAAGCAACCAAUAUGGUAUUCUCUUUCACACUAGAAGAAGCAGUCAUCAGAUAUUGGUAUGAGCAAUAAUGUCAAAAUAAGGAAAAGAAGAAAAACACAUGACAUACUUGCGCACAGAAUAUAAUUGUUUUUGCAUCAAAAACAUUGAGAAUGAAGGAGCUAUCCCUGCAUGUCACAUGUUAAGAAAAAAAUUAGAGUCUUACCAGUAAUAUUGCACAAGGUGCACAAGUCUCCACCUUGUUGUAUGAAAGCAGAAAUAUUGUCAAGAAAGUCAAUCUAGAUGAAGAUGCAUACUUGCAGAGGGUGCAACAAAGAAGUUGAUCUGUUUCAGCCUUAAGUAUAAGUCUUGACCGGAGCUUAUCUGAACUGAUAGCACCUGAAGAUGGAAUUGCAGAACCAGAUCUAACUCUGAGAUCCAUGCAACAGGAACAGUACCAUCCACUAUCAGGAACACUCUGUAGUUCCAAGCAAACUGUACAUUUGUUGCAAGAUAAUGGUUUACAAAUAAGCAUGCAACAGAUAGUGGCAUCAAAGCUGCAGGAUAUUUCAUCAUUCCUUCACAAGUAUUAAGCUCUUACAAUCAUUCUACUAAAAUGAUCUAAACAUUCCAACAAUAAGUUUUAAUUUGUAUGAGAUUACAUUACAUAAAGGACAGAAAAUGAUUGUUGAAACCAGCAUGGACUGAACAACUAAGCAGAUUUGAUUAGAAUGAAAAUUACAUUAUAGAAAAUUGCUCAAAAUUUUAGCCAUGGUUUAUAGUAAUUUAUACAAUUAAUUGAUAUGAAUGGCAUAGAAUUCUCAGAAAACCUCUUUAAAUUCACCUGUGUGAAAGGACUUAGUGCAACCAUCACAGCUGACCAGUUCUCCACCAGUUCCACAAAUUGUGCAUGACAUCUCACUGCAGCUCGAAGUCAAGGUCCGACUAUUAAACAGAGCAAUCGAUAAUUCAUGCAGUGUUAUCCCGUCAGAAGUAUAUAUAUGGCGGUAGCUGCAUAGAUACAGAAAUUAUAUUAGGCCAUGUAAUUUAGAUUUAUUAGGCCAAAUAAUUUGGAUUUUUUACUUUAUGUCUUUCAGUAAGUAAUAAACCAAAAUAGAGGAAAGAAAUUCAGACUUUACUCACGGUUGGCGCCUUUUAUGGAAUCCAGCAUGAACUUCAAACUGCGAAGGGCUCAUCUGAUUACAAAAUAUGACAUUAGGAUUUUUCAUUCAAUCGGCAAGCUUCAGCAUGAUACAACAUGGACAAAUUUACCUCUACAUUGCAGCAAUCACAUAUUAAACCAUUUCGAAAUUUAUAACCUGUUUUUAUUUUCUGCAAAGGAAAAGACCUUUUACGAUUGCAGAAUGAUGAUCAUCUCCAACAAGUCAAUUAGCUCACCAAGUAACACAUAAGCACACACAAAAAUGCAAAAGGACUACCUCUCCCUUUACACAGUAAGCCAAUUUAGAUCCAUUUGGAAGACCAUUUUCCUUGAAAAUCAAUUGGUGCAAACUGCAAUCCCUAAACAAAAAAAAAGGGGAAAAAAAAAAACUUGUAACAUGAAGAAAGCCAUAAUUGAUGAGCAAUGCUGGAAGCAGAUUCACUCUAUCAGAGUAAAUCACAAACCUUUGCUUUGAACCACCUUGAGCUGUAACAUUAAGUUUCAGCUGGUUGCCAUUGGAAUUUGACAAAUAAGGUAAAUCUGGCAAUGUCAACAUCCUAAAUAGUGCAAACAGAAUAAAAGUAUUAAGAAAAAAAAAAGCAAGUGUUUACAUAUCCAAUUUCAAAUUAUUAAAAGUUGCACGUCAAUGAGUUUUCUAAAAGCUCAGUAAAAUGAAGUGAUGAUGAGCUAUGAAUUACAAUAACAUUUAUAUAGACCUUUUUGCCAACCGUGAUUGAUCAUCCAAGAUGCAUAAGCUCUGUAACUGUUUAAUACAUGCAUCAUGUGCUGAGAGAUCUGAAUCUUUGCAAAGACUUGAAGAUAAACCUGAGAAAAGAUGAGCGCUUUCUUGAACAGCAGGCACUGAUGAGCCAGGUUCUGUAAAGAUAGUUGGAGCUGGAUCAACAUCAUUUUCAUUUGCUGGACCUGAUGAGCUUUGAUUCAAAGUGAUCUCUGAAACUACAUCAGUAGGUUGCGUUAAUGAGAGUAGCUCAUCCAUGACUGGAUCUGGAUAAUUUUGAUCUUCUAAACCUGAAUUUGAGGAGCAAACAUUUGAAGCAACAUUUGAUGCCAGAUGUGCACUUGCUUCUAUAACUGUCUGAAAGGAACUAGUUUCCAUGGUCAUAAUAGGAUCUGAUCCAAACUCAUAUUCAGCUGGCCUUAAAAAAAUAGAUUCCACAGUGAAUCCUGGGGUUGUAUGAGAAAUUUCUUUAGCAAGCCCUAAGGGACUAGUCUUCAUAGGAAGAACCGAAUUAAUGAUGCCUACCAUACCUAGCUGUGGGUAGAUGGAAUUUUCGUUAAGACUUGAAGCUACAUGAGUAAUUCCAUUGCUGGGUGGCACUGGAAAGCUAGGCUUCAUGCAAACAUUUGGUGUUAGAUCACCACUGUUUUCUGUAGAUCCUAGUGAUCUAAAAUUGCUGAUAAAAUUUGAACCUAUAUGAGCAUUGUCUUCUAUAGUUGACCACAAGUAUUUGGAACUUGGAGUGACACUUGAAACUAGUGAAUGGCUGUAUUCUUCCAGUGGUCUUGAAGAGUUCGACUUCAUAGUGACAUCCCGAGCUGAAUUCGUGCCACUUCUUGCAGCUACCCCGAACAAGCUGCUCAAAAAUUUAAUCAGAACAAUUUAAAGAACAUAGGACAAAACAAACACUCAAGCAUCAUAUAAAUCAAUAAAGUUCCAUAAAUUAAGUAUAUUGCAAACAUGUUGCAGACGACACUCAAGUGUGAAAGCUAUAUUUCUUAAGUAGAAGCAUUUCAGAUUUCCUCUUUUUUGCAGUUCUCAUUAUUCAAAGGAUCCACUAGAGGAUGCUGCCACUGGUUAAGUAACUUAAUUUGAACAUCACAAAGAACAACUAAUUAUUUUGCUUAAUAUGAUCAACAUAGAAUUCUCAAGACAAGUAGUAGUUAACCAUAUUUCAGGCAACAAUUCACUGUAUAUUUAUUGUUUGGAUAUUGUCAAACUUCCACAUGGAUUUUGUAACAAUCUCUGUUUUACACCGAGUUCUUAAGACAAAUUAAAUUGAUUGAUGUUCUUUUCAUGUAGUGUUUAGGGUCAAACCUGACCUGAUAUAAAAUGCUAAACACAGAAAAGUCACAUAUUCAAAUGCAUAGGAUAAAGGGGGGUCCAUUUCUAGGAAAAGACACAUUAUUAGUUGAAUUUAACUUAAUUAUACAUUUUCAUAGCAGUAUCUUUCGCAUUUUAAAUGAAUUACUCUUUUGCUAAACAAUUACCAGUGAGUUAUGAUGGCAACUCACCCUUGAACUGAGUGAUCUGCAGUACGAGUUUCCAGAUGAUUAAGUUGGGUCUCACCCACAUCUUUGUUUGUUUCCUUCUGAUUUAUAUUCACUUGAAAUGAUGCUGAAAACAAAGUGCACAAGUCUUAAGACCAAGAAACAAAUGAGAAAAUUAAACUCAUGUAUCUAUAAUAGAGAUUAACCAACAAGAGGAAUCAGGAAAAGUUUGAAGAAAUAUUUAACCUUUCCAAUUCUCAAAAUGCUCCUUAUUGGGUUGAAUUUGAAACUCUUUUUCUAUCACUUUAUCAAGUGAACCAAGCUUGAUAUGUCUAUUCUUCAGAUUUCUCACAAGCUUAUAUAUACUUAUCCCAUUGUCCAAAAAUAUGUGAUCAUUUUGGUUUUUUGAAGUCACCCCAGCAUGCUUCUCAAACUCAAGAGCAGAAAGUACCUAAAUUUUAGUGUCAUGUCUCAGAAAACAAAAGAAUCACACACUUCACAAUCUGUAAGUCUUUACAAGCUUCUAAGCAACUACUAAAAAUAAAUUGGGGGCGGUAUUCUGGCAGUUGGGUCAGUGAAUGCUCCAUUUGUAAUGUCAGAUGAUAUCUAAAUAAUAAAGUUGGAUAUUUGAGAAAUAUAAGUUGUAAAAUUGUACAAUAAAGAUACAGAACUGUGUUGUAGUCCAGUCACAAAUGCAAAAUACUAUAUAUUGACAAUAUUUUCAGCUGGUUGUGUCUACAGAGGUCAACUGGCUGCUGAAAAUGGUGUCUAAACUUACGGACUACCUAAAUGCCCAGGUUUAAUGCAGUGAAGAUGGAAGGAAGCAGGUAUUCAUUCACAGGAGAUUAUGUGGCCAAAUAGGUGGCUUUUUAAAUCUAUAUAUAAUAAGAUUAUCAGAGUCAGCUGAUAGUUUCUGAUGAAAAGAAUGAAAAAAAUCAAGCAACUAACUUUGUUAUAGUUACAUGAGGAACAACCACACCGAUACCCAGCAAAGCUUAUAAUUCCAUGAAUCUUUCCCUGCAAAAAUGGCCAACUAUUUUUGUGAAAAACAGAGCAGAAGAUUGCAAUAGAAGGGAUAAUAUAUCUUCUCUUCAGAUGAUAACAGCAACAUAUCUGACCUCAUCCUUCUUGUAUGUCACAGAUAAUCCAUCUAGGACUCCAGUAGAAAGCAAACCUUUGACAUCUGAAAUGUAGGCGCUGGGUGUAUGCUUUGAAAUUUUUGUUUGCUGAUUGCCGUUAGCCAUGAAAUAGGAUCUCUCCUUCCUUUCUAUAUGCGCUCUAGAUCGUAUCACAUCAUGGUCCUUUGGAUCUGCACGAUCUGAAAUUAACUCAGAAGAAGAUUUGACUCCUCGUUUCUUGCUGGGAAAACCUAGAUCACGGCAGCCAAGUGGGGAGCCAUUCUUGAGGCCUCUUAAACUUGUUUAUCAAAGUAGUGUAAGCAUAAAAUCUGUAAUAUAUCGAAUUAAGUACGGAAGUAAUAUUUUAUGUCAGGAUUGAAAUCAAAUAAUUAGAUCUGAUUUACGAUACGUAACUUUACCUUUUGAUGCCAUCUGAAAAGAUCUCUGUUUGAUCUAUAAGGCACCGUCUUUAGAUCCAAGAUCAAUACAAUUUACAAAGGAAAAACUAUAUCCUUUCUCCUCUCUUCCUAUCCAUCACAGGAUCACCUAGAUUGAUGAUUAGGGAAAAGAGCGAAAUACUGUAAUCCAUCUCUUGUAUCGUAUUGUCUUUAGUCCAUAGAGUUCUUGUCGGCGAGAGUAUAGUGUCUAGAAUAAGUAAUUAGGAGAGUCCAUCAGGUUAUCUCCUAAGGAAUCAGGACUAUGAGCCAAAAUAUUUAAUCAGAAUCCAAUUAGUUAUAUUAUAGAUAUCUUAUCCAAUUAUAAAGAGCCACAAAAUCUAAUAUUCUUCCACUUGACCUAUUAAUUGAUAAGAUAUAAAAAAGAUAUUCUACCUAAAAAUAAAUAAAAUAAAAUUUAUUUAAAAAUAAUUUUACCUAAUUGGAUUUCAAAGAAUUUUGAAAAGCAUUUUAUACGUGACCAUGAAUUUUAAAACAAGCCAAUAAGUCCAAUAAAUAUAAUAUUACUAUAUUAAGUCUAACUAUCAAUGUGAGUCAUAACGGUUGUAUAUCAUCAAUAUUAUACUCUCUUUUAUAUAUCACAACAUUAUUAGUCUUUCCCAAUAUAGUAUAUAAUAAUCCCUAUAAUUUAUCUUGUCAAGAUAAUCAUGUUAUUAUAUUCAACUAUAAUAUACAUAAACAUAAAUAUAAGUGAGAUAAUAGAAAUAAAUAACUUUAAUUAAACAAUAAAAAUAUCAAUAAUAGCAUCCAUUAAACAUGCAUGUGUGAGUAAAUGAUGACUUAGGUUAUAUACAACGACUGCAUGUCAAUUAUGAUAAAUUCUCUAACCACUCAACUAUUCAUAUGGAGACCACAAGUCAAAGCUAUUGCAUGAGAAGAACUGAAGAAAAAUGAGAUAUAAUCAUAUGUGGGUUUAUCUUUGGAGUGAUGAGUUGCAAGAGUGAGAUCCUCUCUUAGAUUUGAUUUAUAUUUGAAUAUUGAUAGAGCUAUUAUUAUUAUCUUUUUAUCAAUUAGAAGAAGUGGUUCAGUUAGAUCCAAAAUCGAUGGAACGAGAACUUUUGAUAUUAAUUUUAGUAAAGUUGAAAUAAUCGAUUCUGAAACCAUAUGAUUUGGUCGAAAUUUCUAUCCAGUAUUCCUGUGAUGGGCGAUCAAUACUUCCAACUAAUGGUGAUGGCUAAACAUGUGAACAUCACAUCAUGCCUUCCUAAUUCACAUUCUAAAUCACAAAAGUAUGAGCCAACAAAUUAGAACUUUAUUGUUCUUUACUUACCAAAGACACGGUCGUUUGACUCCAAUAAUAUAAUGAAUAUAUUUUAACAUCAAUUAUAGUAUGUCAGUUAGCUAUCACGAAGAAACUGAUGUGAAAAAUAUAAGAUUCAGAUCAUCCCUCCAUGACCAAUAAUGGGACGGUGACCUAUUGACUACCGUAGAUCACCACAUAAGAGGUAGUGCGGGUCUAUCGUCGAGGGACGGUGCCCCCCAUGUGAUCGAGCCGAUCUGCACCCUUCCUUGGUCGGUCUCUAUAAGCGAUAGCCCAUAAGGAGCUGCUCGAGUUAAUCUUGUCGAAUUUAUGGUGCCUCUCAUGCUAUCGAGCUGACCUGUACCCUCUCUUGGUUGGCCCCUACAAGCGAUAGCCCAUAAGGAACCGCUUGAGUCAGUCUUGUUGGAUGUUAUGAUUGGUAGAUGACAACUCCUUCGUUGUCCUCUGUUGGUACCACAUCAGUCGCAGUCGCGAUUCCCCUCUACUAAUUUUUCAAGUAUAAAAAUCAAUUCUUGAAGUCUGAACGAGAAUCUGACUUUGAACCUUAUACUGUUUUAACCCUACAUAGCUAAUUUAAGCGUUCAAGAGAUUGAGUUGAAAAAUUCUUUUAACCUUAUACUGUUUUAACCCGAUUCCCGUUCUAACCCUGCCUUGGAGCGACCUUGGAUGCUCGAAACCACUUCGAAACCGCUACAGCUAACUCCUACCCAACGCCAACGACUCGUACUCAACGCCAACGACCCUCUAACAGCGUACCAAUUUUCGAUCUAGGACAUUAAGAUGUUAACACAGCAUUAAAUAUCGAAUGCGUGAGAAGAUAGUUCGGGAAGCAUUUUAAUAUAUUUGUUAUGAUCAUCAUAACACAAGUGAUCAUGAUGUCUGAGUUGGGUAUAUCGGUGGAAUUUACUCACUAAAGAUAGAUAUCUACAAGCGUAGUCGAUUGACUGCAAAGGAUCCAUGUGUAAAAUUGCGUGAGGAAUUCAAUUCACCCAAAGGAAACGCCGUUAACUCCGCGUCGUUGCUCAUUGUCGCCGUGGCUUCUUUUUAGUGGACGCACGUUGCUCUUUAGGGGAAAGCCGGUGACGACCGUCCGUUGCGCCGUUACUUUUGACAUCAAGUAUCCCUUGUCCUACUCGCAACACCUACUCGUGUGCUUAUUGAUAGGAAUCUUUGGGCCCCAGGAGACCUCUUGGUCGUACGCGACGCGGGUACUGUUUGCAGCCGGUGGGUCUAGAGUUUCUGUCACAAGUAGUCCUCGGCACAAUAAGCAAGGCCAAGAGCGAGACGGUUCUCAUCCCUUUUGGGUUUGUGCUGUCCGCGAACCUCUGUUCUCAGACCACCCGUUUCUCUCUCCCUAGAUUUUCUCCACCGAUCUCUUCGCUGCAAUCGCCGCCCCCUUAAGAAUGGUAUGUGAUUCCUCCUGUUCUCGCUGCUCUGACGCCAGUUGUAGUAGAUCCGUGUUCUAUGAUCAUUUUAAUGUAGCAUUCUUGUUUCGAUAUUGUCCGAUCUAUGAUCGACCGACUCGAUUUCGCUUGGAUGUGUUUCUGCUGUGAUUUUGUACGGUCUUGUGCUUGCGGCGGUUUAUGGAUGGAUCUGAGCGGAUUAUAAUCGGUUUACGUUGUUGUCCAUCUUUUAUGCUGUUAUCAUUUAAUUUCUGCGGUGAUCCUUUGGAGCAAGUGAUGGAUCGAUUUAAUUUAUGGAUGGAUUUCGUGCUGUAUACUUUUUUCUUCGCUUCGUGGAAGGGUGCCCUGGUUGUUCUUAGGUGGGAUUCAUCAUUUUUUUGGUGCAGAUUUUUUUGGUAAUUUAUUUUCAUCAUAUUUCAAUCAAAUUCACCAAAAAAAAAAGCCUGAUACAAAUAUGUUUGCUUCGGCGUAAUCUACCAAUUUUACUUCCUGAUGAUAUUAAUUUAUGCGUGCGAACCGUCUAGCACAGGCAAACGCGGCAUCUGGAAUGGCAGUCAACGACGACUGCAAGCUUAAAUUCUUGGAAUUGAAGGCGAAAAGAACUUAUCGUUUCGUAAUAUUCAAGAUCGACGAGAAGCAGAAGGAGGUCGUUGUGGAGAAGGUCGGCGAGCCCUCCUCGAGCUAUGAGGAUUUUGCUGCCAGCCUCCCUACCGAUGAAUGCAGAUAUGCUAUAUAUGACUUUGAUUUUGUGACUGAAGAGAACUUGCAAAAGAGUAAGAUCUUUUUUAUUGCAUGGUAAGUUUUCUUUUGCACUUAAAUGAAGAACUAGGCCUAAUGUACUCGAGGUAUUAACCUACCUCAUAUUUCACCUUCCUCAUGUGAAGGUCCCCUGACUCCUCAAGAGUGAGAAGCAAGAUGCUUUAUGCAAGCUCCAAGGACAGAUUCAAGAGGGAGUUGGAUGGUAUCCAGGUCGAACUGCAAGCAACUGAUCCUACAGAGAUGGGCCUCGAUGUCUUUAGAAGCCGUGCAAAUUGAGCAUCUCCUGAUAAUUCAGAGGAAGUGUACCUCCUGCAAGCUAGUUGAUCAUAAUGUUUAUAGUUCCAAACAUGGUGAAUUCACUAGAUACCAUCUGGUCUUCUUUGCCUUCUUUAUGCAUCUUUCAAUUUGGUACAUCUUGCUGAUCUGUUUCCCGGUUAGACCUAUGACAUAAGUUUCUACAUGCAGCCUGAUUUUUACAAGCUGAUGGUGUGCUAGAAUUUGUGGUUCUGCUGGUUUGACAGCAUUCAAGCUUGUCUCGAUAAUUUUCUGUGGAAGCUUAAGUCAAUUUAUGGCCCCUCUUUUUGCUGAUUCCACAUCGAUUCUUGAGUUUUCCCGCAUUGAUUUUUCUGAUGUUCCUUCCAAGUAUCUUUUGCAUUGUUUCAUUUACUAGACUAUGUAGAAGAAGCUUUUAUUCUAGUGGAUUUUCCUGCACUUGCUUGAAAAUUUGUAUGAAAUUGAAACAUUAAAUGACAUGUUAAUGGUAUUAUUAAGAUAGAUGUCUAUGUUUUCUUUAAACUGUUUAACUCAGUUAAAGAAUGAUUUCAUUCUGACAGCCAUUUGAGGUUUAUGUUUUCUUCUUUCUAUGGUAUUGGUAGUUUUGAUCGAAAGAGGGGUAUCAAGUUGCAGAUUUGCCAAAUGCAAUCGGUAGCAUAGGUAAUCAUGUCCUUUAAUUAGCAUGAGCGUCAGAUUGUUGGAGAACAUAAUGGAUUUGGUGCUGAUUCAGUAAAACAUAACCAUUAAUGUGUCAUUCAGGCUAGACUUUUGCAUUUGAUUACCCUUCUUGUAAGGGAAGUUAGAAAGUCCAUUGCUCUUUGGUGACAUUGGAUGGUGGAGUUGCCUAACCAGCCUUGUGAAAUGGAAUGCCAAAAAAGUUAAUUGAAUAUGAUCAAAGCCCUGCCAGGAAGAAUCUGUCUAAAUAAUGAGAAGGUGCUGAUCAUGAUGCAUCAAGUAGUGCAAGUGAAAUGAGAGUGUUGUUUAUGACCUAAAUCAAAAUAUGAACUCGCGAAGCACUUGAUGUUGGAUUGGCGCAUCCAAGGGACGGAUGUCAUUUCCAGUCAGAUGUGCUGAUUCUUAUCUGAUAUAGGGUUGGAUCGAGGAUAAGAUCAUUUCUAAGUGAUUCGUGGAGAAUUCCUGUUCUUUCUCUUCUUUUUGGCCUGGUUGAGUAAUGUGUGGUGGACACUCUGAGGUGAUCUUUAGAUGGUCUCUCCUCUCGUUCUAUGUUCGCCAUUACCCAGCUUCAUCUUUGCCAAACCAUUCCUCGGUACCGACCACACCACCACAAGUGAAGGAAUUCCAUAGGCAACGCGAUAUGGCUUUAAAAUUCUUUCCCUUGUGACCAGCAGACAUUCUCAGUGUCUUAACAUAAUCUCUAGUAUAGCUUUAUAUAAAAAAAACAUUUUUUCCUGAUGAAAAUUUCUAGUAGAUUAUAAAAAAUACCAUAUAGUCAGUAAGAAAUAGUUGGCUCUUAUAAGCAUUUAAAUUACUUCAUAUAAGAAAUAGUUGGCUUGUACAUGUUAGUGAUAAAUGGAGUCAUAAGCACGUCAAGUGGAGUCUUUUGUGUUCAGCGUCAAGUAUAUAAUUUUUUGUUUUUAUUCGUGGCGUGUUACGUUGUUAGAAAAUACGGUAAAAAAUAAUUUCACUACAAAAAUCCUUUUAUUCGAAAUAAAAAAGGUGUCGAGCAGCGGUGGGAUGUGGCUGCUAAGUCACAGGAAUCGAGCCCAUCUUACUAGCGUGAUUUCCCCGCGCACAACUCCUACCACCUACCCAUCGGCCACGUCGUCCAUCCGGACCGAAACCAUCAUCCAAUAACAAGGCUCCACGCUCUCACCGAACCUCUCCCUCAACCAUUAUCAGCCGUCCAUCACGCUACGUACAAACGACGCGAUCUCUUCCACGUCAUCUAUCCGGAACCACUACAUGAUGCCCAAUCGAAACCCAGAGACUUUCUCUUUAAAUGCCGAUGGUCAGGUUCCUCGAACCACAUCCCCUUCUUCCUGCCUCUCCGAAGUCUUCCCUCGCCUCUCUCAUCCCUCUGCUGCCCGAUCGCGAUCCCGAUGGCGCCCAAAGCUGAGAAGAAGCCGGCGGAGAAGAAGCCUGCUGCUGCUGAGAAGCCGGCCGAGGAAAAGGAGAAGAAGUCCGUGGCCGAGAAGGCUCCGGCGGAGAAGAAGCCAAAGGCCGGGAAGCGCCUCCCCUCCAAGGACGGCGCUGCCUCUGCCGGCGACAAGAAGAAGAAGAAGAUGAAGAAGGGGACCGAGACCUACAAGAUCUACAUCUUUAAGGUGCUCAAGCAGGUCCACCCGGACAUCGGCAUCUCCAG
rnacentral:lncRNA from 1 species